rnacentral:lncRNA from 1 species
GCCACUGUAGGUUGAAACAGCAAAAGAUUCAGCACCGAUUUUGUCACUGCUUGCUCCAUUAAAUUCUGGAUCAAGGCACUCAUAUUGGAGAGCUCCACCUAGUACUACUUCUGUUGAAUUUGUUAUUGUUCUCGGUUCUGUUUCUGAUGUCAGUGGGGUUAUCUUGCUUGUUAGUCCUUGCGGCUAUUCUGUGGCUGACACUCCGAUGGUAAGUGCCAUAUUUAUUCCCUUAUUUCCUUGUUGUUCAAUAAAUUUGGUGAUAAGCCAAGUGGCCUUAAUAAUGAAGCCCAGUACCAGGGGUGGUGGGUAAUCGAUAUUCAACUUGUGAAUAUUCCUAAGCAAACACUGAAUCAACAUAUACCUCGGCAAAAGUUCUCCAUGCUAUUAUAACAAAAGUCAUAUUUUGAAAUGAUUAAAACAGUCCCUGUGUAGUGCCAUUUCCAAAGAAAUUGCAGCUGGGGGUUUAGUUUCAUGUAGGUUAGUUUCCGAUAAUAAACUUUCCAUUUCAUUAAUUGCCGAUGGAAAAACCAAGUAAGAACAGUUUCGUUGCUCGUCAUUUAUGUAUAUUUUGGUAAACUGUAAUUUUAAAUUCUCAACGAUCUUCCCUUUGUAGGUAAGAAGAUGGUCCACUCACUUGAUAUUUAUGAUUGUAGAUCAGGUUUCUAUUGGUUUGCCUUUAUCAUUCGGAACCCAAGUUUGAUAUUAACAGAGAUCACGUCAAUAAUAUCCUAUUUGGGUAGAUGUGGGUGAGGAUUUAAAAUCAAAUUUGAAAUUGAGGGGAAAGAAGAGAAAAGGAACUACAAUAAUUAUUCUGAUGAGUUUUAAUCUCGAGAGGAGCAAUUUUCAAAUGCAAAUUUAACGGCUAGAGAAAUUGUAGCUUUUUGUCAUUAGUUAAGAGGAAAGAGAAUAAGAACUAUCCGGCCCUUUCCUUCAUGAAUGUGUGUUGAGGUUGCUGUAUUAUUUAGUCAGUAUUUGUAAUUUUCUUCCCUGCAGUGCUCUCUGCCUCCUGAAUUUGCUACUGAGUCCAUAUUUUUCUUUGAGCUGUUCCUUCCUAUUGCUGUUACAGUUACAAAUCUGGGCAAGCAAUAAGAUACACCGGGAGGAAAGGUCAUCAAGGGGAAAAUGGGAUGUCCAAUCCCUCAUCACAUCUUCUUCAGAUUUGUAUGGUCCAGAAAAGUCCGCUAGUGUUGAAAAAUUACCUAGGCAUGUACAAUUUACUUUUAAGAAUCCUGUUAGGUGCGCAUUGUUUGGAUCACAUUACGUCUUCAGAGACCUGGUUCGGCUUCAGUUAAUUUCGGGAAGGACUUCAGUCUUUUGUCUCUUGAUGAAGAUGAAAACCCCUUUGCACAAGUAGACAGACGUGCUUCAUUUGGAGGAGCAGUUGAAAAUGAACCAUGUAUUCAUGCCAAAAGAAUUCUUGUAGUCGGAAGCCAGUAAAAAGGGAGGGGCUUACCUCAUCACAGAGCUCUGAGCAGCUAAGUAUUAGAAACUGGUUGGAUAGAGCUCCACAAAUGAGUAGAUUCAAGGUAUUAGUUGCUUUCACUCUUUGUUCAUUCAUAAUUCCAGCUUUCUGCUUCACUGAUAAAACUCUUUUUUCUCUUCAGGUCCCAAUUGAGGCCGAGAGAUUGAUGGACUACGAUCUCGUCUUGGAACAGUAUCUACCUCCAGCAUCACCUUCGCUUGCCGGAUUCCGUCUAGACUCUUUCAGUGCAAUAAAACCUAGGGUUACCCAUUCACCUUCCUCAGAUUCAUUUACAUGAGAGAAAGAGUUUUGGGUUUGACUUUGAUUUUGAUUUGUAUUUGUUGUCAUUUCAUUGAAAUUUCUUUUUGUUGUAUAAAAAUCAGAAGGUAAAAGUAUUAAAUUCACUGAUGCGGUAAUAUCUGUGCUGGUUACAGGAUUUUAUGUUUAACUUGAAGUUAGUAAGCAAUGACUUAACAAUAGCACUUUGAAUUUAACGUGGAUCAUAUUGUAUUUGAAAUUAAAAAAUAAAGAGAGAGAAAUUAAUUGUUAAUUGAGUUGGACAAUUUUCCGUGGUUAAUUGCUCCCAGAAAAGAGAAGAAUGGGAUUGUGCUUCCUCACACGAAGAAAGACUCGAACGUCUUCGUGCUAAUUAAUCAAUGAAAGAUUUUGUCAAAUAUCUGGCCCUUUCUUUCUUGAAUGUCUGUGUACAAGUUGCUGUGUCAUUUAGUCAAUAUUUGCAAUUUUCUUCCCUGUAGUGCUCUCUGCUUCCUGAAUUUAUAUUAGUGAUCUGGUUUCUGAGUGCAUAUUUUUUCUUUCUCGUUGCUGCAGGUUUGUCGUUGUCAAACAGAAUCAAGUUAUAUUAUUAUUGUGAUCCUUAUGAGCUUGGAAAAUGGGCAAGCCUUUCUGGAGUUUGAUCGUUAUUUAUAUGUUAGAGAAAGAGUUCUGGGUUUGUUAAAACUCAUUAUUAUAAUUUGAAAUAUGUGUUAUUUCAGCUAAUGAUUAACACUAAAAAAAUUAUCACCCAUAUAAUUUUUUAAUUUGUGUAGGGUAAUAAUAAAAUUGAAAAUAAUUAAAAAAAUAGCACAAUAAUGAGUUUUAACAAUAAAACAAAUUAAAUGAAAAUUGAAAAUUUAGAAAAGUGUAUCUAAGAAAAUGGAUAUUUUCAGAAAUAAAAUGAAUAUAACUAAAAAUGGGGUUUUAUGAGGAGAUCAAAGGGGUGCCAAUAGUCCAACUCGUAAUUAAGAAUCUCCCAUUACAUUGUCAACCAAAAAGACACUUGCAUAAGAAAAAAAAUUUCUGUUUGAUUUUAUUUGUAGAUCCAACAUUUCUCAUAUCCUGGUCGCCUUUCCGUAUCAAAUUAAAAUAGUAUUAGCAAAAUCGUAGUGCAAAUUCAAUUAACCAACUAAUAGUCUAAGAAGCAAAGAGAGGAUUACAAGUUCACAACACCAUUACAAAGGAUUCAAAAUUCCCACACGAAAACAUCAAUGUACAGAUUAUAAACAAUCCGAAUUGGACACAAGAAAAACCCUUCAAUGGAUUGCUUGCCUUCCCAAUGCUAAAUACUGUGCAAACUGCGCAUUGGCCAAGAAAAUGUUUUCAAUUUAGUGUAUUUUCAAAAUGCUUAUUUUCUCAGAAUAUAAAAAAUGAAAAAAUAAAAAAAGAAUUCUUACAUGUUUCAUCAGCAUGAUUAAAAUCAAAGAAGAAAGCGAGACAUAAUGUCUCUGACAUAAUAAAAUUACAAAAAUUUCAAGAAAAAAAAAGGGUUAAAACAUGUAAUCUUCAGAAGCAUAUAAUAAAAGAAGACUUCCACAAGUUACUACAAUUACAUGCAGUAGAGAUUAACUGAUGCUUUGACUUAUUAGCAGGUUGCAAUGAAUUAUUAACUGAUGCUUUGACUUAUUAGUUCUGCAGCUAAGUUAAAUAAAAUAAGGUAUUUUCAAAAGCAAAAUGGAAUACAUAGACAAAACAUCAUCUUAAACAAAUCACAAUCUAGAAUUAGAGUGUUGAUUUGAGAUUCUAGAUUGUGAUUUGAUCGGCUCAUUUGUUAAGAAGUGUUGAUUUGAUCGGCUCUGCAAAUUCUCUUGGGACUCGGUUCCAAUUCCUCUUCAUCAAAACUGUAAUAUAAUUCCCCUUCAUCAGAACUCGAAUCAAAUUCACUUGCAGCAGUUCCACUCGCGCUUGGCAAAUCAUCUAAUUUCCAAACUUCGGUAGCAAAAUUGAGAGUAAAAGUGUUGGCUUUGAUCUCGCUGGGAUUUGCAUAUACUGGACAUACUCCGCAACGUUUUAUCUUCUGACCCUUUUGGACCUUUAGGUUUCGGCAACACUCAUUGAAGAACUUAAGUGAGACAGUUGUAUGAUGGUAACCAUCAGGAAAGCCAACAUUCAAGCAAGGUUUAAAACCAAGUAUGACAUGAUCUGAAUCAAUGAGGUCUUCAAUUGAGUGCGAAUCGAAACUCAGAUGAACAUGUUUGGUUUCAGAGAGAGUCUUUAUUUCUAAGUCGGAUCGACAGCCGACGUAAACAUUACGAAAACGAUCAGAAUAAAGUUGCUUAAAAUCAAGAACAGCACAAAAAGCAAACCCGAUUAAGUUUCUGCAAAAAGAGUGCGGUGGCAGUUGAAUACGUAUUGAAGAUCCUGAACUUUGAUUGCUGAACCAGUCAGGAAUUUUGCUCCCAGGUAAAACAAUUUGGGAUCGCCUGAGUUCAGAAAGUUUCUGUGAAACGACAUUUAAAAAAAGAAAAUUGUCAAAUGAAAACCAUGAUUUCAGAUAUAACAAAGAGGGACAGAGUAAACAAGAGAGGGAAUUUGAUACCUCGUCGAUUGUCUUUCCCCGUCUCAGUGAUGCUGCAAUUGCCAUACGUAGUGAAUCUGCCAAAAUCUUGUUGUUUGCUUUUCCAUCAAGUUUCAAGCAGUUAGUAAACCGAAAAUAAAUUGGUUGUGACAGUCGAUAUUCCGGAUGCCAUUCACAAAGGUCAGGAGAGGGUUUGGAUAGCUUUUCGAGUACGGAUGCAUCUAGUUCUUGUAGACAUGACGGAAUCUCUGGCAAAGAUUGAAGCCGGUUGCAGUUCGUUGCAUUUAGUGAAUGUAGACACAAUGGAAGUUCUGGUAAUGACCGAAGCAUGUUACAACCCGUCAAGUCAAGAGAUUCUAGACACAAUGGAAGUUCUGGUAAUGACUGAAGCAUCUUACAACCCUCCAAGUGAAGAGACCUCAGCUGCGACAGUUGCUUGAUACUUGCAGGUAAGCUCUCAAAGCUAUUUCCACUUAGAUUUAAUGUUGUCAGUGAGGAUAGACAGGCAAUCUCUUGUGGAAUUUCCAUUACAGCACAGUUCCUCAUAUCUAGAUGUCCCAAAUAAGCUAAACCUAAUAAAAACGAUCGAGGCAAUGAUACCAAACCUUUGCAGCGAGAGAAGUAAAGAACUCCAAGUCUGUUUGAAUAUGCAACAGAGGAUGAUGGUAGUUGACUAAUAGCUGAUCCAACUGCUGAGAUGAUAAACAAACAUUUUAAAUUGCCAAUGUUAUCCGGCAACUUAUCAAGCUUAGAGCAAUCUUCUACGAACAAUUCUUCAAGCCCCGGUAGAUUUUCAAAUGACGAUGGCAGCUCUGUAAUUGCCGUCUUGUUUAAAUUGAUGCGUUCUAAAUGUUCCAUUUUCUCCAAGAUUUCUGGGAAGCGCUCAAGGUUCACGCAGCCAUUAAGAAAAAGAUCAACCAAAGAUCUCAAUUUACAAAACCUAGUUGAAAUCCUCUUCAGCCGUUUGCAAUACUUCAAAUUCAACUUUUUAAGAUCAGUUAGGCACUCUAUUGAUGACGGAACUUCUUCUAUUGCAGACUUGCUCAAGUUUAGCGAUGUUACUUUCCCAGAAAUCAGUGGAAACUCUAUGAGAUUAACACAAUAGGAGAAAUUAAUAGUUACUGGACAAACAAAAUGAAGAUUGCUUGGAAAAGACCUAAGACUUUUGCAGCCCUCAAAAGACAACGCACUGAGAUACUUGAAAUUCUGGAUAGAUGAGGGAACACAAGCCAAGUUUGUAUAAUCCAAAAGAUAUGUUUCAACAUUUGGGGUUUCAAAUGGGCCUGGCAUCUUAAUGAAAUGUUGAGAAUGGCUGAGGUUAAUAGAUUUUAACUUGAAAGCUUCCUGCAAUAACAGAUAUAUAAAGACUAUAUUAAUUAAAAAGCAACAUUGAAUUCAACAAUUAAUUGCACGUAUAUUUAAAGAAAGAAAAAAUUAAUGUUUUAGUUUUAGUACAAAACUUACCUUUUCUCCUUCCCAAAGUUGCUCAACUUUACUACAACUCAAAUUCAGUGCAACAAGGUUCUUUGGCUUGAAAUUUGAUGGCAGUGUCCUUAAUGGAUAUGUGUCCCAAUGAAGAUAUCUCAAUUUUUUAGGAAGAUAAUCUAGGCCAUUUGGAAGCUGCACUUUAGAGUAUGAAAGAUGCUCUUCAAUGCUCAUACUUGGAAGCUUUUCAAUCCCAUAAAAUUUGAGCAAUCUCAUAUUAGACAUAUUUGUGAAGGCUCCGGGGUCUAAAUUGAUGCGUUUUAUUUUGGACAAAUCCAGAAAUAUGCCUUCAAUUGCAUCGGUCCCCUUAUUAAAAAAAAAAAAAAGAAUGAGUAAGCCUAAAACUCAAAAGAAACAUUCGUAAACUUUAUUAAUUAAGAGCUCCUUAAACAAAAAUAAAUUACGCAAUCUUUGAUUUUAUUUUUUUAAUAUAUUAAAUAUCUAUAUGCGAGAAAAGAAAAUUUUGGGGACCAUUGCAAAAUUAAACUAACUGAAAAAAAAUUCAAAAUUUCUCUAAUUUACAAACCUGUUAUCUUAAUAUCUAGAAGUUGAGAAGACAAGGCCUAUUUGAUUGGUAUAAGAUUUCGAUUUUUUUUUUUUUUAGUCCAUAGAAUCCAAAAUGUUAGUUCAAAAUUAGGGAAAAAGUCAUUUUUUUUCCACUAGCUGUAAUUGUAUCCAAGUCAAAUUGAGAUACGACCCUUUUCAAAAGGAUUUAACCAUCUUACAGCCUCCUUAAGGCACAUUUAAGCUAAAAGGAGUGAUUGGAGGCAGAACUAGGUGGGCCAAUCAGUCCAUUUUAUUAGUGACCGUUGCUUAAAAAAAAUUAUACUCUAAACCACACUUACUUUUUUGAAAAAAAAAUGUAAUUAUAUUGAAAUAAAAUCAGGUGGGCCAAUCCUCAUGGCACUCACUUUGUUCUAACACUCUUCACUAAAUUUGAAGAAAAAUAAAAUUAUACUCUUCACACUCGUAUUCAACAUUCCAAAAUUGAUAAAAUCGGGAGUUUUCUUUAAAAAUUUAAAAUUUGAAGACUUGUUCUCUUGACACCCUCAGUCAUUAAUUUUACCUAAUUAUGGUUUUUAUGAUUUUGGUUGUUUUGUUCAUAAAAAUGCUUUUACUAAAGGAUGUUCUGGUAAUAAUAAAAUUUAUAAAAAAAACAUGGGUGUGCUGAUAUAGUUGGAAAAAUAUGAGUGCAUAACUCCAAACAAAUAAAAGAUAUAUAUAUAUAUAUAUAAAUGGAGGAUUCUUACCUUAUUAUGCUUUAGUACGCGGCGGAUUUCCUUAGGAUCCCACAACCUGCUGCGUUUGCCUGGCUCUUUCUCAGAUUCUUGGCGAACAAUCUGUCGCCCCAUUUCUUGCAAUAUAUCAUGCAUCUGCAAGGAAUCACCUGAUAUUGAUAUGAGUGACUUAUCAAUAAGGACAUCCAGUCCAUCAGACUCAGAAUCAUCAAGAAUCCUUGCCAGAAAAUCUUUAUCCCCUCCCUCGAAGAAACACGCAAUAUCUAGAAAUAUGCUCUGCACCCUGGGCGUUAAUUCAUAAAAACUAAUCUUUAAUAUUUCAUAAAUAUUAUGAAUAUCAGAUUCACAAAUCCGAUUUAAGUCGUCCAAUACAUUUUCCCAAUGGCUUUUCCUCUUGAGAUACAGGGAGGAACCCAACACCUUAAGAACUAAUGGAUUGCCUUUGGCAUACUUUACAAACCUCCGUGAGUGCCGAUUGAGAUCUUCAGGACAAUGAUUUUCUUUAAAAGCGAAGUUACAAAAAUGCUCGAAAGCCUCAUCCAAUCUCAAUCCAUUGACCCUAUAUAUUUUCUCCACUCCAAAUUUUUCGAGGACUCGUUUAUCCCUGGUGGUUACAACAAUUCUACUUCCUGGACCAUAUUGAUCAAGCCCUCCAAUCAAACCCUCUAAUUGUUCAUCUUUAUUCACAUCAUCGAGUACAAUCAACACCUUCAUGCGUCGGACCCUCCCUUUAGUAAAUUGUGGAAUAUUGGGACCAGCUACUUCAAGUUUUUCACUUAAUAUUGUCGAAAGCAUUUCCUUUUGUAGGUCUUCUAGGCCACCCUCUGUUUCUGAUUUUCUCCUAACAUUUUUUGCAAAGUAUUUACCAUCAAACUCACCAGAGAAUUGAUCGAAAAUAGCUUCAGCAAGGGUAGUUUUGCCUAUACCACCCGUGCCCCAAAUUCCAACAAUUUGGACAGUAUCCCACAAAUCCAUACACAAAAAUGGUUUAAUCUGCUCAAUUCGUGAAUUUAAUCCAACUAGGCCGUUGGAUGAGUCCGUUGAGACUGUUAUUUUUUCCAACUUCUUCAAAACAUCUUCGACAAUUUUGUUUACAAGUUGCGCAUCAAGCCUAAUAUGAAGGUGCAAAGAUGCAAAAACAUUGAGUCAAAUCGGGCCAAGACAGAAACAGAGAAAAGAUGAAUUAGGAAAGAGAGUUACCUGAAUUUCGUGGAUUCAUGGCCGGCUAGAUGGGAUGUUUCUGUCAGUGCAUCCCUCCACUUCUGAACCAUUUCUGGUUUAUCUUUGAACUGUUUUUUGAGCUCAUCAAAACGGUCUCCAAAUGUUCCGUUUUGAUGCCGCACAUCAGAUGGACUUACUCCAUAGAAGACUGGAAUAAUAAUUUGGCCGUUUGUGUUCUUGCAUUCAAGAAUCUUGACAAGUUCAUUCAGGCACCAUUUUGAAGAAGCGUAGUCCUUUGAGAAAAUGACCACCGAAAUUUUUGAACCUUGGAUUGCGUACAAAAGGGCGGGUGAAAUCUCAUCUCCUCGCCUAAGCCCUUCAUCAUCAAUAAAUGUUUUGAUUUUCUUUCCUUCAUACAAUUUAUCAUAGAGAUAGCAAGUAAAGCUCUUACGAGUGUCCUCCCCUCUAAAGUUGAGGAAGACUUCAUAAUUGCCACAAGAAGAAGAGGAAGCCAUGAAGGAAAUUUUAGAAAAUUGGUGACAGAAACAGAGAAUUAAUCUUGAGAGUUGAGAGAGGAGAUGUAAGAAUGAACAUGUGUGAAGAUUCUUGCGAGUACAUAGUAAAUAAUUGAAUGGCUGGAGCUUUCUUAGUUUCCUGGAAAUUUCCUGGAGCUUUCGUAUACAUGAUUUGUCAAGUCAUGAAACAUAAUCAUGAUAAUGGGGCAGACCAAAAAGAAAAGCAACAAUUCAAAUAUUUGAUUCAACCAGUAUAAAAAGGAAGGAAAAGCAAAGAAAGGAAAUGUUGAAAGUAGAGUUAGGGAAUUAUAAAAAGCUGAAGGAAAUUGGAAUUUUGUACAAUUUCUCCAGCGAGGAACUUUCACAGUCGUUACCUCAUUGUUACAGUUUAGAUUAAGAUUUGAGGGUGCAAGCAUUUACCUAGAUUUUACCUCCGCACUAAAUUCUUAAGUUUGAAAAAUUAUGAGACCUUUAUAUUGGAAGAUAUUAUAAUCGAAUCAAAACUUAAAAUUUUAAUAUUGUUAAUCUUUAAUCUUUAAAAAAAAUUACCUUGCCGUUACAAUUUGGAUUAAGAUUUGAAUAAGCAUUUACCUAAAUUUUAUCUCCGCCUGUAAAUUCUUAUGUUUUAAAAAUUAUGAGACCUUUAUAUUGGGAGAUAUUAUAAUCGAAUCAAAAUUUUGAAUUUCAAUAUUAUUAUUCUUUUAAAAAAAUUUGAGAUAACAGAGUGAUUGAUAAUAGAGAACUUGUCUAGGCAAACACAUGCAUACACAAAAAUGUGAUGGAUUCAAAAAGAAAUUAAAGUGAUAAUGUACGUGGAUCCUUAAAACAAAAAGCGAAAUCGCUUGGUGGCCCAGUAAAAUUAAGACUGAAUAUUUUUUACACGAGAAGUCAAGCUCAUAAAUGGCAAAAGCCAUUUCAUUUCACUUUUACGCGUCAUUGACUUUUGUAACACGGUGUAUGCAUCGUCAAGUGGGGCAAAAGGGUUUCGAUUACAGUGGGAAAACAUGAACAAGAAUGCAUAAUGAAUAAUUCUUUCGAUAAAGCGAAAAUUAAACACAGAAUAAUCCUAAAAUUUAAACUCUAAUAUCUUAUAAUGUAUUGAUUAAAAAUAAUCCUAAGAGUUCCCAAUUGAAACUUUCAUAAGUAUUUUUAUUGUUUUGGAUAAACAAAUUGCACUAGGAAAACAAUUUGGCAAAUUCAGAGGAUAAUGAAAAAUAGCUAUGCUUCAAUAGGCCAAAGAUUAGAGAACAAAGAAGAAUUAGUUAUUGAUAUACGAAAGAGAAACACUCCAAAAUUUCAAGCAAAAUAUUUUCAUAUACCAUUUCGAUUUUGGAAGGGGUGUGGUUUUGAACUUCAAUAGUUUCCUCUAAAAUCAAAAGGCAGCAAUUAAGCUAGAAAGAGCAAAGAAGACUUUUUGGUACCUUAUUGAAGGUAAACAUUAUGGAACUUCCAAUGUCAUUACCUCACUGUUUAAUUUUUAUUGAGAUUUGUGCAAGCAUUUACCUAAAUCUUACCUCUGCCUGUAAAUUCAUAAGUUUUGAAAAUUAUGAGACCUUAUAUCGGGAGAUAUUAUAAUCGAACUAAAACUUAAAAUUUCUUUUCUUUUCUUUUUUUAUCAUAAAAGGGCUCUUAAGAGAGCUACGACAACACUAAGUGGGAGUGUGCAACCCCAUGAACAUCAUUAAUCAAUAUGUUUAGCGUAUUUGGAGGAAUAGAUUGAAAGCAAUGUAAACCCAAAGGAAACAAAAAGCUGUACGAAGUAAGGAAAUCUGCUGCUACAUUGGUUUCUCGGUAGAUAUGAUCCACUUUGAUCAGCCAAUCACGCCAAAGGAGUUCUUCGAUGGCCUGAAUGAGAAUAAAAUGCUCAUUGACGGGAGGGUUUUAGUUAGAGAUUAACUUCAUAACACACAUGCUGUCUACUUCCACGUAAAACUUAAAAUUUCAAUAUUAUUAUUCUUUAAAAAAAAAAUUGAGAUAUCAGAGUAAUAUCACAUAGAAAAACUUGCCCACGGACGGUAAGCCAAAUGUCUAGUCAACCACAUGCAUAAAGCUAAGUAGAACAAGAGAACAGAGAAACGCGUGGGUCCCUAAAGAAAAGGCAAGCACAUAAAUGAAAAAGCCAUUACAUUUCUAUUAACACGGUGUGGCAGCAUAUGCACAAUCAAGUGAGGCAAAAGGGAUUCGCUUAUCGUGGCAGAACAUGGACGAGGACGCGUGACGAAUAAUUCCUUCGAUAAAACGAAAAACAAACGCAGAGAAAAGAAUUUCUUAUAUGACAAGAAAUCAAAGAAAUGUGAAGGAACAUGAUGAAGAAAUUGCAGACUGAUCAAUUAUCCCCAUGGACUCCUAUAAAUUCAACCAAAAUAACAAUUCGAAUCUUACCAAAUUCUUGAGUUAAAUUUAUUCAAUGCUUUUAUUUUUUUAGAGAAAUUUUUUCCAUUGCUACUUUCCCUUUUUUGGGGAAAUUAGAACCGCGGCAUGUAUAGAAAACAUUGAGGUGUAAAGCAACAUUAAUUUCAUGGGAUAUGCGUUAUACGCAUAAUAUAUUUUCAGUCCAAAUUCAACUAUACAAAGAGGCUUGAGAACUUAAAAUUAAGCACAAACUAAACAGACGAAGUAAAUACAUGAUUAUGCAACAUAACAUUAAUUCUCUUAAUUUAUAACUGUUUUUGCCACAUGAAUCUUGCACAGUUAAUCCUAAUUGAAGACUAAAAAAGAGCAAUUGGAAGAAGGUUUUGGAAUAGAAUGGUAUACAAUCGAUAUGAUCCUUUUCCAGUAGUCAACGCUAAUUAACUGCAGUUUCUAGACUCCUAAUUAUACUAGCCAUAGAAAACUGGUGAUCAAAUUAGAUUUUGAAAGGAAAUAAUGUUCAUUUUCCCUUCGCUGCCUUUUUUUUUCUUUUCUUUUUAUAGCAAAGAAUUAUAUCAUGAAAAGAAUCAAUUUAAUCACCUUUUCCAGCAGCACAAUUUUUCUUUUAUAAAAUUUGACCACAGAGACAAAGAAGAAUUAUUCAUACCUUCAUCAGUGAGGAAAUACUUUUCGGUAUGGCUAGGGUGAGAAAAGGCUUUCCACAAACACUUGUACUUUGUAUUCCUGUAAAUUUUCUUUAAAGUCAAUAAAAACCAUAAGUUCUUUACAAUAACCACCUCUUUGAUAAAAAAGUGCCGUAUUCCUUUAGAAUUUAAAACCGGCAAAAUCGGAAUCAGUGUCUUUGAAGAGACAUAAUGGUCGUAAUUCUUUAAAUGAGUUGGCUAUGGAAAUCCUUAUCCAAGAUUCUUUUACGCCAUAUUCUUUCGUAAACCAAAAUUCAUUUUGGAAUACUCUGUUGAGAAUGUCAAAUAAAACGGCAUUGAAGGAAGUUUUCAAAGGUAGAAUCCGCACUUGUCAAAGGGAUGAUCUGCACUUGUCAAAGACACGAUCCGCGUCAAACGAAUCGACACAUUUCCUUUCGUAUUCGCAUAUGUAAUCUUUGAAAAAAUGUAGCUUCUGCAUCUAUAAAUAACGCUCAGUGUAUAAUGUUUUAUUCAAGAAAAAAAACAAGUUUCUUCAUACUCGUCGUCCGAACAUACAGAGACCGUCUCUCAUAACUUCAGCCGAAUACUUGUGAUGAUGAUCAUUUGUGAUUUCAUCAGGCAAAGGGUUGAUGGUGAAAAUUUUUGUAUGUGUGAAGAAUUGAGCUGUGGAUAUAGGGGACUUAAGUGUAAUCGAAAGAGAGUUAUUAGGUCAUAGUGCAGAUUGCAUUCAGUUUAUGGGUCGCUAUGCAGAUAAUUUGUUGACGUGGCGAAAUCUGUUAUGGUCGUUAGUAUUGUUUCUGGAAAUUUUCUAGAAACCUCAGCAUAAAAGGGGCUUUUGCAUAGCCUCUGGUGUGCGUGUGAUUUCUCUUUCGUUUCCUCAUCAAAUUCUGUAAUUCUUGCUUUGAUAAAAAGCUUGUAAUCUCUUCUGUAAUGUGUGAUCAGUGCGUAAUCAUUUUGAGCAAUAAACGCUUGUGGGUUUUUCCUUCAAACAGUGUCGUUUUGGUCAGUUUGUUAGUUUGAUCUGUUGGUGGAAUUUUCUUUGGUUAUUUGUUCUCAAAAUUCAACCGUAUAUAAAGUUUGAACUCUAAUGGCUUAUAAUGUAUUGAUUAAGAAUAAUCCUAAGAGUUCCCGAUUGAAAUUUUUAAUGACUAUUUUUAUUGUUUUGGAUAUACAAAUUGCAUUAAGAAAAAAUAUUGUCAAAUUCAGAGGAUAACGGGAAAUAAUUAUGCUUCAAAAGGCCAGAGAUUUGAGAACAAAGAAGCAUUCAUUACUGAUAUACAAAAGAGAAACACUCCAAAAUUGCAAGCAAACUAGUUUCAUAUACUGUUUGGAUUCUGGAAGGGGUGAAGUUUUGAACUUCAGUUGUUCCUCUAAAAUCAAAAGCAGCAAUUAAGCGUUCUCAAUUAGAAAUAGCAAAGAAGACUUAUUCGUACCUUACUGAAGCUAACAUUAUGGCACGGUUGUUCAUAUGUAAUGGCUGCUCUGUUAUGCUAUAUGCUCUGUUAUGCUAGCUUCUCUGUUUUUGCUUACAGUUUUGAACAUAAAUUCUUGCUCAAAUAACCCAUAAUUAAAUAACACUAAUAUGGCUCCUGAAAUCCCAUAAUAGCUAAUUACGCAACUUUCUCCUCCUCCUCAAUUAUGUCUUCCCCUGCUCGGACACUAACUUCAAAAUUCAAUGCCCCGAAAAACAACACAAGAAAUCUUUGAGUUAAAUCGUGACCAGUUUAUAUAUCGUAGCAAUUGAAAAAGAAAAAGAAGAAAAGAGUUAAUUAUUAUUCAGACCUUCACUUAUUAGGAAGUUUGUUCUGCUAUUGGGUGAGAUCAAGCUCUCAGCAUAUACUUCCACAUGAUACUUUCUAACAUUUUCUUGAAAGCCAUCAAUCAUAAAAUCUUCAUACUUUUUUCCAUCCUUUGGAUCAAUAAGUACAAAUUUCUCAUCUAAAACAGACAAAAUAAAAUCACUGUCCUUCAUGGAACAUAAUGGCUGCAAUGCCUGAACUGAAUUGGCUAAUGAAACAUAGUCUUCUUUUCUUUCUCGACAUGGAACAUAGUCUUCUUUUCUUUCUGGACAUAUGUCUCUGUACUUUUCUCUCUCUACUGAUCCACACUUUUUCAUACUUCUAACUAUCAUUUUGUUUUUUUUUUUGGUUAAGUUGUGAUUUAUUCAAUUAUUUUGUAUUUUUAAUGACAAUUAUUUAAUAUUUAGUUAGUUUUGAUAUUGAUUAGUGAUUGAAAGUGUAUUUUAGAAGACUUCCGGUCUCUUGGAAAAAGGAAAAAUGGAGACGAAGAAGAAGUGUUCUUGAUUUUUUUGUAGGCAUUAAAGUUAAACGGUUUGAAAUGAUAUUUUGUUUUAAUUUCACUCAUUAAUCUCAUUCAGGAUAAAAUUAUAAAUGCAAAUAAAUGGGGUUUCAUGAGUUUUUUUUAAUAGUGUUAAAAGGUCUACUCACUAAAUAAACAUGUUUUACCCAAACCAAUCCGAUUAAUAAAGUUAUUGGGUUGGGUUGAUCAGGUUAAAAAUCAAAAUUAAAAAUUAAAUAAAUAAAAAAGGCGUUAAAACUAUCUGUUACUUGAAAAUAAAAAGAAUUUCAAAUAGUUAGUUCUAAUGUCCCAUAUCCAAAACAUGCAUAUUAAAUAAAUAUUAUAAGUUAGAGAUAAAAUAUCCAAGAAAUAAUGAAUGAAUGAAAUACCAUAUUUUUGUUGAGAAUUAAGAGUGUGAUUUUAAUUUUGAUAUUGGAGUCUAAAGCAAUAGAUAGUACAAUGAAAUCAUGAAUGCCACAUUUAAAUAAUGUCUUUUAUAAAAUAAUAAAAAGAAGUUAAAAAUUAGGUUAGCCAUUUAGGCGUUUAGGGUUUAGCAGUUAAGGAUGAACAUAUUAUUAUUAUUGUUGUUGUUGUUGUUAUUAUAACAAUUAUUAUUUACAUAUUAAUUAAUCCAACCCAACCCAAUUAUUAACAAACUAGGAAAUAAAACCGCACUUCGUGCGGCUUUAAAAGAAAAUUAAUAUUAUUUUUUUAUUACUUUACAAUUGAUGAAACUAAUAAAAAAUAUGAAUUAUUUUUAAAAUGACGUAAUCUUAUAAAACUAAUGUUAUUUAUGAAAGUUAAUUAUUUUUUUGUUAACAUUAAAAAUAUAUAUUAAUGUGUAUAGUUAAGUGUACACAACUUUUUCAUCAAUAAAAAUUAUGUUCACAUUAAUCAACUCUCCAUUUUUCUUAGUAUUAACAGACUCUCACAUCUUACAAAGUCUGACCCUUAUUAUUCAACUAUCUUUAUCAUAGUUUAACUCAUGAAGAAAAUAGUACUCCAUGAAGCAUACAAUACUAAAAAUUUAAAUAAGUCAAAAAAUAAAAACACAAAAACAUUUCUAAAGAGAAUGUUGGUUAAAUAAUAAAAAAAACUCAAACAUAACAAAUCUUAAAUGCUUAAUAUUUAUAGAGCUUGAAGAAGCCAAAAGAUACUAAAUAAAAGGUUGCAUAAUUAAAUAUAGGAUUAUAACAUUAAAAUUAGGUCAUAAGGCAUUGGUGAGGGAAGAGGAAGGAACAUUCCUUCUUAUAUUAAUUAGUUGAUGUAUUUUAAACCACUAAAGUUUAUUUGUUGGCUUAAUAAAAUAAAUGAAUGUUUCAAAACUUAUAAUUAAUUUAUUAUUAAUGGUUAUAUAUUGUUGAAUUUAAAUAGAAAGAGAAAGAGACAUGUAAUCUUUUGUAAUCUAUUAAUUAUUUUAUAUUUUUAAUAUUUUGUAAUGUAAUUAUUUUUUAAUCUCAACCAAUAUGUUAGAUAAUAGAGAAUAUAAAAAGAUGAGAAAUAAUAAUGCCACAAAUCUUAACUACUUAAUAUUUAUAGAGUUUGAAGAAGUCAAAAGGUACUAAACAAAAGGUUGCAUAAUUAAAUAUGAGAUUAUAGCAUUAAAAUUAGACCCCACUGGCAUUAUUGAGAGAAGAUGAAGGAACAUUCCUUCCUAUAUUAAUUAAUUGAUAUAUUUAAGCUACUAAAAUUUAAUUGUUGGCAUAAUAAAAUAAAUAAAUGUUUCAAGAUUUAUAAUUAAUUAUUAUUAAUGGUUACAUAUUAUUGAAUUUAAAUAGAAAGAGGAAGAGACAUGUAAUCUUUUAUAAUCUAAUAAUUAUUUUUAUUUUUAAUAUUUUAUAAUGUAAUUAUUUUUUUAAUAUCAACUAAUUUAUUAGAUAAUAGAGAAUACAAGAAGAUGAGAAAUAGUGAUGUCACAUCACCUCCUCUAGUCCCAACUUUAUAUAUAUAUAUAUAUAUAUAUAUAAUAUUUUGUAAUGUAAUUAUUUUUUAAUCUCAGCCAAUAUAUUAGAUAAUAGAGAAUAAAAAAAGAUGAGAAAUAAUGAUACCACAAAUCUUAAAUAUUUAAUAUUUAUGGAGUUUGAAGAAGCCAAAAGGCACUAAACAAAAGAUUGAAUAAUUAAAUAUGAGAUUAUGACAUUAAAAUUAGACUCUAAUGGCAUUGUUGAGGGAAGAUGAAGGAACUUUCCUUCCUAUAUUAAUUAAUUAAUGUAUUUUAAGCCACUAAAAUUUAAUUGUUGGCAUAAUAAAAUAAAUGAAUGUUUCAAGACUUAUAAUUAAUUAUUAUUAAUGGUUACAUAUUGUUGAAUUUAAAUAGAAAGAGGAAAAGACAUGUAAUCAUUUAUAAUAUAAUAAUUAUUUUCUAUUUUCUAUUUUAAUAUUUUGUAAUGUAAUUAUUUUUUAAUUUCAACCAAUUUAUUAGAUAAUAGAGAAUAUGAAAUGAUGAGAAAUGGUGAUGCCACAUCACCUCUUGUAGUCUCAACUUUAUAUAUAUAUAUAUAUAUAUAUAUUAAUUCAUGUCUUUUAUACCACUAAAGUUUAAUUGCUAGCAUAAUAAAAUAAAUAAAUGUUUCAGAAGACUUAUAAUUAAUAUUAUUAAUGAUUACAUAUUGUUGAAUUUAAAUAGAAAGAGAAAAAAAUUACAAAGAAUAUCCACCAAUAUUUUAGAUAUUUUAGAUAAUAGAAAAUAUAAAAAGAUGAGGAAUGAUAUAUAUUAAUAAAGUUACUAUUUAUUAAAUGAGUUAAAUACAAUCAAAUUAAUUAUGAGAAGAUGAAAAGCCAAAUCUAAAAAAAAAAUCUCUAUUUAUUAGAUAAUAGAGAAUAUAUAAAGAAGUAAAAUGGUGAUGCCACAUCACCUACUCAAGUCCUAGCUUUAUAUAUACACUAGAAAAUAGAACCGCGUUUCACGCGGCUUUGAAAAAAAAUUUUAAUGUUAUCUUUUUUUUUUAUUUUGCACAUGAUGAAACUGAUAAAAAAUAUGAAUUGACUUUUUUUUAAGAUGAAGCAGCCUUAUUAAAAAAAAACUAUUAGCCAGCAAUACAAAUAAAGAAGUAAUGUAAGAUAAAAAAUAAAAUGAGAGAAUAUAUUAUAGAAUGAUUUUAUUCAUUCUAAUUGUGUGGUACAAAACAAAAAGAUGAGCUCUCAUUUUAUAGUUACAUAAUCACUCCAUGAAAUUAAUGAAAAAUUAUGGAUCAUAAUUCCUUGUGAGAUAGUGGGAGUUAUAGGGAAGCUAAAGGUUGCUAAUGGAAGAUAGUGGGGAGACUAAGAGAUAUAUGUUAUGAACAUCUACAUUUAUUUUAAUAAAUUCAUAACACUCCCCCUUUGAUGUUCAUUAUAAAAAAUAUGCCUCAUUAAAAUCUAUUAGCCAACAAUACAAAUAAAAAAGCCACACAAUAUAAAGAAUAAAAUGAGAGAAUAUAUUAUAGAGUGAUUUCAUUCAUUCCAAUUAUGUGUGUACAAAACAAAAAGAUGAGCUCUCCUUUUAUAGUUACAUAAUCACUCCAUGAAAUUAAUGAAAAAUUAUGGAUCAUAAUUCCUUGUGAGAUAGUAGAAGUUAUAGGAAAGCUAAAGGUUACUAAUGGGAGAUAGUGGAGAGAGUAAAAGAUAUAUGUUAUGAACAUCUACAUUUAUUUUAAUAAAUUCAUAACACUCCCCUUUGGAUGUUCAUUACAAAAAAUAUGUCUCAUUAAAACCUUUAUAUAAUUGUUAUUGUGUAAUAACAAUCAAAUUAAUUAUGAGAAGAUGAAAAGUCAAAUCUAAAAGAAAAUUUCUCUAUUUAUUAGAUAGAUAAUAGAGAAUAUACAAAGAUGAGAAAUAGUGAUGCCACAUCACUCUCUCAAGUCUCAACUUUAUAUAGAUAUAUAGAUUUGAAAUGAUUGACUCAAUUAAUCCACAAUAAUUCAUUCAACUCGUCUAAAUUAGAUUAUGUUGAAUUUGAUUUGCUACACCUACAUUGAGCAACAAACCUCAACGACAUUCUACGAGCUCUUUGAUUGUUUAUAAAAUUGAUUUAGAGUACAUAAAGUGUAUCGACAAUGAAAGUGCAAAACAAAUUAUUGUACAUAUUAAAAUGUGCAAAACAAUGAAUUAUAUGUACAAACGAGUGCAAACACAUUUUUCAAUAAGAAGUUAAAAGAUAUUUAUGCAUGAAAAAGCCUACGUUUGUAGUUAUUCUAAAUUUUAAAAACAAAAUUUACAUUUAGAUCCCUAAAAUUUACGUAUAAGUAUAAAAGUUUCAAAUAUUGUCUAUUAUUUUUUUAACAUGCCUAUUCCUUAUGGAUAAUUCUGUCUCAUCACUAAUGUUGUUUCUUGCUUAGAAAAAAUAAAUGUCAUCUCCUUUUACAAUUUUUAUAGCGUCUCGAAAUAGACAAUAGGGGAUUUUGAAUUUUUUAAGUCUCAAGAUAGUCUCUAAUCGUGUGAGAAAGAUUUUCUUUCAAUAAUUUGGAGCUAAACAUAACAUAUUUUUUAGACUAAAAUCUAACUCUGCUGGUUAGUAGUUGGUGGUAUCCUUUUCAAGACUUGAGUCUUUAGAUUCGAGUUUUAUAUAGUGUACAUGUGUAUUUAAUUAAUAAUUUUUUUCAAAAAAAAAAAUUACAUCAAAUACUAAUAUUCAUGACAUAAUUUAGUUCAUAAUUUUUUUAAAUACAUCGAAAAAUAUAAUUUUUUAACAACUUAUAGGCACGACAAAUUUCAAGAUAUAAAUAUCAGUCAAAAUAAAUGAAAGAAAUAAUGGUGUCAAUUCUAAUUUCUUAACUAAAUUAAUUAUUGCAUGAGCCCCGAAUACGACAUGAGAGUUUGAUGGGCUAACUUGGCACAAGAACGCGAAUAGUUAACUCAUUUAAGAAAUAAUUCAACAAAAAAUAUAAUUGAUAAGAAUUCAGUAUUGAAAUGAAUUUUUUACGAAACAUUGAAUUAAUGAUUAUUAAGCAAGAACAAUAAAAAAAUAAAAUAAAAAUAAAUAUUAACCAUUGAUAAGCUUCAACAAGAACUUAACACAACCCUCAAUCCUAAUUCAAAUCAUAAAUGUCAUUCAUAUAUUCAUUAUAAAUCAAUAACAAAGGUUAUAAAUGUUUAGAAAUUCUAGAGGGAAGGAAGCUAUCUCCGGGGAAUCAACAACUAAAUUUGAUGUAAUUGUGGCACACGAUGGAAUAUGGAAACUACACCAUAAUUUCAAAUGCCGCCAUAGACAUUGACUUAUCUACAAUAACAAUGAUCUAAUUAAAAUUAAAAUAAAGUUUAUGGGCAUUUAUUAUUUUGCCAUUUCUCAUUUGCAAACAGGGAUAUAAUUAUAAUUUUACUUAGUCAAAGCAAUCAGUAAUUUUCUUCAUUAUCGGAGUGAAGUAAAAACAUUUAGAUUUUAAUGAGUGUACGGAAAAUUUAUCUUUAAAAAUACUUUCUUAAUGUGUGUGUAUAUAUAUAUUGAAAUAUUAUGCUAUCAAAAGUUAAUUUUAGAAAUUCCAAAUCCAAUAGCUAACACAAUUCUUUAAAGAAAAAAAAAAAAAGGUUGAUAAUCAGCAAUUAGUAUUACUUUCUAAACUUACUUCAACUGGUCGUUAAUGAGGGGCCUUGGGCAAGAGUGAUGAAUGUUUAGUCGGUGCAUUUGAUUGAUAGAUAUAUAAAGGGCCGAAACUUGAGAUUAUAUUACUUUUACAAAUUUUAAUCCAAUCACAUAUUUACUGAAACACAAAAUGAGUUAGGAUACUUUAUUUAGAACCCACAUUUUAAUAAGGCUUCAUUUGAUGUAGUUUUUCAAACAGUGAUUAUUUGAGUAAAGUUUCCUCAAUAGAGUUUUUAUCAAAUAAAUUUUAUUUAUUUGGUUGUCGAUAAGAACUUUUAUUAAAAAUUAUAAAAUUAUUUAAAUAAACAUAUUUUUUUAAAAUUACAUUAUAAAAAGAAUUAAAUAAAGUUAUAAAAGUAAAAUAUAUUUUAGAUAUUUUAAUAUUUAAGAAAAAAAUUUUGAAUCUCUACUUUCAGAAGCUCAAAUUUUUAGUUUUUAGUUGUAGAGACAAAAUAUCUUAUUUAAUCUUUAAAAGUUCUGCUAAAAACAAUCAAAUAACUAUAAAAUUUUUAAUAAGAGUAUAUAAAAUUAAAUAAGCAUUUAUUAAUAAUCACUUUAGUGUACUUAUCUAAUGACCAUAAGUGUUUAUUUAAUCUCAUAAGUUCUUAUUUAAUCUCAUGAGCUCUUUUCAAUUUUUUUUGUUGUUUGCUUUUUUUAGUAGAGUUUUUGAAAAUUAAAUAAACUAUUUUGUCUCUAUUAGGAAAAACUCAAAUUUUAGGUUUUUGUGAGUAAAUGUUUAAAUUUUUUUAAAAAUAUUAAAAUAUUAAAGUAAAAGUUGUAGAGACAAAAUAUCUUAUUUAAUGUUUAAAAGUUCUGCUAAAAAUAAUCAAAUAACUACAAAAAUUUUAAUAAGAGCAUAUAAAAUUAAAUAAGCAUUUAUUAAUAGUCACUUUAGUAUACUUAUCUAAUGACCAUAAGUGUUUAUUUAAUCUAAUGAGCUCUUUUUAAUUUUGUUUGUUUGUUUUUUUAGUAGAGUUUUUGAAAAUUAAAUAAACUAUUUUGUCUCUAUUAGGAAAAACUUAAAAUUUAGGUUUUUGUGAGUAAAUGUUUAAAUUUUUUUUAAAAUAUUAAAAUAUCUUUUCUUUAUUUCAUAAUCUUAUUUCAUUCUUCACAACAUAACUUUAAAUAACUCACCUAUUAAAAUAAUUUCACAAUUUAUAAUAAAAAUUUUAAUUGACAAUCAAAUAACAAAUUUUUUUUUAUAAAAACUCUAAUAAUAAAAAUUCUACUUAAAUAAAUUAUAUUUGAAAAGGUAUACCAAACGAACCUAACAUAAAAACAAAAAUUUUUACAUCCACACAAUUAAGCUUAAAACAAUUUCAAAUGAAUUUUAGACUACUCAAAGUACAAUACGUACCAAGUUUGGUAACUUAUUGGGGUCCGCUUGUAAUACAGCUCAUGAGCUCUUUUUAAAAAAAUUUUGAAUCUCUACUUUCAGAAGCUCAAAUUUUUAGUUUUUAGUUAUAGAGACAAAAUAUCGUAUUUAAUGUUUAAAAGUUCUGCUAAAAACAAUCAAAUAAUUACAAAAAUUUUAACAAGAGCAUAUAAAAUUAAAUAAGCAUUUAUUAAUAAUCACUUUAGUGUACUUUAUCUAAUGACCAUAAGUGUUUAUUUAAUCUCAUGAGCUCUUUUUAAUUUUUUUGUUGUUUUUUUAGUAGAGUUUUUAAAAAUUAAAUAAAUUAUUUUGUCUCUACUAGGAAAAACUUAAAAUUUAGGUUUUUGUGAGUAAAUGUUUAAAUUUUUUUACAAAUAUUAAAAUAUUUUUUUCUUUAUUUCAUAAUCUUAUUUCAUUCUUCACAACAUAACUUUAAAUAACUCACCUAUUAAAAUAAUUUCACAAUUUAUAAUAAAAAUUCUAAUUGACAAUCAAAUAACAAUUUUUUUUUAAUAAAAAUUCUACUUAAAUAAAUUAUAUUUGAAAAAGUAUACUAAACAAACUUUUUUUAGACUAAUCAAAGUACAUCUUCUCAUAAAAUAAUUUCACAAUUUCUAAAAAAAACUCUAAUUGACAAUUAAGUAACAACUUUUUUUUUUUUGUAAAAACUUUAUUUAUAAAAAAUCUAAUAAUAAAAAUUCUAUUUAAAUAAAUUAUAUUUGAAAAUGUAUACUAAACCAACCUAACAUAAAAACAAAAAUUUUUACAUCCAGACAAUUAAGCUUAAAACAAUUUCAAAUGAAUUUUAGACUAAUCAAAGUACAAUACGUACCAAGUUUGGUAACUUAAUUGACAUCUUCUCAUAUAACCUUCGAUCAAGUCGAUUCUGACCUGACGACUAAUUGGUACAUCACCGUUGUUCUCUAUACUCGCAUGCAUCCGAUCACAAAUCUCACUCCAAUUGUCGUCUUUCUUCGGCGUUUUAGCGCAUCCUUCUUGAAUUUCCCGCAUUUCGUUCCCUCCUGUUACAAGUCUCCGGUCAGGUCAGUUCACUUGACGAUUAAUUCGGCAAAUCUCGAAUCUCUUCUCUAUCCCUCUCGUUUUCUCGUGUCUCCUUUCAGUUUAAGUGAUUGAAUCAAUUUUAUCGCAGUCUUAAGAGAAAUUAAGUAAUGCUCUUGGAUUUAAAAUUUUUUUGCUUUCGACUUUAGAUCUCGAAAGUCAAACUCUGCUACGAAUCCAUAGAUUCUCAAUGUUUAUAAUCUUAUUUGUGUUUGACCAGGUAACUGGAUCGUGAAAUUCGUCGUUUUGUAUCAAUUCAGGCUUUCGCGAGCUCAUGGAAUCACCUGGUGAGUUGUGGUGAAACGUUAUCGUUUCAAUUUUCGCUUAAUUCUUUAUUGCAUAUUUUUUCUCUAACAUUUCAGUUUAAUUUAGAAAAGAAAGAGGACCCAAAAAGAGAGAGAGAGAGAGAGACUCUACCAUACUCAAUUCCUUGCUCAUUCUGAUUUGGCCUGAAUGUUGGCAUUGACUAUUAUUUGUUUUCAUUUCGAUUUAAUUCUCAUUUAGACAGUCUUUACUAACGGUCAAUAAUAGUUUAAGGAAAAUGAUAAUAGGGAUUCUGCAAUAAUCUUUCUGCAUUGUUCAAGUUAGUAGACGAUGAAUAGGAUGUUUAUGUUUACCUCAUUUUGAACCCUGAGGGCUUCGUUGAGUAGUUGAUUCAACAUAUCCAGCAACGGUUGAUGUGAGAACAGGAUGCCACUUAGAUAGGCUUAAACUGAUUUUGGAGGUUUGUAUUGGUUCUAUUGUACGUCUUGCUUACAAAUUUUUUAUUUUUUAUUUUUAAUUUUGUAUAAUAUGCUCUUUGUUGGUAAAUCUCAUUUGACUUAGAAGAGAUAGUUUUAUCCCAACAGUGGGAUAAAUCAUUGAGAUGCAUGGCAGUGUGAAUAUAGUAGACAAAAUCAUUGAGACACAUGGUGGUGUGAACAUAGUAAACUUCAUGGAAGCAAUGAAGCUUGAAAUUGAACGUCUGCAGCUGAAUCUUUCUGCAGCUGAAAGGGAUAGAGCUUUAUUGUCAAUCGGAACUGAUCGUGCCUCUAUAAAUCCAAAUGUAUUGCUUGAUGAAUCUUACAUGGGAAGACUGUGUCGAGUAGCAACCACUCUUGCAUUACUUGGCCAAACUUCCCUAGAAGACAAAAUUGUUGGUGCAAUUGGCCUUGAGAAUAGUGAUGAUAGUGUUUUAGACUUCUGGAAUAUUACUAGAAUCGGAGAGAGUUGUUCUGGUGGCUGGUGGCGGGUGCAAGGUUCGUGCAGAAACUAAGGUGCCUGCUCUUGCUUCCUCAACUGCAACAUCUGUUGGAGCUUCACAAUCCCCUUUGUUGUGUUCUCAAUGUGAAAGAAAAGUUUGCAAAGUUUGUUGUGCAGGAAGAGGAGCUCUACUGUUUUCAAAUUAUAAAUCAAGGGAUGUGACCAACUACAAUGGCUUCUCAAGUCAGAGUGGAUCAAGCCAUGGAAGCCAAGUUGAUGUACCUACCAGUCGUUCACUAACACUGGAUGGCGUUGUCUGUAAACACUGCUGCCAUGAGAUUGUGCUUGAUGCAUUGAUGUUGGACCAUGUUAGGGUCUUGAUUAGCUUGCGAAGAAGUUCCCGUGCAGACAACACAGCAUACAAUGCUUUGAAUGAGGUUGUUGGAUCCUGCUUAAAGGAUAGUCUUUCUGAAAGGAUUCAGUCUUCCGAUAACGUGCAAGCUGCUGAAGUCCUUCACCAAUUAUGUGGUGGACAGGAAUCAGUUGCUGAAUUUCCAUUUGCUAGCUUUUUGCACUAGGUAUGUUCUUGGUUUGUAUUCAGUUCUCAUCAUGUUAUGUUUUCCUUUUAAAUUUCUUUUCUUGAUUAAAAUUUUUAGAAAUAUGUUUUAGUAUUUGUUCUUAUGAUAUAUGCCCAGAACAUUCAUCCCACUUAUCCAUGAGAAUCCUUGUCUGGUUUGAUUUUCAAUUGAGACAUUUUUGGGAACCCUGAGCAGGUUCCAUAUGCUAAUAAUCUUUGAGGUAAGGUGUUGUAGGAUGCCUUGAGAAGCUAAAAACCAAUUACAAGGAAAAGCUCUUGCAUUGUUUUGUGCAAUCUGUGUGCUAGCAAGUCAUGUCUCUAAUAAUUUCAUAGUUCGCUUGAUUGGAAUUUUUUAUCUUGAUAUGGAUUGUUUAUUCUAGAUUCCUUGGUGCCACUGUAGGUUGAAACAGCAAAAGAUUCAGCACCGAUUUUGUCACUGCUUGCUCCAUUAAAUUCUGGAUCAAGGCACUCAUAUUGGAGAGCUCCACCUAGUACUACUUCUGUUGAAUUUGUUAUUGUUCUCGGUUCUGUUUCUGAUGUCAGUGGGGUUAUCUUGCUUGUUAGUCCUUGCGGCUAUCUGUGGCUGACACUCCGAUGGUAAGUGCCAUAUUUAUUCCCUUAUUUCCUUGUUGUUCAAUAAAUUUGGUGAUAAGCCAAGUGGCCUUAAUAAUGAAGCCCAGUACCAGGGGUGGUGGGUAAUCGAUAUUCAACUUGUGAAUAUUCCUAAGCAAGCACGGAAUCAACAUAGACGUCGGCAAAAAUUCUCCAUGCUAUUAUAACGAAAGUCAUAUUUUGAAAUGAUUAAAAGAGUCCCUUUGUAGUGCCAUUGCCAAAGAAAUUGCAGCUGGGGGUUUAGUUUCAUGUAGGUUAGUUUCCGAUAAUAAACUUUCCAUUUCAUUAAUUGCUGAUGAAAAAACCAAGUAAGAACAGUUUCGUUGCUCGUCAUUUAUGUAUAUUUUGGUAAACUGUAAUUUUAAAUUCUCAACGAUCUUCCCUUGGUAGGUAAGAAGAUGGUCCACUCACUUUAUAUUUAUGAUUGUAGAUCAGGUUUCUAUUGGUUUGCCUUUAUCAUUGGGAACCCAAGUUUGAUAUUAACAGAGAUCACGUCAAUAAUAUCCUAUUUGGGUAGAUGUGGGUGAGGAUUUAAAAUCAAAUUUGAAAUUGGGGGAAAGAAGAGAAAAGGAACCACAAUAAUUAAACAAAAUAUUAGGAACUAUUCUGAUGAGUUUUAAUCUCGAGAGGAACAAUUUUCAAAUGCAAAUUUAACUGCUAGAGAAAUUGUAGCUUUUUGUCAUUAGUUAAGAGGAAAGAGAAUAAGAACUAUCCAGCCCUUUCCUUCAUGAAUGUGUGUUGAGGUUGCUGUAUUAUUUAGUCAGUAUUUGUAAUUUUCUUCCCUGCAGUGCUCUCUGCCUCCUGAAUUUGCUACUGAGUCCAUAUUUUUCUUUGAGCUGUUGCUUCCUAUUGCUGUUACAAGUACAAAUCUGGGCAAGCAAUAAGAUACACCGGGAGGAAAGGUCAUCAAUGGGAAAAUGGGAUGUCCAAUCCCUCAUCACAUCUUCUUCAGACUUGUAUGGUCCAGAAAAGACAGCUAGUGUUGAAAAAUUACCUAGGCAUGUAAAAUUUACUUUUAAGAAUCCUGUUAGGUGCCGCAUUGUUUGGAUCACAUUACGUCUUCAGAGACCUGGUUCGGCUUCAGUUAAUUUCGGGAAGGACUUCAGUCUUUUGUCUCUUGAUGAAGAUGAAAACCCCUUUGCGCAAGUAGACAGACGUGCUUCAUUUGGAGGAGCAGUUGAAAAUGAACCAUGUAUUCAUGCCAAAAGAAUUCUUGUAGUCGGAAGCCCAGUAAAAAGGGAGGGGCUUACCUCAUCACAGAGCUCUGAGCAGCUAAGUAUUAGAAACUGGUUGGAUAGAGCUCCACAAAUGAGUAGAUUCAAGGUAUUAGUUGCUUUCACUCUUUGUUCAUUCAUAAUUCCAGCUUUCUGCUUGAUGCCCUGCCUCUGAUAAACCUCUUUUUUUCUCUUCAGGUCCCAAUUGAGGCCAAGAGAUUGAUGGACUACGAUCUCGUCUUGGAACAAUAUCUACCUCCAGCGUCACCUUUGCUUGCCGGAUUCCAUCUAGACGCUUUCAGUGCAAUAAAACCUAGGGUUACCCAUUCACCUUCCUCAGAUUCAGAUAUCUGGGACAAAUCAGUAACAUUUUUAGAAGACAGGUACAUCUCUCAAGCUGUGUUGUAUUUACAAGUAUCCGCACUCCAGGAACCACAUAACAUGGUAACUAUUGCGGAAUAUCGACUGCCGGAGGCUAGAGCCGGAACGCCAAUGUACUUUGAUUUCCCAUGACCGAUACAGUCCCGACGAGUUUCAUUCAAGCUUCUUGGAGAUGUUACAGCAUUUGCAGAUGAACCUUCAGAACAAGAUGAUUCAGGAUUGAGAGCUCCACUUGUGGCCACAGGUUUGUCUUUGUCAAACAGAAUCAAGUUAUAUUAUUAUUGUGAUCCUUAUGAGCUCGGAAAAUGGGCAAGCCUUUCUGGAGUUUGAUCGUUAUUUAUAUGUCAGAGAAAGGGUUUUGGGUUUGAUUUUGAUUUUGAUUUGUAAUUUUUGUCAGUUUAUUGAAAUUUUUUGUUGUAUAAAAGCAGAAUGUAAAGGUAUAAAAAUUCAUUGAUGCUGCAAUGUCUGUGCUUUUGAGAAAGAAGAAUUAAUUGUCUUUUCUAUGCCAUUGGAGUUUCCCACUGCUUGUAUACUUGGGCUGUCGAAUGCUCUGUGAACCUUAAGGGCUAUAAAGUAAUUUUCAAGACUGAAGGAUUUAUUAAUCGAGUUCAAAAGAUUGUAAGUUGGUGACUGGUGAGCGUUGGCAUUUAAAAAUCAAUUGUUAUUCUCUCAAUAAUCUCUCUCUUCUCCUCGUGAAGUGUUUUCUUUUUCGAGUGAAGGUGGUUUUCCACUUGCAUACGUCGGGGGUCUUAUGAUAUGUAAUGUGUGAAAUUUCUUUCUCAUUUUACCAUAAAGAAAAAUGUUGUAAUAAUCUAAAGCUCGAGUCUUAAAUUAUCUUAAAUUUAUAUUUAGAGUGGAGCUAUUCGCAACCCUAUAUUAAAAUUACAAUUAAAAACAAUUGAAAAUUAAACACUUAUAGAUUCUUUUUACAGCAAAUUACUUAAUUCAUAAUCAAUCCUUUAAAAAAAAAAUACAUAUGUUAUUUCUUAUCUAACUAAAAUAAAUUGUACAAAUUUAGAAUAAUCUAUUGUUCUCUUUUGAUUUCUUAUUAUUUAAAUAUUUUUAUACAUAAAGUUACUUUGAAAUUAUAAUUUGAAAUAUGUGUUAUUUCAGCCAAUGAUUAACACUAAAAAAUUUAUCACCCAUAUAACUUUUUAAUUUGUGUGUAGGGUAAUAAUAAAAUCGAAAAUAAUUAAAAAAAUAGUACAAUAAUGAUUUUUAACAAUAAAACAAAUCAAAUGAAAAUUGAAAAUUUAGAAAAGUGUAUCUAAAAAAAGGAACGUUUUCAAAAAUAAAAUGAAUAUAACUAAAAAGAGAUUUUAUGAGGAGAUCACUGGGGUGCCAAUAGUCCAACUUGUAAUUAAGAAUCUCCCAUUAUAUUGUCAACCAAAAAGACACUUGAAUAAGAAGAAGAAUUUAUCAGUUUGAUUUUAUUUGUAGAUCCAACAUUUCUCAUAUCCUGAACGCCUUUUCGUAUCAAAUUAAAACAGUAGUAGCAAAAUCGUAGUAUUAAAAUCGUAGUGCACAUUCAAUUAACCAACUAAUAGUCUUUGGUAUAAGAUUUUAUAUUAGGUAGCCAAGUAGGUUGUCCAUCCCACUCAGACAUGCACGAAAGCUAAAUUCAUCAAAUGAAUUACUUAAGAAGUAUUUGAUAAUUUUGAAAUUAUCAAAAGGUGUUAUACUAUUAAAUAUUUUUAUACUUAAAAUUGUUUUGAAAUUAUAAGUUCAAAUUAAAAUAAUAGUAGCAAAAUCGUAGUGCACAUUCAAUUAACCAACUAAUAGUCUAAGAAGCAAAGAGAGGAUUACAAGUUCACAACACCAUUACAAAGGAUUCAAAAUUCCCACACGAAUACAUCAAUGUACAGAUUAUAAACAAUCCGAAUUGGACACAAGAAAAACCCUUCAAUAGAUUGCUUGCCUUCCCAAUGCUAUAUACUGUGCAAACUGCGCAUUGGCCAAGAAAAUGUUUUCAAUUUAGUGUAUUUUCAAAAUGCUUAUUUUCUCAUAGUAUAAAAAAUAAAAAAAAUAAGAAAGAAUUCUCACAUGUUUCAUCAGCAUGAUUAAAAUCAAAGAAGAAAGCGAGACAUAAUGUCUCUGACAUAAUAAAAUUACAAAAAUUUCAAGGAAAAAAAAAGGUUAAAACAUGUAAUCUUCAGAAGCAUAUAAUAAAAGAACACUUCCACAAAUUACUACAAUUUCAUGCAGUAGAGAUUGAAGAGUUGAAUUCCACUAAUUUUAAUAAUGAAAACAACAACAGAGGAUUAACUGAUGCUUUGACUUAUUAGUUCUGCAGAGCAUCUCCAAAAGCCUAUAUAAAUUUUACUCUUCAAAUACUUAUUUGCUUACCUAUGUGGCAAAUAAAAGGGUGAAAAAAUAUGAUAUUCUCCAAAAGACUCUUCAAAUAGAAAAAAGUUAAUAUUAUUUUAAUCAUAUAAUUAAUUUUUUAAAGAAAAAGUCAAUAGCAAUUAAAGCACUUCUCUCUCUUUCUUCAAUGAAAAGUAAUAAAAUAUAAAUUGAAGAGGGAGAAAUUAACUCUCCAAAUUUGAAGAGAGAGAAUUAAUUCUUAUUUAAAGAAUCUUAAUUGAAGUGUCUUUUGGAGCUUUAAAUAUUGAUGUGGCUCUUCAAAUAAGUAAUAAAAUCUUAUUUGAAGAGCCUUUAAAUAAGGUGCUUUCAAAAGCAAAAUGGAAUACAUAGAUAAAAACAUCAUCUUAAACAAAUCACAAUCUAGAAUUAGAGCAUUUUCGACAUACCUAAGGAAAACGAAUACGUGAAAACGGGUGAUUCAUUUGUUAAGGAGUGUUGAUUUGGUCGUCUCUGCAAAUUCUUUAGGGACUCGGUUCCAAUUCCUCAUCAUCAAAACUGUAAUAUAAUUCCCCUUCAUCAGAACUCGAAUCGAUGCAAUAUAAUUCCCCUUCAUCAGAACUCGAAUCAAAUUCACUUGCAGCAGUUCCACUCGCGCUUGGCAAAUCAUCCAAUUUCCAAACUUCGGUAGCAAAAUUGAGAGUAAAAGUGUUGGCUUUGAUCUCGCUGGGAUUUGCAUAUACUGGACAUACUCCGCAACGUUUUAUCUUCUGACCCUUUUGGACCUUUAUUAUGUUUCGGUAACGCUCAUUGAAGAACUUAAGUGAGACAGUUGUAUGAUGGUAACCAUCAGGAAAGCCAACAUUCAAGCAAGGUUUAAAACCAAGUAUGACAUGAUCUGAAUCAUGGGGGUCUUUAAUAGAGUCCCAAUAGAAACUCAGAUCAACAUGUUUGGUUUCAGAGAGAGUCUUUAUUUCUAAGUCGGAUCGACAGUAAACGUAAAAAUAACGAGAACGAUCAGAAUAAAGUUGCUUAAAAUCAAGAACAGCACAAAAAGCAAACCCGAUUAAGUUUCUGCAAAAAGAGUGCGGUGGCAGUUGAAUACGUAUCGAAGAUCCUGAACUUUGAUUGCUGAACCAGUCAGGAAUUUCGCUCCCAGGUAAAACAAUUUGGGAUUCCCUGAGUUCAGAAAGUUUCUGUGAAACGACAUUUAAAAAAAGAAAAUUGUAAAAUGAAAACCAUGAUUUCAGAUAUAACAAAGAGGGACAGAGUAAACAAGAGAGGGAAUUUGAUACCUCGUUGUAUGCAUUUUCAUAGCCCAGUCUCAGUGAUGCUGCAAUUGCCAUACGUAGUGAAUCUGCCAAAAUCUUGUUGUUUGCUUUUCCAUCAAGUUUCAAGCAGUUAGUAAACCCAAAAUAAAUUGGUUGUGGCGUCACAUAUUCCGGAUGCCAUUGACGAAGGUCAGGAGAGGGUUUGGAUAGCUUUUCGAGUACGGAUGCAUCUAGUUCUUGUACACAUGACGGAAUCUCUGGCAAAGAUUGAAGCCGGUUGCAGUUCAUUGCAAUUAGUGACUGUAGACACAAUGGAAGUUCAGGUAAUGACCGAAGCAUGUUACAAUCCUCCAAGUGAAGAGUUUCUAAACCCAAUGGAAGUGCUGGUAAUGACUGAAGCAUGUUACAACGCCACAAGUGAAGAGUUUCUAGACCCAAUGGAAGUUCUGGUAAUGACUGAAGUAUCUUACAAUCCCUCAAUUCAAGAAAUUUUAGGCCCAAUGGAAGUUCUGGUAAUGACUGAAGCAUAUUACAAUCCUCCAAGUAAAGAUAACUUAGCCACGACAGUUGCUUGAUACUUGCAGGUAAACUCUCAAAGUUAUUUCCAUUUAAAUUGCCAAUGUUAUCCGGCAACUUAUCAAGUACAGAGCAACCACUUACGGACAAAAGUACAAGCCCCGUUUGCAAUGCCUCAAAUCCAACUUUUCAAGAUCAGUUAGGCACUCUACUGAUGAUGGAACUUCUUCUAUUGCAGUCUGGCCCAAGUUUAGCGAUGUUACUUUCCCAGAAAUCUGUGGAAACUCUAUGAGAUUAACACAAUAGGAGAAAUCAAUAGUUACUGGACAAACAAAAUGAAGAUUGCUAGGAAAAGACCUAAGACUUUUGCAGCCCAUAAAAUCCAACCUACUGAGAUACUUGAAAUUCUGGAUAUAUGAGGGAACACAAGCCAAGUUUGUAUAAUCCAAAAGAUAUGUUUCAACAUUUGGGGUUUCUAAUGGGCCUGGCAUCUUAAUGAAAUGUCGAGAAUGGCUGAGGUUAAUAGAUUUUAACUUGAAAGCUUCCUGCAAUAACAGAUAUAUAAAGACUAUAUUAAUUAAAAAGCAACAUUGAAUUCAACAAUUAAUUGCACGUAUAUUUAAAGAAAGAAAAAAUUAAUGUUUUAGUUUUAGUACAGAACUUACCUUUUCUCCUUCCCAAAGUUGCUCAACUUUACUAAAACGCAAAUUCAGUUCAACAAGGUUCUUUGGCUUGAAAUUUGAUGGCAGUGUCCUUAAGGGAUAUGUGUCCCAAUGAAGAUAUCUCAAUUUUUUAGGAAGAUAAUCUAGGCCAUUUGGAAGCUGCACUUUAGAGUAUGAAAGUUGCUCUUCAAUGCUCAUACUUAGAAACUUUUCAAUCUCAGGUACAUAAAAUUUGAGCAAUCUUAGAUUAGACAUUUUUGUGAAGGCUCCAGGGUCUAAAUUGAUGCCUUUUAUUUUGGACAAAUCCAGAAAUAUGCCUUCAAUUGCAUCGGUCCCCUUAUUAAAAAAAAAAACAAAGAAUGAGUAACCCUAAAACAGAAAAGAAACAUUCGCAAACUUUAUUAACUAAGAACUCCUUAAACAAAAACAAAUUCUGCAAUCUUUGAUUUUAUUUUUUAAAAAUAUUAAAUAUCUAUAUAUGAGAAAAGAAAAUUUUGGGGACCAUUGCAAAAUUAAACUAACCAAAAAAAAAAUUCAAAAUUUCUCUAAUUUACAAACCUGUUAUCUUAAUAUCUAGAAGUUGAGAAGACAAGGCGUAUUUGAUUGGUAUAAGAUUUCGAUUUUUUUUUUAGUCCAUAGAAUCCAAAAUGUUUGUUCAAAAUCAGGGAAAAAAACGAAAGUUAUUUUUUUUUCCACUAGCUGUAAUUGUAUCCAAGUCAAAUUGAGAUACGACCCUUUUCGAAAGGAUUUAAUCAUCUUAUAGCCUCCUUAAGAUACAUUUAAGCUAAAAGGAGUGAUUGGAGGCAGAACUUAGUGGGCCAAUCAGUUCAUUUUAUUAGCGACUGUUGCUUAAAAAAAAUUAUACUCUAAAACACACUUACUUUUUUGAAAAAAAAUAUAAUUAUAUUUAAGUAGAACCAGGUGGGCCAAUCCUCAUGGCACUCACUUUGUUCUGACACUCUUCACUAAAUUUGAAGAAAAAUAAAAUUAUACUCUUCACACUCUUAUUCAACAUUCCAAAAUUGAUAAAAUCUGGAGUUUUCUUUAAAAUUUUAAAAUUUGAAGACUUGUUCUCUUGACACCCUCAGUCAUUAAUUUUACCUAAUUAUGGUUUUGGUUGUUUUGUUCAUAAAAAUGCUUUUACUAAAGGAUGUUCUGGUAAUGAAAAAAUUUAUAAAAAAACAAACAUGGGUGUGCUGAUAUAGUUGGAAAAAUAUGAGUGCAUAACUCCAAACAAAUAAAAGAUACAUAAAAAAAAAAAAGGAGGAUUCUUACCAUAUUAUGCUUUAGUACGCGGCGGAUUUCCUUAGGAUCCCACAACCUACUGCGUCUGCCUGGCUCUUCCUCAGAUUCUUGGCGAACAAUCUCUCGGCCCAUUUCUUGCAAUAAAUCAUGCAUUUGCAAGCAGUUAUCUGACACUGUUAUAAGUGACUUGUCCACGAGGACAUCCAGUCUGUGAGACCCAGAAUCAUCAAGUAUCCUUAACACAAAAUCUUUAUCCUCUCCCUCAAGGAAACACGCAAUAUCUAGAAACAUACUCUUCACCCUGGGCGUUAAUUCUUUAAAACUAAUCUUUAAUGUAUCAUAAAUACCAUGAAUAUCAGAUUCACAAAUCCGAUUUAAGUCGUCCAAUACAUUUUCCCAAUGGCUUUUCCCCUUGAGAUACAGGGAGGAACCCAACACUUUAAGAACUAAUGGAUUGCCAUCGGCAUACCAUACAACCCUCCAUGAGUGCCGGUAGAGAUCUUCAGGACAAUGAUUUUCUUUAACAGCGAAGUUACAAAAAUGCUCGAAAGCCUCAUCAAAUUUCAAUCCAUUGACCCUAUAUAUUUUCUCCACUCCAAAUUUUUCGAGGACUCGUUUAUCCCUGGUGGUUACAACAAUUCUACUUCCUGGACCAUAUUGAUCAAGCCCUCCAAUCAAACCCUCUAAUUGUUCAUCUUUAUUCACAUCAUCGAGUACAAUCAACACCUUCAUGCGUCGGACCCUCCCUUUAGUAAAUUGUGGAAUAUUGGGACCAGCUACUUCAAGUUUUUCACUUAAUAUUGUCGAAAGCAUUUCCUUUUGUAGGUCUUCUAGGCCACCCUCUGUUUCUGAUUUUCUCCUAACAUUUUUUGCAAAGUAUUUACCAUCAAACUCACCAGAGAAUUGAUCGAAAAUAGCUUCAGCAAGGGUAGUUUUGCCUAUACCACCCGUGCCCCAAAUUCCAACAAUAUGGACAGUAUCCCACAAAUCCAUACACAGAAAUGGUUUAAUCUGCUCAAUUCGUGAAUUUAAUCCAACUAGGCCAUUGGAUGAGUCCGUUGAGACUGUUAUUUUUUCCAACUUCUUCAAAACAUCAUCGACAAUUUUGUUUACAAGUUCCGCAUCGUGCCUAAUAUAAAGGUGCAAAGAUGCAAAAACAUUGAGUCAAAUCGGGCCAAGACAGAAACAGAGAAAAGAUGAAUUAGGAAAGAGAGUUACCUGAAUUUCGUGGAUUCAUGGCCGGCUAGAUGGGAUGUUUCUGUCAGUGCAUCCCUCCACUUCUGAACCAUUUCUGGUUUAUCUUCGAACUGUUUUUUGAGCUCAUCAAAACGGUCUCCAAAUGUUCCGUUUUGAUGCCGCACAUCAGAUGGACUUACUCCAUAGAAGACUGGAAUAAUAAUUUGGCCGUUUGUGUUCUUGCAUUCAAGAAUCUUGACAAGUUCAUUCAGGCACCAUUUUGAAGAAGCGUAGUCCUUUGAGAAAAUGACCACCGAAAUUUUUGAACCUUGGAUUGCGUUCAAAAGGGCGGGUGAAAUCUCAUCUCCUCGCCUAAGCUCUUCAUCAUCAAUAAAUGUUUUGAUUUUUUUUCCUUCAUACAAUUUAUCAUAAAGAUAGCAAGUAAAGCUCUUACGAGUGUCCUCCCCUCUAAAGUUGAGGAAGACUUCAUAAUUGCAAGAAGAAGAAGAGGAAGCCAUGAAGGAAAUUCUAGAAAUUUGAAAGUAGAUUUAGGGAAUUAUAAAAAGCUGAAGGAAAUUGGAAUUUUGUACAGUUUCUCCAGCGAGGAACUUUCACCUCCGCACUAGAUUCUUAAGUUUUGAAAAUUAUGAGACCUUUAUAUUGGAAGAUAUUAUAAUCGAAUCAAAACUUAAAAUUUUAAUAUUGUUAAUCUUUAAUCUUUAAAAAAAAAUUACCUCGCCGUUACAGUUUGGAUUAAGAUUUGAGCAAGCAUUUACCUAAAUUUUAUCUCCGCCUGUAAAUUCUUAUGUUUUAAAAAUUAUGAGACCUUUAUAUUGGGAGAUAUUAUAAUCGAAUCAAAAUUUUGAAUUUCAAUAUUAUUAUUCUUUUAAAAAAAAAAUUGAGAUAACAGAGUGAUUGAUAAUAUAGGAGAACUUGUCUAGGCAAGCACAUGCAUACACAGAAAUGUGAUGGAUUCAAAAAGAAAUUAAAGUGAUAAUGUACGUGGAUCCUUAAAAUAAAAAGCGAAAUCGCUUGGUGGCCCAGUAAAAUUAGAGAACAAAGAAGAAUUAGUUAUUGAUAUACAAAAGAGAAACACUCCAAAAUUUCAAGCAAAAAUAGUUUCAUAUACCAUUUCAAUUUUGUAAGGGGUGAGGUUUUGAAUUUCAAUAGUUUCCUCUAAAAUCAAAAGGCAACAAUUAAGUUAGAAAGAGCAAAGAAGACUUAUUAGUACCUUAUUAAAGGUAACAUUAUGGAACUUUCAAUUUCAUUACCUCACUCUUCAAUUUUUAUUGAGAUUUGUGCAAGAAUUUACCUAAAUAUUACCUAAAAUUGAGAUAUCAGAGUAAUAUCAAAUAGAAAAACUUGCCACGGUAAGCCAAAAGUCUAGUCAACCACAUGCAUAAAGCUAAAUAGAACAACUAACAAGAGAACAGAGAAACGCGUGGGUCCCUAAAAGAAAAGGCAAGCACAUAGAUGAAAAAGCCAUUACAUUUCGAUUUUACAUGUCAUUAAUUUCUGUAACACGGUGUGUGGCAGCAUAUGCACAAUCAAGUGAGGCAAAAGGGAUUCGAUUAUCGUGGCAGAACAUGAACGAGGACGCGUGAUGAAUAAUUCCUUCGAUAAAACGAAAAACAAACGCAGAGAAAAGAAUUUCUUAUAUGACAAGAAAUCAAAGAAAUCAAAGUAAUGUUUCAUUUUCCCUUCCCUACCUUUUUUUUGUUUUAUUUUUAUAGCAAAGAAUUAUAUCAUGAAAAGAAUCAAUUUAAUCACCUUUUCUAGCAGCACAAUUUUUCUUUUAUAAAAUUUGACCAGGGAGACAAAGAAUAAUUAUUCAUACCUUCAUCACUAAGGAAAUACUUUUCGGUAUGGCUAAGGUGAGAAAAGGCUUUCCACAAAAACUUGUACUUUGUAUUCCUGUAAAUUUUCUUUAAAGUCAAUAAAAACCAUAAGUUCUUUACAAUAACCAUCUCUUUGAUAAAAAAGUGCCGUAUUCCUUUAGAAUUUAAAACCGGCAAAACUGAAUCAGUGUCUUUGAAGAGACAUAAUGGUCGUAAUUCUUUAAAUGAGUUGGCUAUGGAAAUCGUUAUCCAAGAUUCUUUUACGCCAUAUUCUUUCGUAAACCAAAAUUCAUUUUGGAAUACUCUGUUGAGAAUGUCAAAUAAAACGGCAUUGAAGGAAGUUUUCAAAGGCAGAAUCUGCACUUGUCAGAUGGAUGAUCUGCACUUGUCAAAGACACAAUCCGCGUCGAACGAAUCGACACAUUUCCUUUCGUAUUCACAUAUGCAAUUUUUGAAAAAAUGUAGCUUUUACAUCUAUAAAUAACACUCAGUGUAUAAUGUUUUAUUCAAGAAAAGAAAACAAGUUUCUUCAUGGUAUCAGAGCCAUGAAUACGCUCAAGUUUCUUCAAGUUUCGCUGCUCUGUUUGUAACAAAAACAGAGAAAACCAAAAUCUUCCCACAACCAUUUUUUCCACCAUUUUCUUCCUUAAAAUCAUUCCUACCAUUAUAGAAAUCCAUGCCGAUCAAAAAACAAGCCACCCAUACGUAAAAAACUUGAGUUUACAAAUUUAUCAACAAUCUCAUAAAUUAGAUACAAAACAACGUGAUGUUAAAUCUCCAGAACUGCAGCAGUCUUAAAACGACAUGUCGUUUCUAUUCCAUCAGAACCGACAUAUCAUUUCUUUAAGCAGAGGCCAAACGACUUGUCGUUUUUUUUUUUAUCUAAAAAAGUUAUUUUUUCUUAUUUCAAUCUAGACGCCAAAAAAAAAACAAAAAAAUGGAGAAAACUCCAACUGAAUCUGAUCCUGUUGUCAUUCAAUCUGUUCAAUCUGAUGAGUAUUUAAUGUUGGAAUUAUCUUCACUGAGACAAACUACGAUAUUUGGUCUUAAAUAAUGGAGUUGCAUCUCGCAGAAAGAGAAAAACUCUCAUAUAUUUGUAGCAACACAAAGUCAUCUGAGGAAUCUUCAAAGGAAUAUGAGAAAUGGUAUAGUGAGAAUGAAAAGGUAAAAAAAUGGUUACUCAUAUCCAUGUCUCUGGAUAUCAUGAAGUGAUAUUUACGAAUUCCUACAGCCUACGAAAUAUGGGAUGCAUUAUCAAAAGCCUUCUAUGAUGGAAUCGAUGAAUUACAAGUUUUCACUCUAAACCAGAAGGCGUCUCUACCAAGAAAAAUUGACAGCCACUAUCUAAAUUCUACGGAGAAUUGAUCGAAAUAUUUUGAGAACUUGAUCACCGAGAUAAAGUGAUCAUGAAGGAUCCAGAAGAUGUUGUAAUAUACAAAAGGUCUGUUGAAAGAUUGAGAGUUCACAUUUUUCUUGUUGGGCUAGAUGAAGAAUUUAACCAAGUUCGUGGAGAAAUUCUAUGAAAAGAUAUUAUCCCAGACUUAGAAGAAUGUUAUUCUUUGAUCUGAAGAGAAGAUGUACGGCAAAACAAACUAAACAAGAAGGUCGACUCAGAAACGUUUGCUAUGAUAGCACGACAACAGCCUCAAAGGAAGCUUGUUGACAAGUCAUCACUCCAUUGCACUCAUUGUAGGAAGAAGGGUCAUAUGAAAGCACAAUAUUUUGAAAUCAUUUGAUAUCCUGACUGGUGGGAUACUUGAAAGAAAAACAUCAAGCAGGGAUAAAAAACUGCAGUAGCUGAAUCCACAUCCACUACAGAUCUUAGAAAAGAAUCUUCAGUGCAAAUCGCAACCUCUGUUAGUCCAGGUAAGGCCCUUAAAACUCUUAUACUUGUUAUUAAUAGUACAUGGAUAAUUGAUUCUGGGGCAACUGAUCAUAUGACUUUUGAUUCUCGACAAGUUUCUCAAUUGAUACCAUCUUCACAAAAACAUGUUUCCACUCCAAAUGGAACCACAACCUUAGUUAUUGGGGAAGGAUCUUUACGACUCACAUAUAAAUUAAAUUUAGACUCUGUGUUAAUUGUUCCAUCUUUAGAUUAUAAUCUUUUAUCUGUGUCUCAAUUAACCACUUACUUAUCAUGUGUUGUAAUUUUUUGGCCUGAUCAUUGUGUGUUUAAAGACAUCCAAACGAAGCAAACGAUUGGUUAUGGUAUUAGACGGGGCCACUUGUACUAUUUGGAGAUGACAUCAACAAACACUGGAAAGCUAAGCCCUGCACUAGUCGCAGAUAGUUCCAUAAAAAAAAGGAAAUCAGAAAUUUGGUUAUGGCAUAGACGUUUAGGGCAUGUGUCAUUUGGUUACUUAAAAAAAUUAUUUCCUAGUUUAUUUCUGAAAUUUGAUAUUUGUAACUUUAAAUGUGAUGUUUGUGAACUUUUAAAAAGUCAUCGAACUACUUUUCCAUUGUCCUUAAAUAAGAAUCAAGUUCCUUUUAUGGUAGUACAUUCUGAUGUAUGGGGGCCAUCGAAAGUUUCUACAAUUGGAGGUGCUCGUUGGUUUGUUACAUUUAUUGAUGAUUGUAGCAGAAUGACAUAGAUUUUUCUGAUGAAAUCGAAAGACGAAGUAAACUCUUUAUUUUAAAGAUUUCAUAAGAUGGUGACGACUCAAUUUCAGACACAAAUUCGAGUUCUACAUACUGAUAAUGGAGGCGAGUAUAUGAGCACAACAAUUCAACAGUUUCUGAAAUCACAAGGAACUGUCCAUCAAACCACUUGUGUGGGGACACCCCAACAAAAUGGCAUUGUUGAACGAAAAAACAGACAUUUACUAGAAGUUGUUCGAGCAUCACUAAUCCAGGCCCACAUGCCACUAUCUUAUUAGGGAGAAGCACUGGCAUCCGCAGCAUACUUGAUCAAUCGAACACCUUCAAGCUCCCUUGGAUUCCAGACUCUUUUCCAGGUUCUAAAUGAUGCAAUUAUGUCACCAAAUGUGCCGAAUUUACCCCCACAUGUGUUUGGCUGUGUUGCCUUCGUUCAUUUGCCGCAACAAGACAAAUUAUCUCCUCGAGCACUACGUUGUGUGUUUGUAGGGUAUGCCUUACAGCAAAAGGGAUACCGAUGAUAUGAUCCACCAUCAAGAAAAAUAUACAUCACCAUGGAUGUCGUCUUUCAUGAAGAUAUCAUAUACUACUUGUCAAAGCCUGAAUUUCAGGGGGAGUAUAAUGAAGAGGAAAUUCAUAAUCUUAUAUAUCUUCCACCUAAAGAAGAUCAAUCUUCCAUUGAGGUUGUAAACCUUCAAGAUACUGGAAAAGAAAAUGGUGGUGAUUCUCAGGCUGAGAUAAGUGAAGACACAUUUGGGGAGCAAAAUAACUUAGACACAACUGCAAUCGAGAAUGAGUCACAUGAAGAAAUACCUAACUAAUCGUCUGCAGAGGAUGUUCCUACCACAAGUCCUAGUCUAGUCAGAAGAAUUCUUCCUCAGCGUCAAAAUAGAGGUAUCCCUAAACCCACAUAUGAGCCCGACCUUUCUAGUAGAGUCAAAUACCCUAUGAUUUAUUUUGUGUCUAACCAUCGCUUGUCAGAAUCAAAUCAGUCAUUUGUGAAUCAAUUAUCUACUGUAUCUAUUCCUAAUAGUGUGCAGGAAGCCUUAAAAGACCCAAAGUGGAAAGCGACUAUGAAUGACGAAAUGUGAUCUCUUCAAAAAAAUCAAACAUGGGAACUAGUUGAUCUUCCACCUGGAAAGAAACCAGUGGGUUUCCGAUGGAUCUACACUAUAAAGUACAAAGCAGAUGGCUCUAUUGAACGAUACAAAGCAAGGCUCGUAGCUAAGGGUUACACCCAAACCUACGGGAUAGAUUAUGCCAAUAUGUUUGCACCGGUAGCAAAAAUUAAUACUAUUCGUAUCUUAUUAUCAUUAGCAGUCAACUUGGAUUGGCCAGUGUAACAGUUCGAUGUAAAGAAUGCUUUCCUCCAUGGAGACCUGUCUGAAAAAAUUUAUAUGGAUAUGCCACCAGGAUGUAGUGGACCAGAACGACUCAAUCAGAAAGUAUGCAAAUUGAAGAAAUCAUUGUAUGGGUUGAAGCAACCCCUAAGAGCAUGGUUCGGGAAAUUCACAAAGGCUAUGGUUCUUUUUGGGUAUAACCAAAGCAAUUCAGAUCAUACCUUGUUCAUUAAAAAAUGACAAGGUAAAAUCACUGCCCUCAUUUUCUAUGUGGAUGAUAUGGUAGUCAUAGGUAACGACGGGGAAGCAAGAGAGGCUCUUCAGAAGUACUUGUCGAGAGAGUUUGAGAUGAAGGAUUUAUGAGCCUUAAAAUACUUUCUUGGAAUUGAGGUUUCUCGAUCUAAGGGAGGAAUUUUCCUGUCUCAAAGGAAAUAUGCUUUAGAUCUAUUAAACGAAACGUGAAUGACAGCUUGUCAGCCUAUUGACACCCCAAUAGAAGAAGGACUGAAGUUUUGUAUUACCUCAGACUAAGUUCCAGUAGACAAAGGAAGAUAUCAAAGGCUGAUUGGAAGAUUGAUGUACUUGUCCCACACAAGGCCAGCUCUUGCUUAUGCAUUGAGUGUUGUAAGUCAGCUUAUUCAUAAUCCCGGAGAACAACACAUGAAAGCAGUAAUGCGGAUCCUAAGGUACCUGAAGUCAAAUCCAGGAAAAGGAAUCCUAUGUUCCAAAAAUGGAGAUUACAGCAACAUAGAAGUUUAUACUGAUGCAGAUUGGGCCCGGUCAGUUAGUGAUAGACGCUCUACCUCAGGAUACUUUACCUUAGUGGGAGGCAACCUUGUCACAUGCUGCUUCACUUGCUGCCAAUCCAGUUCAUCAUUCAAGAACAAAACAUAUAGAGAUUGAUGUUCACUUUGUGAGAGAUAUAAUUUCCAACGGCGGAGUGGAAGUAAGAUAUGUCCCUACUGAAUAUCAGCCUGCAAACAUCUUCACAAAAGCUCUUCCUGCUGAUAUGUUUCAACAGUUGCGAGACAAGCUACAUAUUCUUCCUAGAACAUUGCGCUUGAGGGGGCAUUAUGAAAAUAUUGUAGCAGAGCUACCAAACUUGAGUAAUACGAAUUCAAAGUUGUUAGAUGACAUGGCAGCACACUUGGCAUUCAUUGGUGUUUUGGAAAGUUAAAGUGAUCAACCUUAUCUCUUAGCUUAUCAUUAAUUCAAGCUGCACUUUUGUAUUUAUCAAGAUCAAGAUAAAGAUAACAAUUGUGCUAGGCUUGAUCUUAUUCUUGGCAUUAUCGUGUUUCCUGUAGAGCAUUAUAAAUGUAAUGAUUAUGAGAUGAAUAAAAUAACGAAAAUGUGUUUUGUUUCUUCUUUAAGCUCAUCUUUAUAAUUUAAGUUGGUAUCAGAGCAUGGCGAGCUCCAAUUCUGCGAAAUUAGUCAAUAUGAAUACUGUAAACCAAACACCACAAAUUUCUAAUUUUUUGACUCCUGUCAAAUUGGAUAGGCAAAAUUUUAUGAUAUGGAAGUCUCAAGUGCUACCUUCCAUUCGUGGUAACAAUCUUGAAAGCUUGAUCAAUGGAGCAAAACUUGUACCCACUAAAUUCUUGGUGCAAGUAGAAGAGGAUCAAACAGUAACGACUGUGGAAAAUCCAGAAUAUAUACAAUGGCUGAGACAAGAUCAGCUUUUACUUAGUUGGCUUUUGUCCACUAUGACUGAAUCAGUUUUAAGCAUAGUGGUGCAGUAUACAACCUCUUUUGAGGUUUGGAAUGCCUUGAAGACAUUGUUUGCAUCUCAGUCAAAGGCUAGAAUUUUGUAGCUCAAGAUGCAACUCCAAACCACGAAAAAGAAUGCUAUGACCAUGAGUGACUAUGUCAACAAAAUGAAAAAUUUAGCUAAUAGCCUGGCAAUGGCUGGAAAAUAUGUUACUGAAGAUGAUUUAAUUUCUUAUAUUCUUGCAGGUUUAGGAACUAAAUACGACCCUGUGGUUGUAAAUAUUACAGCAAGAACAAAUGAUUUAUCUCUGCCUGAAGUAUCCUCUCUUUUGCUCAAUCAUGAAAGUCGAAUGGAACAACUCUCAGCUGCUGCAAAUCUUGAGUCUAAAGGCAGUUUUAAUGCAAAUUUUGCAGGAGCUUCUUUUCACAAAAGGAAAGUUAUAAGAAAAGGCUUUAUGUCAGGAAGUUUAUGAGGCAAUGAACGUGGUAGAGGCAAAGGAAGAACCAAUUUUAGCCGUGGUGGAAAUAGGCCAACCUGUCAGAUAUGUGGCAAAUAUGGACAUUCAGGAUAUCAAUGUUUCUUCCGCUUUGAUCGGGGGUUCUCUGCAAGACAAGAGGCAACACAAGCAGGUCAAGCCUCUGCCUAUAUGGCACUCCCUGCUGAAGAAAUAGAUAAUGGAUGGUAUUUGGACAGCGGAGCAACACACCAUGUUACAAAUGAUUUAAACAAUCUGCAGAUUAAGUUAGAAUUUAAGGGAGGUGAGAAGCUGGUAGUAGGUAAUGGUAAAACUUUAGCAAUAUCUCACAUUGGCAGUGCACUUAUUUAUAUUCCAAACCAUGAACCAUUGUUGCUUAAUGACAUUUUAUAUGUGCCCAAAAUCACCAAGAACUUAAUUAGCAUUUCAAAAUUACUUUCUGAUAAUAAACUAAUGCUUGAUUUCUGUGACAAUGUUUGUACUCUUAAGGACAAAGUUCUGGGGAAGAAGCUGCUGCAGCGAAAAAUUGAAAGAGGCUUAUAUCGGCUACCAGUGCUUUCAAGACAAGCCAUUCUAUCUGAUUCAAAAAUUAUUUCCAAUAAAUCUUAUUAGUCUUCUCUUCCAUUUAGCUGUUUCAAUUCUAGCUCAACAAUAAGUUCUGUAAAUGAACAAGAAUUUAUUUCCAAUUCCAAGCCUAGCAGUUUUAUAAAUCUUUUGCACAGAAGGAUGAGACAUCAUCAUCUUGCUGUACUAAAACAAAUUCUACCUUUGUGUAACAAAACAAGUCAGUUAAAUAAAAAUCUCAUUCCUCAAUUCUGUGAUGCAUGUCAACAAGGAAAAAGUCAUAGGCAAACUAUCAAAGCAUCAAAUAGUAGAGCUUCAGAACCUUUAGAAUUAUUGCAUCUUGACUUGUGGGGGCCUGCACCUUUAAUGUCUAGAAAUGGCUACAAAUAUUAUUUGAGUAUUGUAGAUGACAACACACGUUUUACAUGGAUAUUUCCACUUAAAGUUAAAUUACAAGCGUUUGAAGCUUUUAAGUAUUUCAAAGUUCAAGCCGAAAAACAAUUAGGAAAGAAAAUCAAAAGUUUACAAACUGACGGUGGAGGAGAGUUUCAAGCAUUUACAAUUUUUUAAAAGAACAGGGUAUUAUUCACUGACUUUCUUGCCCACACACGCAUCAUCAAAAUGGUAGAGUGGAGCGAAAACACCAACAAAUUGUAGACACUGGUUUAACACUUUUGGCAUAGGCUGGCAUGCCACUCACUUUUUGGUGGGAUGCUUUUCAAACAUCUGUUUAUUUAAUUAAUAGAAUGCCUACUUCCAUCUUAGAAAACAAAUCACCAUUUCAAAUACUUUAUGAUGAAGAAUAGGAAUCAAUAUUAUACUAGGAUUAGUUUCCUUAUUAACUAAAGUUUAAGACUUUUAAAUUCCUUUCUAAUUUAGAAUUUUGUUUCCCUUUCAAUUUAGGAUUUUGUUUUACUUCAUGAAUUAGGAUAAUUAUUACUACUAUAAAUAGCUCCCUCUUGUAGCCUUUAAAGGCAGAGAAUUUUGAGUUUAAUAAUAUUUCAAUUUUCAAAUCUCUUUGUGAGUAUUUGAACAGUUAAUUCUCGGUAUUCUGCGAAAUCAACGAGUCUUAAAUCCCUAAGUUCGCGGUAUUCUUUUGAAUCAACAUGAAUUUAGUUGUUCUUUUAUUCUGGUAUUCUCUAGAAUCAACGGAAUAUUUUGAAUAUUAAACUUCCACUGCAUCACUUUACAAGAAAAUACCUGAUUAUUCUUUUCUAAAAGUUUUUGGAUGUGCUGUAUUUCCUCAUCUUCGAGAUUACAACAAACAUAAAUUAGAUUUUUGAUCAGAUAAAUGUAUAUUUUUAGGCUAUAGUACAGCUCAUAACGGGUAUAAGUGUCUCCACAAGUCAGGAAAAAUUUUUGUAAUGCGACAUGUUGUCUUUAAUGAAUAUGAUUUUCCUUUUAAAAGUGAUCCCUCCUUCAAAAUCUCAAAGAGUUAUCCAAAUCAUGAUUCUAGUACUCUCUUUCAGUCUCCUAUGUUUGCAGGUUUUGAAAGUCCUAGAGCCUAUAAGACUCUCUCGGUUAUUCAUGCAACAGACUCUCUACUAGAGUUGGUUCAUAACACAAUAGUUAUAGAUCAGGCAUCAAGUCAAGAUGAGGAAACCAAUUUUGAAUCCAACACCAAAAGCCCACCUGGAAAAGCCAACCUUGAAUCAAGCACUGAAAUCCAAGCAACUGAAAACACCACACAAUCUUUAUCUAUCCCCGCGUUUAUCAAUCAAGAAGCCGAUCACACAAUCUCUCAACCACCUAGUUCAACUCCUCAUUCUCAACAGCCAACACAUACACAAUCCACUCAUCCAAUGAUCACUCGUGCCAAGGCCGGCAUCUUUAAACCCAAACCUAGACUUUACCUAACAACCUCUCAUACCAAAAUAAGUGUACAUGCCAGUGUUAGUGAAGCUUUGGAAGAUCACAAUUGGCGUAAUGCUAUGACAGAAGAAAUGAAUGCUUUGGCUAGGAAUAACACACGGUGUUUAGUUCAACCUACUUCUGACAUGAAGAUUGUGGGAAAUAAAUGGGUUUUUCGGAUAAAACAAAAGGCUGAUGGUUAGAUAGAGCGAUAUAAGGCUCGGUUGGUUGCAAAAGGAUUUCAUCAGACCCCAGGAAUCGAUUUCAACGAGACUUUUAGUCCUGUUGUUAAAGUUGCAACAAUUCGAUUGGUGUUAAGUAUUGCUGUGAUGAAAAAUUAGGGUGUAAUACAACUGGAUGUGAACAACGCCUUUUUAAAUGGAGACUUAGUAGAAGAUGUUUACAUGAUGCAGCCUGAAGGCUUUAUCAACAAAGCACAACCAAAUCAUGUGUGUAAAUUGAGAAAAGCAUUGUAUGGGCUUAAGCAGGCUCCAAGAGCUUGGUUUGAAAAACUCAAGAGAGCAUUGAGUGACUGGGGUUUCACAAAUUCUAAAUUAGACACAUCACUAUUUAUUUUGCAGCAAGGAAGGGAUAUAAUAUUUGUCCUUAUUUAUGUGGACGAUAUUUUAAUAACAGGAAGUAAAGAAAGUUUGGUGCAAGAAGUUAUUGAACGACUUAAUUGUCAGUUUGCUUUAAAAGUGCUCGGACCAUUAAGCUAUUUCCUUGGUCUUGAAGCUCAUCGCACAGAGAAUGGCCUACAUCUUAGCCAACACAAAUAUAUUUGUGAUCUCUUGAAGCGCACAGAUAUGGAUGGCUGCAAGGAAACAUCUACUCCUAUGAGUGUAGUACCGAAACUUUCAGCUGAAGGUGGUAAGCAAUUUUCUGAUCCUACACUUUAUCGUAGCAUCGUUGGAGCCUUAUUAUACGUAACUAUUACUCGGCCUGAAAUUUCUUAUGCUGUUCAUCGUUUAAGUCAGUAUAUGCAAAAUCCUUUACAGCCGCAUUGGCUUGGGUGUAAAAGAAUCCUUAGAUAUUUACAAGGAACAGCUGAUUAUGGAAUUUAUUAUACUACCAAAGGAAGAAUGACGCUCACAGGCUAUACAGAUGCAGAUUGGGCAAACAAUAUUGAUGAUAGAAAAUCAACUGGAGGCUACUGUAUUUAUCUUGGCAAUAACUUAAUCUCAUGGAGUUCAAAGAAACAAAAUGCAGUAGCAAGGUCUUCAACUGAGUCAGAGUAUCAAGCACUUGCAAAUACCACAGCAGAAAUUUUAUGGCUUCAAUCUGUGCUUAAAGAGUUGCAGGUGCCACUAACUGAAAUUCCAAUUAUUUGGUGUGACAACACUGAAGCUGCUUCACUUGCUGCCAAUCCAGUUCAUCAUUCAAGAACAAAACAUAUAGAGAUUGAUGUUCACUUUGUGAGAGAUAUAAUUUCCAAAGGUGGAGUGGAAGUGAGAUAUGUCCCUACUGAAUAUCAGCCUGCAGACAUCUUCACAAAAGCUCUUCCUGGUGAUAGGUUUCAACAGUUGCGAGACAAGCUACAUAUUCUUCCCAGAACAUUGCGCUUGAGGGGGCAUCAUGAAAAUAUUGUAGUAGAGCUACCAAACUUGAGUAAUACGAAUUCAAAGUUGUUAGAUGACAUGGCAGUACACUUGGUAUUCAUUGGUGUUUUGGAAAGUUAAAGUGAUCAACCUUAUCUCUUAGCUUAUCAUUAAUUCAAGCUGCACUUUUGUAUUUAUCAAGAUCAAGAUAAAGAUUACAAUUGUGCUAGGCUUGAUCUUAUUCUUGGCAUUAUCGUGUUUCCUGUAGAGCACUAUAAAUGUAAUGAUUAUGAGAUGAAUAAAAUAACGAAAAGGUGUUUUGUUUCUUCUUUAAGCUCAUCUUUAUAAUUUAAGUAAAGGGACUUUUGCAUAGCCUCUGGUGUGUGUGUGAUUUCUCUUUCGUUUCCUCAUCAAAUUCUGUAAUUCUUGCUUCGAUAAAAAGCUUUUAAUCUCUUCUGUAGUGUGUGAUCAGUGCGUAAUCAUUUUGAGCAAUAACAGCUUGUGGGUUUUUCCUUCAAACAGUGUCGUUUUGGUCAGUUUGUUAGUUUCUGUGUUCGUCUGAUUCCAUUGCUCUUGUUCUCUGUUCUUGAUCUGUUCGUGGAAUUUUUCUUUGGUUAUUUGUUCUCAAAUUUCAACUGUAUAUAAAGUUUGAACUCUGAUUGCUUAUAAUGUAUUGAUUAAGAAUAAUCCUAAGAGUUCCCGAUUGAAAUUUUUAAUGACUAUUUUUAUUGUUUUGGAUAUACAAAUUGAAUUAAGAAAAAAUAUUGUCAAAUUCAGAGGAUAAGGGGAAAUAAUUAUGCUUCAAAAGGCCAGAGAUUAGAGAAUAAAGAAGCAUUCAUUACUCUAUCAAAAAAAAAAAAAAAAAAAAAGCAUUCAUUACUGAUAUACAAACUGCUUUUAUUUGGAUUUUGGAAGGGGUGAAGUUUUGAACUUCAGUUGUUCCUCUAAAAUCAAAAGCAGCAAUUAAGCGUUCUCAAUUAGAAAGAGCUAAGAAGACUUAUUGGUACCUUACUGAAGCUAACAUUAUGGCACAGUUGUUCAUAUAUAAUGGCUGCUCUGUUAUGCUAGCUUCUCUGUUUUUGCUUCUAUUUUUGCUUACAGUUUUGAACAUAAAUUCUUGCUCAAAUAACCCAUAAUUAAAUAACACUAAUAUGGCUCGUGAAAUCCCAUAAUAGCUAAUUACGCAACUUUCUCCUCCUCCUCAAUUCUGUCUUCCCCUGCUCGUACACUAAAUUCAAAAUUCAAUGCCCCGAAAAACAACACAAGAAAUCUUUGAGUUAAUUCGCGACCAGUUUAUAUAUAGUAGCAAUUGAAAAAGGAAAAAGAAUAAAAGAGUUCAUUAUUAUUCAGACCUUCACUUAUUAGGAAGUUUGUUCUGCUGUUGGGUGAGAUCAAGCUCUCAGCAUAUACUUCCACAUUAUACUUUCUAACAUUUUCUUGAAAGCCAUCAAUCAUAAAAUCUUCAUACUUUUUUCCAUCCUUUGGAUCAAUAAGUACAAAUUUCUCAUCUAAAACAGACAAAAUAAAAUCACUGUCCUUCAUGGAACAUAAUGGCUGCAAUGCCUGAACUGAAUUGGCUAAUGAAAUUUGAGUCCAGGAUUCUCUCAGCCCAUAUUCUUUCAUAAUCCAAAAUUCUUUUCUUUCUCGACAUGGAACAUAGUCUUCUUUUCUUUCUGGACAUAUGUCUCUGUACUUUUCUCUCUCUACUGAUCCACACUUUUUCAUACUUCUAACUAUCAUUUUGUUUUUUUUUUGUUAAGUUGUGAUUUAUUCAAUUAUUUUGUAUUUUUAAUGAAAAUUAUUUAAUAUUUAGUUAGUUUUGAUAUUGAUUAGUGAUUGAAAGUGUAUUUUAGAAGACUUCCGGUCUCUUGGAAAAAGGAAAAAUGGAGACGAAGAAGAAGUGUUCUUGAUUUUUUUGUAGGCAUUAAAGUUAAACGGUUUGAAAUGAUAUUUUGUUUUAAUUUCACUCAUUAAUCUCAUUCAGGAUAAAAUUAUAAAUGCAAAUAAAUGGGGUUUCAUGAGUUUUUUUUAAUAGUGUUAAAAGGUCUACUCACUAAAUAAAUAUGUUUAACCCAAACCAAUGCGAUUAGUAAGUUAUUGGGUUGGGUUGAUCAGGUUAAAAAUUAAAAUUAAAAAUUAAAUAAUUAAAAAAGGCAUAAAAACUAUCUGUUACUUGAAAAUAAAAAGAAUUUCUAAUAGUUAGUUCUAAUGUCCCAUAUCCAAAACAUCCAUAUUAAAUAAAUAUUAUAAGUUAGAAAUACAAUAUCCAAGAAAGAAUGAAUGAAAUACCAUAUUUUUGUUGAGAAUUAAGAGUGUGAUUUUAAUUUUGAUAUUGGAGUCUAAAGUGCCACGUUUAAAUAAUCUCUUUUAUAAAAUAAUAAAAAGAGAUUAAAAAUUAGGUUAGCCAUUUAGGCAUUCAGGGUUUAGCAAUUAAGGAUGAACAUAUUAUUGUUGUUGUUUUUUGUUGUUGUUGUUGUUGUUGUUGUUGUUAUUAUUAUUAUUUAUAUGUUUACUAAUCCAAUUUACGUAUAAGUACAAAAGUUUCAAAUAUUGUCUAUUAUUUUUUUAACAUGCCUAUUCCUUGUGGAUAAUUCUGUCUCAUCACUAAUGUUGUUUCUUGCUUACAAUUUGUAUAGCGUCUCAAAAUAGACAAUAGGGGGAUUUUGAAUUUUUUAAGUCUCAAUAUAGUCUCUUAUCUUGUGAGACAGAUUUUCUUUCAAUAAUUUGGAGGUAAACAUAACAUAACUUUUUGGACUAAAGCCUAGCUCUGCUAAUUAGUAAUUGGUGGUAUCCUUUUCAAGACCUGAGUCUUUAAAUUCGAGUUUUAUAUAGUGCGCAUGUGUAUUUAAUUAAUAUUUUUUUAAAAAAAUUACAUCAAAUACUAAUAUUCAUGACAUAAUUUAGUUCAUAAUGUUUUUUUAAAUACAUCGAAAAUAUAAUUUUUUAACAACUUAUAGGCAUGACAAAUUUCAAGAUAUAAAUAUCAGUCAAAAUAAGUGAAAGAAAUAAUGGUGCCAAUUCUAAUUUCUUAACUAAAUUAAUUACUGCAUGAGCCCCCAAUACGGCACGAGAGUUUGAUGGGCUAACUUGGCACAAGAACAAUAGUUAAUUGAUUUAAGAAAUAAUUCAAUGAAAAAUAUAAUUGAUAAGAAUUUAGUAUUGAAAUGAGUUUUUUUCGAAACACUGAAUUAAUGAUUAUUAAGCAAGAACAAUAAAAAAAAUAAAAUAAAAAAUAAAGAUUAACCAUUGAUAAGCUUCAACAAGAACUUAACACAACCCUCAAUCCUAAUUCAAAUUAUAAAUGUCAUUCAUAUAUUCAUUAUAAAUCAAUAACAAAGGUUAUAAAUGUUUAGAAAUUCUAGAGGGAAGGAAGCUAUCGCCGGGCAAUCAACAACUAAAUUUGAUGUAAUUGUGGCACAAGAUGGAAUAUGAAAACUACACCAUAAUUUCAAAUGCCGCCAUAGACAUUGACUUAUCUACAGUAACAAUGAUCUAAUUAAAAUUAAAAUAAAGUUUAUGGGCAUUUAUUAUAUUUGCCAUUCCUCAUUUGCAAAUAGGGAUAUAAUUAUAAUUUUACUUAGUCAAAGCAAUCAGUAAUUUUUAGGGGUGUUCAAAAUUCAAUCCGAUCCGCUCAAUCCGUCUGAUCCGUAGAAAUCCGAUCCGUAAAAAUCUGAUCUGUGGAUUGGUAGAUUGGAUUGAAUUGAAAAUUUGAUAAUCCGCAAUCGGUGGAUUGGGUAUGGAUCUACUUCUGUAAAUUCGUAAAAAUCCGUGAAUCGGCAAAAAAUAAAAAGUAUUUAUUUAUUAAAAAAUAAAACUUGUAAAUAUGGCAAUAGUACUUACUAGUAAAUAAAUAAGUUAAAAUAUAGUUACAUUAACACUAUAUUAUAUCUUAUCCGAUAAUAAUAAAAAAUAAAAAAUAAUUAAAUAAACAAAUAUAACUUUCUAAAUAGUUAAUUUUCAUGUACUGAUCUAAACGAAUGAGAUUUUUUUUUUUUCAUUUUGGUGUGUUAUGUUUUGAACUUUAAAUGUAAUUUUUAGUUUUAUUUAAACAAGUAAUUUAUUUAAAUCUUAUUUAAUUUUAAAUUUGAUCGGCAAUAAAAUUAUUUAUAUUAAUUUUUUUUUAUUUAGUUAGUUCGUAGAUUGGACAGUAUUAAAAAUUUUCAGUCCGUAAACCAAUUCGCAAAAUGGUGGAUUGGAUAUGGAUUGGGUCAAAUCCGCAUCCAAUCCGCAGAUGUAUGAAUUGAAUUUCACCAAUCCAUGAAUUGGAUUGGAUUAAAAAUUUAUAAUCCGCAAAAUCGUGGAUCAGAUAUGGAUUGAGGUCCAAUCCGUAAAAUUUGAUCCGGAAACACCCCUAGUAAUUUUCUUCAUUAUAGGAGUGAAGUAAAAACAUUUAGAUUUUAAUGUAUGUACGGAAAAAUUUAUCUUUAAAAAUACUUUCUUAAUGUGUGUAUAUAUAUUGAAAUACUCAAACCAAUUUUGGUUAUUAUAUAAUUAAACAAAUUUUAAAAUAUGAAAAAUAUAAUGUAGUUAUAGUGGAUAAACAAUAAGUGAGCGCAAUAUAAUUAAUCAAAUAUCAUGCCAUCAAAAGUUAAUUUUAGAAAUUCCAAAUCCAACAGCCAACACAAUUCUUUUAAAAAAAAGCUGACACAAUUAAUAAAAUUAGUGACAUGAAUUUCACACCAUUGAUAAUAAGCAAUUAGUAUUACUUUCUAAACUUGCUUCAACUGGUCGUUGAUGUCCGGGGUCACCAAAAGUAUAAGCAAUAAUAAGGGGCAUUGGGCAAGAGUGAUGAAUGUUUAGUCGGUGCAUUUGAUUGCUAGAUAUAUAAAGGGCCGAAACUUGAGAUUAUAUUACUUUUACAAAUUUUAAUCCAAUCACAUAUUUAAUGAAAACAAAAUGAGUUAGGAUACUUUAUUUAGAACCCACAUUUUAAUAAGGCUUCAUUUGAUGUAGUUUUUUAAACAGUGAUUAUUUAAGUAAAUUUUCCUCAAUAGAGUUUUUAUCAAACAAAUUUAUUUAUUUAGUUGUCGAUAAGAGUUUUUAUUAAAAAUUAUAAAAUUAUUUAAAUAAACAUGUUUUUUAAAAUUACAUUAUAAAAAUAAUUAAAUAAAAUUAUAAAAGUAAAAUAUAUUUUAGAUAUUUUAAUAUUUAAGAAAAAUUUUCAAUCUCUACUUUCAAAAGCUCAAAUUUUUAGCUUUUAGUUGUAGAGACAAAAUAUUUUAUUUAAUCUUUAAAAGUUAUGCUAAAAACAAUCAAAUAACUACAAAAAUUUUAAUAAGAGUAUAUAAAAUUAAAUGGUAAUUUUUAAAAACCUCCCCUGAGGUUUGGGCUUGUUGCAAGUAGAUGGCGAGAAUCCAUUUAUUUGUAACAAACCCCCUACCGUCAGUUAAUUUUUGCAUUAACCGUUAGUUGACUGUGCAAAGACAAUAUUGUCCCUAAUGACAGUUUGUAGACUGACAUAGCUAAAAAAAAUGCUGAGAUUGUCGGCACGAAAAUCACAAAUAAUUUUUUUUUGACAAUUUUGUCCUUGUUAAUUCCAAGAUUUACAAUGUCAUAAGUAAGGAUUAUGACUAUUUUACCCUCUUAAAAUUAUUGAUAAUUCCUUAAAAUUUCUACAAAAAAGAUAAAAUUAAAAACUUGAAGAAAAAUAAAGUUCUCAAGCCGGCUAACCAAACACAUAGAAUAAAAAAUCCAUCGUUUGACAACAAAAACAACUUUCCAUAAACCCAAACAAAAAUAAACAAGUCCCCAUUACUCUAAUUGGCUUUGCUUGGAGCUGUUACUAUUGUGCAUACAUUUCUAGGCAAAGCAAAAUGACCCCAUGAUAUAAACCUUAUAAAACAUGCCUCCACUAUUCUUAAUUUUGGUAUAAUAAUAAUAAUAAUCACAAAAAAUUAAUUGAAAACUUGACUAAUUAUCUUUGGUGGAGAAUUUUAAACCGAAACCGAUUCAGGAACCUUAAAUUGAUCAAAAGGAAGCUAAUAAUGACAAAAAAGUAACCGAUCAAAAAUCAUUAAGCAUAAAAAAAUAUUGAAUUUAAAUAACUAAAAAUGCCAUCGGAAAUUGAAAUUAAUUAUUUAACAUAUAGCAUGAAAACAAAUCUUCACUAUUGGUGCUAGGCGGCUGUCGUUUAGCUUGGUUCUAAGAGGUGGCAGUCAGUCAACUUCGAGACGGUGCGUUCGAAGUCAACUAAGCUGCAGCAGAGGUUGCAGGGGGCAGAUUGCAGCGAAGUCGCGGUGGAGCAGAGGUCGCGUCGCGGUGGAGAAGAGGUCGCGUUGCGCUGGCUUGGCUUCACGGUGGUGGGAUGGCUGGGCGGGCUGGCCAGCUGUGUGCGCAUUGUAUAUGAUUGUUUUUCACUUUUUUAAUAUUUUCUUGUGCAUUAGUUCAGAUUAGAUUAGUGAGUUUGUGUGUGUGUUUGCAGUUGAUUUGGUUAAGAUAUUUAGGUUAAAAUAAUUUUUUUUAAUAAAUUUUUUUUUUCAAAAUGUCAACAAUGCCCACAACUACCCAAAUGGCAACUAAGCAGAGUAAAAACGUAGGGGUUUUUUUUUAUAAAUAAAUAGAUUCUCGUCAUCUAUUUGCAACAAACUCAAAUCUCGGGGGAGGUUUUUAAAAAUUACCCUAAAAUUAAAUAAGCAUUUAUUAAUAAUCACUUUGGUAUACUUAUCUAAUGACCAUAAGUGUUUAUUUAAUCUCAUAAGUUCUUAUUUAAUCUCAUGAGCUCUUUUCAAUUUUUUUUGUUGUUUGUUUUUUAGUAGAGUUUUUGAAAAUUAAAUAAACUAUUUUGUCUCUACUAGAAAAAACUCAAAUUUUAGAUUUUUGUGAGUAAAUGUUUAAUUUUUUAAAAAAAUAUUAAAAUAUCUAAGAUAUCUUUCCUUUAUUUCAUAAUCUUAUUUCAUUUUUUCAUAACAUAACUUUCAAUAACUUACCUAUUAAAAUAAUUUCACAAUUUCUAAUAAAAACUCUAAUUGACAAUUAACAAUUUUUUUUUGUUUGUAAAAACUCUAUUUAUAAAAAAUCUAAUAAAAAUUCUAUUUAAAUAAAUUAUAUUUGAAAAGGUGUACUAAACCAACCUAAGAUAAAAACAAAAAUUUUUACAUCCAGACAAUUAAGCUUAAAACAAUUUCAAAUGAAUUUUAGACUAAUCAAAGUACAAUACGUACCAAGUUUGGUAACUUAUUGACAUCUUCUCAUAUAACCUUCGAUCAAGUCGAUUCUCACCUGACGACUAAUUGGUACAUCACCGUUGUUCUCUAUACUCGCAUGCAUCCGAUCACAAAUCUCACUCCAAUUGUCGUCUUUCUUCGGCGUUUUAGCACAUCCUUCUUGAAUUUCCCGCAUUUCGUUCCCUCCUGUUACAAGUCUCCGGUCAGGUCAGUUCUCUUGACGAUUAAUUCGGCAAAUCUCGAAUCUCUUCUCGCGUCGUUUCACUUCAAUUUUUUGUGUCUCCUUUCAGUUUUAGUGAUUGAAUCAAUUUUAUUGCAGUCUGAGAGAAAUUAAGUAAUGCUCUUGGAUUUAAAUUUUUUUUGCUUUCGACUUUAGAUCUCGAAAGUCAAACUCUGCUACGAAUCCUUAGAUUCUCAAUGUUUAUAAUCUUAUUUGUGUUUGACCAGGUAACUGGAUCGUGAAAUUCGUCGUUUUGUAUCAAUUCAAGCUUUCGCGAGCUCAUGGAAUCACCUGGUGAGUUGUGGUGAAACGUUAUCGUUUCAAUUUUCGCUUAAUUCUUUAUUGCAUAUUUUUUCUCUAACAUUUCAGUUUAAUUUAGAAAAGAAAGAGGACCCAAAAAGAGAGAGAGAGAGAGAGACUCUACCAUACUCAAUUCCUUGCUCAUUCUGAUUUGGCCUGAAUGUUGGCAUUGACUAUUAUUUGUUUUCAUUUCGAUUUAAUUCUCAUUUAGACAGUCUUUACUAACGGUCAAUAAUAGUUUAAGGAAAAUGAUAAUAGGGAUUCUGCAAUAAUCUUUUUAAGGAAAAUGAUAAUAGGGAUUCUGCAAUAAUCUUUUUAAGGGAUGUAUAACUUAUUAAUCAGAGUCCUGUUAUUAUGGUUUGACACUACUGACAUAUUGUGUUGGUAUUUAUUUGUACUUCCCUUGGUUGAAUUAUUUGCUGUCCCCAUGCCAUUCGAUAUGGUGCUACUUGGUUUUUGAUCAUCCAUGACGCUAUAUAUAUGUAAAGGAUGAAUUGAUUGUUUUGGCUUGUAUUCUCACAUUUUAUGAUUGAUCGAUGGAAAGGUCUUCAUGUAUUAAAUUCAACCUCACAAGCGUAAGAUUGACAGAUUCUGGGCAAAUUUUCAGGAAAAGAAACUAGACUUCAUGGAAGCAAUGAAGCUUGAAAUUGAACGUCUGCAGCUGAAAGGGAUAGAGCUUUAUUGUCAAUUGGAACUGAUCCUGCCUCUAUAAAUCCAAAUGUAUUGCUUGAUGAAUCUUACAUGGGAAGACUGUCGAGUAGCAACCACUCUUGCAUUACUUGGCCAAACUUCCCUAGAAGACAAAAUUGUUGGUGCAAUGGCCUUGAGAAUAGUGAUGAUAGUGUUUUAGACUUCUGGAAUAUUACUAGAAUCGGAGAGAGUUGUUCUGGUGGCGCGUGCAAGGUUCGUGCAGAAACUAAGGUGCCUGCUCUUGCUUCCUCAACUGCAGCAUCUGUUGGAGCUUCACAAUCCCCUUUGUUGUGUUCUCUGUUGUGUUCUCUGUUGUGUUCUCAAUGUGAAAGAAAAGUUUGCAAAGUUUGUUGUGCAGGAAGAGGAGCUCUACUGUUUUCAAAUUAUAAAUCAAGGGAUGUGACCAACUACAAUGGCUUCUCAAGUCAGAGUGGAUCAAGCCAUGGAAGCCAAGUUGAUGUAUCUACCAGUCGUUCACUAACACUGGAUGGCGUUAUCUGUAAACACUGCUGCCAUGAGAUUGUGCUUGAUACAAGUUCACAACACCAUUACAAAGGAUUCAAAAUUCCCACACGAAAACAUCAAUGUACAGAUUAUAAACAAUCCGAAUUGGACACAAGAAAAACCCUUCAAUGGAUUGCUUGCCUUCCCAAUGCUAUAUACUGUGCAAACUGCGCACUGUCCAAGAAAAUGUUUUCAAUUUAGUGUAUUUUCAAAAUGCUUAUUUUCUCAGAAUAUAUAAAAAAAAAAAAAGAAUUCUUACAUGUUUCAUCAGCAUGAUUAAAAUCAAAGAAGAAAGCGAGACAUAAUGUCUCUGACAUAAUAAAAUUACAAAAAUUUAAAAAAAAAAAAGUUAAAACAUGUAAUCUUCAUAAGCAUAUAAUAAAAUAACACUUCCACAAAUUACUACAAUUUCAUGCAGUAGAGAUUGAAGAGUUGAAUUCCACUUAUAGACACCGACCUCUUAUUUUGUCUAAUGUUAACAAUGAAAAUAACAACAGUAAUGAAAACAACAACAGAAUACAACAACAGAAAACAACAAUCCGCUCUGCAAAUUCUCUUGGGACUUGGUUCCAAUUCCUCUUCAUCCGAAGUUCCACUCGAAUCAAAUUCACUUGCAGCAGUUCCACUCGCGCUUGGCAAAUCAUCCAAUUUCCAAACUUCGGUAGCAAAAUUGAGAGUAAAAGUGUUGGCUUUGGUCUCGCUGGGAUUUGCAUAUACUGGACAUACUCCGUAACGUUUUACCUUGUGACCCUUUUGGUUUUGGUAACAAUUAUUGAAGAACUUAAGUGAGACAGUUGUAUGAUGGUAACCAUCAGGAAAGCCAACAUUCAAGCAAGGUUUAAAACCAAGUAUGACAUGAUCUGAAUCAAGGGAGUAUUUAUUUCUAACACUUGUGGUUGCGGGCCCACUGAAACCUAGAUCAACAUGUUUGGUUUCAGAGAGAGUCUUUAUUUCUAAGUCGAGUUGAGAGCGGCCGAAAACAUUGCAGCAAUAACAAGAACCAACUUUCUUAAAAUUAAGAACCGCACAAAAAGCAAACCCGAUUAAGUUUCUGCAAGAAGAGUGCGGUGGCAGUUGAAUACCUAUCGAAGAUCCUGAACUUUGAUUGUUGAACCAGUCAGGAAUUUCGCUCCCAGGUAAAACAAUUAGGGAUGUCCUGAGUUCAGAAAGUUUCUGUGAAAUGACAUUUAAAAAAAGAAAAUUGUAAAAUGAAAACCAUGAUUUCAGAUAUAACAAAGAGGGACAGAGUAAACAAGAGAGGGAACUUGAUGCGUUCUAAAUGUUCCAUUUUCUCCAAGAUUUCUGGGAAACGCUCAAGGUUCAAGCAGCCAUGAAGAAAAAGCUCAACCAAAGAUUUCAAUUUACAAAACCUAGUUGAAAUCCUCUUCAGCCGUUCGCAAUCCCUCAAAUCCAACUUUUCAAGAUCAGUUAGGCACUCUAUUGAUGAUGGAACUUCUUCUAUUGCAGACUGGCUUAAGUAUAGCCGUGUAAUUUUCCCAGAAAUCUGUGGAAACUCUACGAGAUUAACACAAUAGGAGAAAUUAAUAGUUACUGGACAAACAAAAUGAAGAUUGCUUGGAAAAGACCUAAGACUUUUGCAGCCCACAAAAUCCAACCUACUGAGAUACUUGAAAUUCUGGAUAGAUGAGGGAACACAAGCCAUUUCUCCUUCCCAAAUUUGCUCAACUUUACUAAAACGCAAAUUCAGUCCAACAAGGUUCUUUGGCUUGAAAUUUGAUGGCAGUGUCCUUAAUGGAUAUGUGUCCCAAUGAAGAUAUCUCAAUUUUUUAGGAAGAUAAUCUAGGCCAUUUGGAAGCUGCACUUUAGAGUACGAAAGUUGCUCUUCAAUGCUCAUACUUAGAAGCUUUUCAAUCUCAUACUUAGGUACAUAAAAUUUGAGCAAUCUCAGAUUAGACAUAUUUGUGAAGGCUCCGGGGUCUAAAUUGAUGCCUUUUAUUUUGGACAAAUCCAAAAAUAUGCCUUCAAUUGCAUCGGUCCCCUUAUUAAAAAAAAAAAAAAAACAAAGAAUGGGUAAGCCUAAAACAGAAAAGAAACAUUCGUAAACUUUAUUAACUAAGAGCUCCUAAAACAAAACAAAUUCUACGAUCUUUGAUCUUAUUUUUUUAAUAUAUUAAAUAUCUAUAUGCGAGAAAAGAAAAUUUUGGGAACCAUUGCAAAAUUAAACUAACCGAAAAAAAAAAUCAAAAUUUCUCUAAUUUACAAACCUGUUAUCUUACUAUCUAGAAGUUGAGAAGACAGGGCCUAUUUGAUUGGUAUAAGAUUUCGAUUUUUUUUUUAGUCCAUAGAAUCCAAAAUGUUAGUUCAAAAUUAGGGAAAAAAAUGAAAGUUAUUUUUUUUCCACUAGUUGUAAUUGUAUCCAAGUCAAAUUGAGAUAUGACCCUUUUCGAAAGGAUUUAAUCAUCUUAUAGCCUCCUUAAAGGAGUGAUUGGAGGCCUAACUAGGUAGGCCAAUCAGUCCAUUUUAUUAGCGACUAUUGCUUAAAAACAUUUAUACUCUAAAACACACUUACUUUUUUGAAAAAAAAAUAUAAUUAUAUUGAAGUAGAACCAGGUGGGCCAAUCCUCAUGGCACUCACUUUGUUCUGACACUCUUCACUAAAUUUGAAAAAAAAUAAAAUUAUACUCUUCACACUCUUAUUCAACAUUCCAAAAUUGAUAAAAUCUGGAGUUUUCAUUAAAAAUUUAAAAUUUGAAGACUUGUUCUCUUGACACCCUCAGUCAUUAAUUUUACCUAAUUAUGGUUUUUAUGAUUUUGGUUGUUUUGUUCAUAAAAAUGAUUUUACUAAAGGAUGUUCUGGUAAUAAUAAAAUUUAUAAAAAAAAACAUGGUUGUGCUGGUAUGAUUGGAAAAAUAUGAGUGCAUAACUCCAAACAAAUAAAAGAUAUAUAAAAAAAAAUGGAGGAUUCUUACCAUAUUAUGCUUUAGUACGCGGCGGAUUUCCUUAGGAUCCCACAACCUCUUGCGUUUGCCUGGCUCUUUCUCAGAUUCUUGGCGUCGCCCCAUUUCUUGCAAUAUAUCAUGCAUUUGCAAGCGGUUAUAUGACACUGUUAUGAGUGACUUAUCAACAAGGACAUCCAGUCCAACAGACUCAGAAUCAUCAAGAAUCCUUGCCACAAAAUCUUUAUCCUCUCCCUCAAAGAAACACGCAAUAUCUAGAAAUAUGCUCUGCACCCUGGGCGUUAAUUCAUCAAAACUAAUCUUUAAUUUCUUAUAAAUAGCAUGAAUAUCAGAUUCACAAAUCCGAUUUAAGUCGUGCAAUACUUUUCCCCAAUGGCUUUUCCCCUUGAGGGAGGAACCCAACACUUUAAGAACUAAUGGAUUGCCAUCAGCAUACUUUACAACUCUCCGUGAGUCAGGUUUGAAAUCUUCAGGACAAUGCUUUUCUUUAAAAGCGAAGUUACAAAAAUGCUCGAAAGCCUCAUGAAAAUCCAUUCCAUUAACCCUAUAUAUUUUCUUCUCCUCCACUCCAAAUUUUUCGAGGACUCCUUUAUCCCUAGUGGUUACAACAAUUCUACUUCCUGGAACAAAUUGAUCAAGCUCUCCAAUCAGACCCUCUAAUUGUCCAACUUCAUUCACAUCAUCGAGUACUAUCAACACCUUCAUACGCCGGACCCUCUCUUUAGUAAAAUGUGGAAUAUUGGCACCAGCUACUUCAAGUUUUUCGCUUAAUAUUGUUGAAAGCAUUUCCUUUUGUAGGUCUUCUAGGCCACCCUCUGUUUCUGAUUUUCUCCUAACAUUUUUUGCAAAGUAUUUACCAUCAAACUCACCAGAGAAUUGAUUGAAAAUAGCUUCAGCAAGGGUGGUUUUGCCGAUACCACCCAUGCCCCAAAUUCCAACAAUUUGGACAGUAUCCGACAAAUCCAUACACAAAAAUGGUUUAAUCUGCUCAAUUCGUGAAUUUAAUCCAACUAGGCCGUUGGAUGAGUCCGUUGAGACUGUUAUUUUUUCCAACUUCUUCAAAACAUCUUCGACAAUUUUGUUUACAAGUUCCGCAUCGUGCCUAAUAUAAAGGUGCAAAGAUGCAAAAACAUUGAGUCAAAUCGGGCCAACACAGAAACAGAGAUAAGAUGAAUUAGGAAAGAGAGUUACCUGAAUUUCGUGGAUUCGUGGCCAGCAAGACCGGAUGUUUCUCUCAGUGCAUCCCUCCACCUCUGAACCAUUUCUGGCUUCUCUUUGAACUGUUGUUCGAGCUUACCAAAGCCGACCCCAAAAAUCCCAGUUUGAUGCCGCACAUCGGACGGACUUACGCCAUAGAAAACCGGAAUAAUGAUUUGGCCGUUUGUGUGCUUGCAUUCAAGAAUCUCGACAAGUUCAUACAGGCACCAUUUUGAAGAAGCGUAGUCCGUUGAGAAAAUGACCACCGAAAUUUUUGAACCUUGGAUUGCGUUCAAAAGGGCAGGUGAAAUCUCAUCUCCGCGCCUAAGCUCUUCAUCAUCAAUAAAUGUUCUGAUUUUCUUUCUUUUAGACAAAGCAUCAUAGAGAUGGCAAGUAAAGAUCGCACGAGUGUCCUCCCCUCUAAAAUUGAGGAAGACUUCAUAAAUGCAAGGAGAAGAAGCCAUGAAGGAAAUAUUAGAAAUUUGGUGACAGAAACAGAGAAUUAAUCUUGAGAGCUGAGAGAGGAGAUGUAAGAAUGAACAUGUGUGAAUAUUCUUGCGAGUACAUAGUAAAUAAUUGAAUGGCUCGAGCUUUCUUAGUUUCCUGGAAAUUUCCUGGAGCUUUCGUAUACAUGAUUUGUCAAGUCAAGAAACAUAGUCAUGAUAAUGGGGCAGACCAGGAAGAAAAGGAAAUUGGAAUUUUGUACAAUUUCUCCAGCGAGGAACUUUCACUGUCAUUACCUCACCGUUACAGUUUGGAUUAGGGUAAUUUUUACCCCGCACCCAAAUGUUUUGACAUACAGCACAACGCACCCAAUUCUUUUGCCCAUGAGCACCGCGCACCCAUUUCCGUUUAUUUUUCAGUUAACUGUAACAGAUCAGGGUAAAAUUGGAAUAACGCAUCAAAAUUUAAAAAUAAAAAAAUAGGUAAACUCGAUGUUUGCGCCAAAAUAAUUUCACAUCACUGUGCUUAUGUUCACUGCGUUUGCGUGUGAGACCAAGAAGCAUGGCCACACCUCCAUUGAUGCCAAAAUCGAGGAGGUGGGUGAAGAAGAAUUGGCGCCAAAAUCAUUCACAUAUGAUGUGCAAGGAAAUUAUUUCAGCCUUUAAAUACUUUUUUAUUACAGCAGCAUCAGCUAUUGCUCUGUUUCGAAGAUCUGCUCAAUUUCUAAGACAAUAGUUGGUUUGAGAGUUUAAGGGAAGUGAAUCCACUGAGCGUGCUAUUGAAGAAGUGGAGGUCAGUUUCAUUUCUUGCUCAAUUGUUUUAAUUUAUUCCAUUUUGUUUGCAUGUCAAUUAUUUACACAUUUUUAGCUGGAUUUUGCUUAUCUAUAAAACUUGAAUCAUUGUUAAUCAAAUCAGCUAUAAUUUACGCCUCAAUGUGGUUUGUAAGUUUAAGUUAUGUUGGAUUAUACCUGAAUAAUGUGGUGUUUGCGUUAUUGAUUUCAAUUUCUAUUGAUGAUUUUGAGUAUACAUAUUAGUGGAUGAAAGUUUUUAAUUAGGAUGAUUGGUCACGCAUAUAUGUCAUAGCAACUGUGUUUUUUUGGGUUAUGGUUGUACUGUAGAUCAGUAGUAGUAGUGAUUUGGAUAUAAACGCUAGUGCUUUUAUUGUAAAUGAUAGUGAUGAAGAUCCAGUGUUACAGAAUUUGAUGUAAAAGUUAUUGGUUUUUGGCUAAAUAUCUUAGAUAAAUAUGAUGCUCAUGCAAUCAAAUCCAAUGCUUAUGCAAUUUACACCAUGUUUAUGAUAAGUAAUUAAAAAAAUAAAUGACUAUUCCAGGUGAAAAUGGAUGAUGAUGAUAUUACAACUGUUCUUUGUACAUUCAAGGGCAAGACAUAUAAUGUUGGUGUAAUUGAUCCAGAUAAGUUUAGUAGAGUUUCUGUAAUUAACAAGGUUUUAGUUAGAGUCUAUGGAAGAAAGAUGAGGCCUGAUGAGAAGUUUACACUAAGUGUUUGGGUACCAUGGGUCUAUAAGGAAGUAGAGAUUAUGUCUGAUCAUGACUUAAUAUUCCAGCUGAGAGAGCAUAAUAAGAUGUUGUUCUACUGCAUGCAAUUGUAUAUUGAAGAAAUCCAUGUACCUCAUGAGUUUGUACCUAGAAGGGCUUUGUUUCAGCACUCAGCAGAAGAAAGCUUACAAGGGUAUGCUGAAACAAACUUUCCAGCCACUACUGACCUGCACAAACCUUAUACACAUGCUACAUCCACCAACACAAAUCCUUAUGAAAAUGACAGUAAUGACCAUUCGAACCAUGAACCCCCUGUCAAGAACUCCAGCAGCAUAAUGAUGCAUAAUGUUGCACUUGAUAGCAUCCAAUCACAGACCAAACCAGAUACCAACCCUGACCUAUAUCAAGACUUUUUGGAUACCUAUUUCAGAUCAUCACCACAACAGAAAACACCAUCAGCUGCCCAAACUAAUGCCGAAAAUAGUGAUAGUGAUAACACAUCUUCAUUUGGUACAAAUAAGACUCCUACUGAGCAGCUUCAACAAAACUUUGCCAUCUCUUCUGAGUUGUCCCCUUUAUUGCAGCAACAUGGACAUCAUGCAUCCCAAAAUGAACCUAUACCUUUUCACCAACCUGAGUUCUCAUCUCAACCAAUAACUCAAAACCCUCAGUCACAAGUUGUACAAGCAGAAAACUUCCAGCAACCAGAAGCCACUACACCAGCACUAGUAGAUUAUAACUCAGAUGAUAGCCAUUAUAGUGUAACUGAUAGUGAGGAAGAUCCAGAUCAUCCAUUAGGUGCUCCAAACAUUAAUAAUACUCCUAGGAAACCUUCUGUUAAUGUUGACUUAGGCUCUAUGCCUUCUGAUGAUAGUGAUGAAGAUUGUAUGCUAUCUGAUUGUGAGAGUGAUGACAAUGAGUUUGGGGAAGAAUCUGAUGAAGAGAUUGAUCAAGUGCUGGUCAGAAUGGAUGCUGUUAUGAGAGAGAACAUGUACAUUCCUAGUGAUACACCUGUUCAAUUCUUUAUUGGGCAGUGUUUUAGGAACUUCAGGCAGCUGGCAUGGGCAAUAAGGACUUAUGCUGUGGAAAACAAGUUCAAGGUUUAUAAGCACAAGUUUGAAAAAUCCAGAGUAACUGUUGGAUGUAAUUAUUUCAGGUGCCCAUGGUUUUUACAUGUUGCAAAAACUAGAUUUGGACAAACCUUUAUUGUUAGGAGGCUUCACAACGUACAUACAUGUCAGAGAGACUUAAAGAAUCCUGAAUGCACUGCAGAGUUCAUUGUUGCCAAGUUUGCUGCAACUAUAAUUGAGCAUCCAGAUACAAAGGUUGGGUGGAUUCAAAGUGAACUUAGAAGGAUGUAUGGAGCUAAGAUACACAAGUAUAAAAUUUAUAGAGCAAAGAAGAAGGUUUUACAGAGACAAUGAGCUGAUUAUGAGUCUAGUUACAUGUUGAUCAGAAAUUAUGCUCAGGCCAUACUUACUAAGAUGCCACAGGCCUUGGCAUUGGUUAAGGUUUUCAGGAUGCAUGGUCAACAACCUCAAACUCACUUUGACAGCACUGUUAUAUCUUUCCAUGCCCUCAGAGAUGGCUUCAACCAAGGUUGUAGACCCUUCAUUGGUAUUGAUGGAUGCCAUUUGAAGGGUCCAUAUAAGGGUGUUCUUUUAUCAGCAGUUGCUAUUGAUGCCAACAAUGGAAUCUUCCCACUUGCAUUUUGUGUAUGUAGUGUCGAGAGUACAACCAGCUGGACAUGGUUUCUAAGCCACUUUAGGGAAUUUUUACAAGAUACAAGACAACUGACCUUUAUGUGUGAUAGGCAGAAAGGAAUUCAGAAUGCUCUUGCCUUAGAGUUUCCUAAUGCACAUGUUAGAUUCUGUGCUAGACACAUCUUAGCAAAUAUUAAGUUAAAACAUCCUCAAUCUGACUUUAAAGCAUAUUUCUGGGCAGCAGCAAGAGCAUCAAACAGAAGGGCAUUUGAUGAUGCUAUGCAAAACAUAAGAGCAGCACAUGAGGGUGUAUAUGAGACUCUUAGGAGGAUACCACCAAAUUUCUGGUCAAGGCAUGCCUUUGACAAUAAUUGCAAGUCUGAUCAUUGCACUAACAACGUAACUGAAUCUUUUAAUGCAUGGAUUGGGAUUCAAAGAAAGUUGCCAAUAAUCUCAAUGCUGGAGUGGAUUAGGAAGAAGCUGAUGAAAAGAAUGAUUGGAAGAAGAAAUAAGGCAGAGUCUUGGGACAGUGAUAUACCAAGAAGAAUUUAUGCACAAAUGAUGAAGAAUUUACAGAUUGGCAGUGCAAACCCUAUCUGUAGAGCUAGUAAAUGGCUUUAUGAAGUGGAUGAAAAUACCAAGACUUAUAUCGUUGAUCUUGAACACCAUAUGUGUGACUGCGGACAAUGGCAAGUUAGUGGGAUUCCAUGUGUACAUGCAAUGCCUUGUAUUGUGAAUAGUCAAAAAGAUCAAGCUCAGUUCAUUAGCCAAUGGUUGAAGAAAGAUACUUACCUAAGGUGUUAUUCUGGAUUGAUUAAACCAAUUCCAGAUAGAACGUCAUGGGUAGAUGCUGGUGGUGAUGAAAUACUGCCCCCUUUAGUGAGAAGACCACCUGGACGACCUAAGAUGACAAGAAGAAGAGAAGCUGAUGAGGUACCAGCACAUAAUAAACGAUACAAGAUGCAAUGCACUAUUUGCAAGGGAUUUGGACACAACAGAAGGGGUUGUCCUGUUAACCCUCAUAAUGCUCACAAGACAACAAGACAAUAUAAGGUGAGUGUGUAUGCUUGUAAGAGAAUAUUCAAUUAUUUUUUGAACCAUGUUCCUCCCAUGUGAUGACAGCUAAUGUGCCUUGUUUGUUUGUGCUUUUUUAUAGAAUAACCUGAAGAAGCACGUGACAAGGACAAAUGGGGAGCAAAGUGAAGGUAUAAGAGUAAUUUACUAAGUUAUAUUACUAUAUUACUUUACAGCUGUAUUAGAUAAUUAUAUAGUUGUGUAUCACCAAACUAUAUUAAAUUAACUUAUUUAUUUAACGUUGCUUUAUUGGUAAUUUAUAAGGCCAAGUUCACGGAAUUACCUCAACUAUUUUGGAAAGCCAAGACAAUGACAUGGUCCAAGUAACUGUCUCAGGCCAAAACAUAACAAAGAACCAGCAGACUGCAUCUAACAAACGCAAGAUUGGCAAUCAAGCAGGGCCAUCAAAAGCAAAUGAAGUCAUUGGCAAGAGCAUGAAUGGGGUCAUAUCUGUAGCUCCAUGGGUAGGUGAACAGGGAAGAAAAGUAAUGUCAGCCGCUGGAUUAACCUUCAGCAAAGAGGAUGAAGUCGGCAACUAUACUGAAAUGAAGCAUUUGGACAAAGGGAAGGCACCAGCCUUCCCUUCGUAAAGGGUAAAACCAUAGUUUUCUAUUGAUAUAAAUUAAUAUUGGUUUUGGAAAUGAUAUUUAUAAUUUGUAACUUGUUUUGUAGUGAUUCUUUGGCUAUGAUGGAGACAUUGGCAGCAAACUUAUUAACAAACAGUGGAGGCAACAUUAUCAUUUUUUGACACCUUCCACAAUGCCACAUCAACCCACCAGGCACAAGGUUAAGGUUAUCUGGAUGCUGAUUUCAUUAGGAUCAAGUGGCCAAGUAAUGACCAGGCAUGUCAUUGUUUUCUUUUUCUUUUUUAUUUUGGAGCUGAAAUUGGUGGAAGUUGUUGGACAUUAAGCUUAAGCAUUAUAGAGCUGGAAGCUGUGAUGACCUACUAUAAGUAUGAUUGGAAGGGUUUAUGGCAUUUUGAAAGUUUUUGGGAUUAAGAUACAUAUAGGACUGAUAUCAACCAAACCAACACUUUUUUUUUUUGUUUUUUGGUCACAUGUAUGUAAACACCAGAUUGGAUGUGACUAACAUUGUAAGUUGCUGCCAAUAUGCAUUUAUAGAUAAAAUAACUUAUUGCUAUUAUUGAUAUCAUAUUUGAUUAAAUGGUAUAUGUCAAGAAACGAAUGCAUUUUAUUGAUCAUAAGAUUUCAUUUUACACAUUGUUCUAGCAUUCCUUACAGUACAAUACAAGCAAUACAAGUAUAGUUAUCACUAUAAUCGUGAUUUGAUACUUCUUAUUUUUAUGAAGUAAACCUUCAAUAUUGAUGAACCUGUUGUGGAAGUCCUCAAUGUUAAAUUGUUGAAUCUCACUUGCCCUGUCUGCAGCUUCUUCUUCAAACCUUUGUAACGCUGCUUCAAUUUCUAUAGCCUCACCUGUAGAUGGUUUCCACCAUCUAAAGAAACCACAAGAUGGGUCAUUAGGGCAUGUGUAAUAUAGUUUGUUGGGGUUUGUUUUUGAUUCUGACACUUUGAUUUCUGCCCUUCUUCGACAGUAGCAUACUGUGUUAUAGAACUUGAUGAUGCCCCCAUUGAUUUUAGGUAAAUCCCUUCUUCUGUUAUAAGUUGAUGAACUUGAUGCAUUCCUUGAAGUGGACAUUUUCUUCAAAUUUCCAAUGUCGUGUCUGUUAUAUUCUUUUUGAAAUACAGCACAACGUAUCUGAACUUCAAGUUGUUGUGCUUGUUUUGUGUGUGAAUGAAGCUGCUGUUGAAGUUGUAUUGUUUCGGUGGGUAAAACCAAAUGUUGUACUACUGUAAGUUGUUGCUGAGUAAAAAAAAUGGUGGAGUUUCCAGGUGAGUCAAUGAAAAUCACUGAGGUGUGAAGAGGGUAGGAAUUUAUAUGUGUUAAACAUCACAGCUUGUGGUGAUGCAUCAGCUCAAAUUUAUCAAUUUCUUUUACUGUUCUUGUAACCAUAUAGCCGUUAUUACUGUUGCUCAGAUUUUAUAGCCGUUGGAUUUUUGAUGCGCAUGGUAAUAAACCAAUAUGCUAAGGGCAAUAUAGUCAAUAUAAUUUAACAGUUAUAGUUGGUCUUCGUGUGUAAAUACACCUUUAAAUAAUGGCCAGUGGUAAAUUCCUUAGUUCAAUGACUCACCUGGAUGCAUUUGAAUUCAACGCAAGGGUAUAUUUGUCAUUUAAUCAAAAUAUAGACUGAUCCGUUACAAUUAACUAAAAAAUAAACAGAAAUGGGUGCGCGGUGCUCAUAGGCAAAAGAAUUGGGUGCGUUGUGCUGUAUGUCAAAACAUUUGGGUGCGGGGUAAAAAUUACCCUUUGGAUUAUGAUUUGAGGGUGCAAGUAUUUACCUAGAGUUUACCUCCGCACUAAAUUCUUAAGUUUUGAAAAUUAUGAGACCUUUAUAUUGGGAGAUAUUGUAAUCGAAUCAAAACUUAAAUUUUUUAUAAUGUUAAUAUUUAAUCUUUUAAAAAACAAUAACCUCGCCGUUACAGUUUGGAUUAAGAUUUGAGUAAGUAUUUACCUAAAUUUUACCUCCGUCUGUAAAUUCUUAAGUUUUGAAAAUUAUGAGACCUUUAUAAUCGAAUCAAAAUUUUGAAUUUCAAUAUUAUUAUUCUUUAAAAAAAAUUUUGAGAUAACAGAGUGAUUGAUAAUAUAGGAGAACUUGUCUAGGCAAGCACAUGUAUACACAGAAACGUGAUGGAUUCAAAAAGAAAUUAAAGUGAUAAUGCGAAAUCGCUUGGUGGCCCAGUAAAAUUACGACUGAAUUUUUUUUUUUUUUUUUACAAAAUUCAAGCUCAUAAAUGACAAAUUUCAUUUCCCUUUCACACGUCAUUAACUUUUGUAACAUGGUGUGUGCAUCGUCAAGUGAGGCAAAAGGGUUUCAAUUACAGUUGGAAAACAUGAACAAGAAUGCAUAAUGAAUAAUUCCUUCGAUAAACCGAAAAUUAAGCACAGAAUAAUCCUAAAAUUUAAACUCUAAUAUCUUAUAAUGUAUUGAUUAAAAAUAAUCCUAAGAGCUCCCAAUUGAAACUUUCAUAAGUAUUUUAAUUGUUUUGGAUAAACAAAUUGCACUAGGAUAAAAAUUUGGCAAAUUCAGAGGAUAAUGGAAAAUAGUUAUGCUUCAAUAGGCCAAAGAUUAGAGAACAAAUAAGAAUUAUUUAUUGAUAUACAAAAGAGAAACACUCCAAAAUUUCAAGCAAAAAUAGUUUCAUAUAUCAUUUCGAUUUUGAAAGGGAUGAGAUUUUGAACUUCAAUAGUUUCCUCUAAAAUUAAAAGGUAGCAAUUAAGCUAAAAAGAGCAAUGAAGACUUAUUGGUACCUUAUUAAAGGUAAACAUUAUGGAACUUUCAAUGUCAUUAUCUCACUGUUCAAUUUUUAUUGAGAUUUGUGUAAGCAUUUACCUAAAUCUUACCUCCGCCUUUAAAUUCAUAAGUUUUGAUUAAUUAUGAGACCUUAUAUUGGGAGAUAUUAUAAUCAAACUAAAACUUAAAAUUUCAAUAUCAUUAUUCUUUAAAAAGAAAUUGAGAUAUCAGAGUAAUAUCACAUAGAAAAACUUGCCCACGGACGGUAAGCCAAAAGUCUAGUCAACCACACGCAUAAAGCUAACUAGAACAAGAGAACAGAGAAACGCGUGGGUCCCUAAAAGAAAAGGCAAGCACAUAAAUAACUUUCAAAAUGCCCAAGCAAAUACCGAUGAAAAUCACUGUUUAAGAAUAAUUUAUUAUGUGGUUGAAGCUUUCUUUUUAUCAAUCUUCUUUCUACCCAUUAAUUUUCCCACGACUUUCCCGUUUCAUUUCUUGAAUCUCCAUGGAUUAACUUUCAAUAAACCAUAAAAUAAACUAAGGAAUCAUUUUCUCGAAUACAGCUAUGAUUUUAAUAAAUGGGCGGACCAUCUAGAAUAGUAUAUAUAAUUCUGUUUAAUUAAUAAGUUGAAAAAACCAUCAAGAGAAAUUCUAAUAUUAUGAGCUUGACACGAAUUCUUCACUAAUUCCAAAACAAGGAGCUGUUUUAUAAGAACUGUGGUUGGAUUAUUAAGUUUUACAAUUUGAAUAUAAAUAAGAAAAUAAAAUCAGUCGCGUUGAUGUUUUCGAUACAUUUCGCUGCUAACUUUUUUUUUUUUUUUAUUACAUGAGACUAUUGCUCAAAUUACAACUCAUAUUACAUGAGAAUAUAACUGAUAUUUACAAAUCAGACUAUAACUGGGACCAAUAUACAUCAAUACUAAUGGAGCGCUGCCCAGAUUUUAACCCUCUCAAAUAUUCAAGGGAUGUCUACACCUCACACUUGGGUAAGGAAACAGACUGUCUUCACUUAAAUUUACUUGAGGAAUGAAGACCCCCACAAUACAUUGUGGGGGUUCACCACUCGACCAAAGGCCGAGUGGCUCAUUUCGCUGCUAACUUAAUUAAUUACUUUACUUCAACUUUAUUUCCUUAGGGGCACUUUAUGGUGGGUCCAAGAUGGGACCUACAAUAAUCAAUCCUAAAAUUUAGUAUGGUUACCAAAUAGCUAGUAGCUAGUGUUAUUUUGUGUUUGGUGGAAGAGAUUGAAUAUUUAGUUUUAACUUAACCAUUCAACUAAUUAGAAAAUAAAUAAAAUUAAAUGAAAUGUUUAGAUAUCAAUUUAAAUAUUAAUAUCGGGGAUAUAAAUUAGUUAUAAUAUAGUUCAUUACAUAAAAUUGAUUAAAUUAAUAAUUACCCGUGAACAUAGAUGUAUAUGCUUUCCAAUUUCCAAAGUGCUCAAAGCACUUUUCUCACCAAACUUUCCUCUGAAUUUCCCGUAGCUGACUCCUUUGUUUGCGUUUUGUGAAAUUUCUAGGAACUUUUUUCGAUUUAGAAUAUUGUACAUUUUUCUUUUCAGCUGAGAUUAAUUUAACUUAUAGAAAAUCUUAUCCUUUUUUAAUAUUAUUUAAAUAAAAUUUGUCUAUCUUUUAUUUUAUUAGUCUACUUUUUACCCAUUAAUUAAGACUUUUCAAUUUCUUUUUUACCUGAGGUUUUCAGUGACUAUCUUUCAAUAAACCAUAAAAAUUACUUAGUCAUUUAUCGAACAAUUAGAUGACCAUAUUUCAAAAUAUCAACUAGAAGUUGUCCUGAAAUAUUUAAUUAAUAGUUGAAGAAUUGUGAUUAGUGUGGGCAUCUACAUAAAAAUUAUAUUAAAACACCGCUAAAAGAUAAAAAUAAAAUAAAAUAGUACAAACAUACACCCAUAGGUUAAAACAAAGAAAAAACACGAACCAAUACACUAAAAUGUUUUAGCUGUAGUUAGUUUUCAGUUUCAUUACUUAAGUCCCACGUGCAUGUCACGUGACUGAGGUCAAAAAAUGAUUGUCACAUUAAAGUUCAAAAUACGGAGCAGGGUAAUUAAGGAGUGGAGCUAUUGGCACCCCUCCAUUAUUCUUACAAAACUCCACUUUAAAUCAAAAUAUAAUUAAGAAUAAUUGAAAAUUAAACACUUAUAGAUUUCUUUACAACAUGUUGAGUGAUAAAAAAGCACCAGUCGGGCAUGUCCCCAUUUCUUACCCGGUGCCGAAUCUCCACGGUCGAAUGGUAUGAGUAGACUCUUGGUGAUGUCUUCUAUGUGGAGCACGUAACAACAGACCAGGAACUAGUACCAACCAAAAACGAGUACUGAUCGAAACAAGCAUGACCAGAAACGCAUACCGACCAGAGACUUGUGGGUCCGUAAAAGAAAAGGCAAGCACACAAAUGAAAAAGCCAUUACAUUUCUAUUUUACAUGUCAUUCCUAAUUUUUGUAACACGAUGUGGCAGCAUAUGCACAAUCAAAUGAGGCAAAAGGGAUUCGACUAUCGUGGCAGAACAUGGACGAGGACGCGUGAUGAAUAAUUCCUUCGAUAAAACGAAAAACAAACGCAGAGAAAAGAAUUUCUUAUAUGACAAGAAAUUAAAGUAAUGUGACGGAACAUGAUGAAGAAAUUGCAGAUCGAUCAAUUAUCCCCAUGGACUCCUAUAAAUUCAACCAAAAUAACAAUUCCAAUAUUACCAAAUUCUUGAGUUAAAUUUAUUCAAUGCUUUUUUUUAAGAGAAAUUUUUUCCAAUGCUACUUUCCCUUUUUUGGGGAAAUUAGAACUGCGGCAUGUAUAGAAGACAUUGAGGUAUAAAGCAACAUUAAUUUCAUGGGUUAUGCGUUAUACGCAUAAUAUAUUUUCAGUCCAAAUUCAACUAUGCAAAGAGGCUUGAGAACUUAAAAUUAAGCACAAACUAAACAGACGAAGUAAAUACAUGAUUAUGCAACAUAACAUUAAUUCUCUUAAUUUAUAACCGUUUUGCCACAUGAAUCUUGCACAGUUAAUCCUAAUUGAAGACUAAAAAAGAACAAUUGGAACAAGGUUUUGAAAUAGAAUGAUAGACAAUCGAUAUGAUCCAUUUCCAGUCGUCAACGCUAAUUAACUGCAGUUUCUAGACUCCUAAUUAUACUAGCCAUAAGAAACUGUUUAGAAAACUGGUGAUCAGAUUAGAUUUUGAAAUGAAAUAAUGUUCAUUUUCCCUUCGUUACCCUUUUAUUUAUUUAUUAUUUUUAUACCAAAGAAUUCUAUCAUGAAACGAAUCAAUUUAAUCACCUUUUCCAGCAGCACAAUUUUUCUUUUAUAAAAUUUGACCACAGAGACAAAGAAGAAUUAUUCAUACCUUCAUCAGUAAGGAAAUACUUUUCGGUAUGGCUAGGGUGAGAAAAGGCUUUCCACAAACACUUGUACUUUGUAUUCCUGUAAAUUUUCUUUAAAGUCAAUAAAAAUCAUAAGUUCUUUACAAUAACCAUCUCUUUGAUAAAAAAAGUGCCGUAUUCCUUUAGAAUUUAAAACCGGCAAAAUCGAAUCAGUGUCUUUGAAGAGACAUAAUGGUCAUAAUUCUUUAAAGAGUUGGCUAUGGAAAUCCUUAUCCAAGAUUCUUUUACGCCAUAUUCUUUCGUAAACCAAAAUUCAUUUUGGAAUACUCUGUUGAGAAUGUCAAAUAAAACGGUAUUGAAGGAAGUUUUCAAAGGCAGAAUCCGCACUUGUCAAAGGGAUGAUCUGCAUUUGUCAGAGACACAAUCUGCGUCGAAUGAAUCGACACAUUUCCUUUUGUAUUCGCAUAUGUAAUUUUUGAAAAAAUGUAGCUUCUGCAUCUAUAAAUAACGCUCAGUGUAUAAUGUUUUAUUCAAAAAAAGAAAACAAGUUUCUUCAUACUCGUCGUCCGAACAUACAGAGACCGUCUCUCAUAACUUCAGCCGAAUACUUAUGAUGAUGAUCAUUUGUGAUUUCAUCAGGCAUAGGGUUGAUGGUGAAAAAUUUUGUAUGUGUGAAGAAUUGAGCUGUGGAUAUAGGGGACUUAAGUGUAAUCGAAAGAGAGUUAUUAGGCCAUAGUGUAGAUUGCAUUCAGUUUAUGAGUCGAUAUGCAAAUAAUUUGUUGACGUGGCGAAAUUUGUUAUGGUCGUUACUAUUGUUUCUGGAAAUUUUCUAGAAACCUCAGCAUAAAAGGGGCUUUUGGAUAGCCUCUGGUGUGCGUGUGAUUUCUCUUUCGUUUCCUCAUCAAAUUCUGUAAUUCUUGCUUUGAUAAAAAGCUUGUAAUCUCUUCUGUAAUUGUGAUCAGUGCGUAAUCAUUUUGAGCGAUAAAAGCUUGUAGGUUUUUCCUUCAAACAAUGUCGUUUUGGUCAGUUUGUUAGUUUGAUCUGUUGGUGGAAUUUUCUUUGGUUAUUUGUUCUCAAAUUUCAACCUUAUAUAAAGUUUGAACUCUAAUGGCUUAUAAUGUAUUGAUUAAGAAUAAUCCUAAGAGUUUCCGAUUGAAAUUUUUAAUGACUAUUUUUAUUGUUUUGGAUGCACAAAUUGCAUUAAGAAAAAAUAUUGUCAAAUUCAGAGGAUAACGGGAAAUAAUUAUGCUUCAAAAGGCCAGAGAUUAGAGAAUAAAGAAGCAUUCAUUACUGAUAUAAAAACUGCUUCUAUUUGGAUUUUGAAAGGGGUGAAGUUUUGAACUUCAGUUGUUCCUCUAAAAUCAAAAGCAAUAAUUAAGCAUUCUCAAUUAGAAAGAGCAAAGAAGACUUAUUGGUACCUUACUGAAGCUAACAUUAUGGCACGGUUGUUCAUAUGUAAUGGCUGCUCUGUUAUGCUAGCUUCUCUGUUUUUGCUUCUAUUUUUGCUUACAGUUUUGAAGAUAAAUUCUUGCUCAAAUAACACAUAAUUAAAUAACACUAAUAUGGCUCAUGAAAUCCUAUAAUAGCUAAUUACGCAACUUUCUCCUCCUCCUCAAUUCUGUCUUCCCCUGCUCGGACACUAACUUCAAAAUUCAAUGCCCCGAAAAACAACACAAGAAAUCUUUGAGUUAGUUCGUGACCAGUUUAUAUAUAGUAGCAAUUGAAAAAAGAAAAAGAAGAAAAGAGUUAAUUAUUUUUCAGACCUUCACUUAUUAGGAAGUUUGUUCUGCUAUUGGGUGAGAUCAAGCUCUCAGCAUAUACUUCCACAUGAUACUUUCUAACAUUUUCUUGAAAGCCAUCAAUCAUUAAAUCUUCAUACUUUUUUCCAUCCUUUGGAUCAAUAAGUACAAAUUUCUCAUCUAAAAAAGACAAAAUAAAAUCACUGUCCUUCAUGGAAUCAGAAUUGAGCUUACAAAAACCGAAGUGGACAGUUCCAUUCAGAUUGGUCGCCCGAGAACAAUGAUGAGAAGACUUAAAAUCAGUUUCAAAGGUUUUCCAAGUAUUGUUCCUCUAAACCACUUGUAUAUUUUACCAGAACUCUUGGUUAAGAAAAUCCUAGUCCAUGGAGUAUGAUAUAUCAAUCAUGCAACAAUGACCUACAACAUCUAUGUGGAUUGAUUUUUGCAAAAUAAAGAACAAUGCUGACUGAGGAAUAAGGUGCAUACCCGAUUAGCAAUAUCUCAGCAAGUAACCAACAAUUUUUUAUCUGAUAAGAAAAAAUUACAAUUUCUUGAAUAUACAUGAAACAUUUUGCAGAAAGAACCAUGUCAUAAUUAUUAGUCCAACUGAAGAAUUAUCAAUACUUAUCACAUGAAACGAAAGAUACCCGAGUUCACUUAAUGAAAUUCUCUUUUUUUUUUCUCUAACAUUGAGAUAAGCAAAAACUUUUAACUAAAGACAAUCAUCUAGUGAUCUCAAACAAAUGAGGUUAGUAUGAAACCAUCAUAAUUUGUUCGCUCAUUGCCUAAUUUUAUUAAUGCAAGAGCCUGGAAGCAACUCAAAAAGAAAAUAACCGACAUAGGAAGUGUCAUCUCAUAUCUCACCAAUGAAUGGGAACAGCUUGAUGUGGCUGAGCAAACUGGCAGAAUUGUCAUUUUAACACACGUUCAAGAAACUCAGCAAAUUCUCAUAUCUGUUUAAAUUCCACAGCAAAGAUAGUUACAAGAAAUCUAAUCAAAAUUUAAAAUGUCAGAAGGCAAAUCUUCCAAUUAGGAUCAAAAGAAGAUAAUUAUAAUUUGUCAUUUCAAUUCUGAAUGUACAAUUUUAUUUUUUUAUGUGUGCAUUAAUUAAGAUUCUACCUUCUCUGCAAAAUUGUGAUGGACUUGGUAAAUAAUGAAUUGUAUCGACUUGAAUUUUAUACAACUUAUUGAGAUAAUAAUACGCCAAAUUCAACACCGUCCAUCCCAAAUCACAACAAGAAACUCAAACUUUUAUCCCCUCAAGUGGGUUCUUGAAACUGAAGCUUUAGUGCCAGUACAAUUUUGAAAGAUUGUGAUCAAACUAAAACAUCAAAUAAAAUAAGACGUAACAAAAACACGUCUUCAGAAAAUUAGUAUAGGAAUAAGAUAAGCUACACAGACCUACUUCAAUGAAUUAGAAAAAUUAUGAUAAACUUGAUGCAUUUCGAAAAACAACAAACAAAUAUUCCCAGGAAAACAAAAAAAAGACAACUUUGUUUAAGCUUAGACAAAAAUAACUAAGGACAUAUGAAUGCAUCAUAAUAGUAUCUCUAUGGGUAAUUUUCAGAAAUCUCCCCUAAGGUAUGGUGUAUUCUUAGUUUGAUAGAAAAUAUCUAAGUAUUCUUAUAGACCUCCCCUACUGUUAGUAUUCCAUUUCGUAUAUGUUAGGUAGAUGAGGGUAAGAUCGUAAUUUGAAUAAGUUAAUGAUAAAAAAUCCAGAAAUUUUAAGAUUUUCACAUUGGCCUCUGGGCUUUAUUCAUCUCUUUCAUCCACCAAAACCAGAAAUACAACUCACCUCUCUCCUCCACCUAAAUCGAAGCAAGGUAGCUCAAAACUCAUUUCAAAAAAUUGAUCAAUUACUUGGGUCACAAACUAGAGACAAUGACGACGAAGUUGAUGACGCCAAUAUCGACGACGAAGCUGAUGACGCCAAUAUCGACGACGAAUGAUUCGCAACUGCCAGGUAAGAGAGUAUAGUAGGUUUCGCCAUCGAACGCCCAAUCAUCCAGUUGUUUUGGAGCCGCGUUAUUUUUAUUAGCUAAAAUUAGAAUUUUUAGUGAAAAAUUGAAAGUGGGUCUCAAAAUUUUUUGAGAGCGUAUAUGUUUCUCCUGAUUUUUCGAUCGAUUCGUGUUAGUUGCAGUUAAAUGAUUAAUCCAAUUCGUGUUGAAGAUAGAGCUAACUCGAAUAUCUCUAUAGUCCUGUAAUUGAUUGAAAAUGGGUCUUGAAAAUUGUUUUAGAUUUCAGCUGUGUGCUUCUGAUUUUUUCCAUGGAUUCAUGAUAGAUGAAAAUGGUUGAUGAAGAUUUGCUUGACAUGUAUAUAGAUGGUAUUUUGUUAAAGGGGUUUUAAUUUUUUCCUUUUUUGGUGGUUUCGAUUGUGGUAUUUACAUGCCUUAGGUUGAGAAAAACGAAAAUGGUUUGUUGCACUCUUUUGUGUUGGAUCAGUGAGUUUAGGCGAUUUGAAAUGGUUUGCGGCAUUCAAUUGAUUGUUUUAUUUAUGUGGUUUGAUAUGGGAAAAGUAUAAUAAAAUUCAAUUGUUCCAUAUGUCAAUUUGGAUGUUUUGAAAUUAUGAACUACAAAAAGUUAAAAUUAAUUUCUUAUUAUAUUUUCAAUUGAAAGUUACUAUUGUCUUCUUUUUAGUACUUAGUAUGCAUUUUUCCCCAUCUUCUAGUGGUGGUGUUGCACCCAUUUUGAAUUUGAUCGGCAUCUUCUUCUGUACAUGCAUGUUUCUUGGACUCCAAUUUUUGUUUCAUAUGAUGAAGCUAAUUUAAUUCCUCCUUUUUAAUAUCAACUUUGUUCAUCUAGGUUUGCGAUUUUGAUCUUUCUCAUUUGAAGGCAAACACAUUUAUGUCAUCAAAAUUUCCAAUAUUUUUUAUUUUAUAGUAUCCAAACUGCUUAUGGCAAUAUGAAAUUGAGAAUAUUUCUUUCAUCAUGUUAACCUAAGUGGAUGGUGGAUGAUGUUUGUGUAAGAGAUUUAAGUUAUUUGUAUUAUAGAAUAUGUCUUAUGUUUUGAUUUGCAAUUUCACCAUUAAAUUGGCUUUGUAAAUGAUUAGAAGCUAAAUGCAUAAAAUGAAAACAAUAGUAACAUUUCUGAGUGGGGUAUAAUCAGAUGCUAACAUGGCGAUCCAUGACUUGUAAUUUCUAUUGUCGUUAUAAUUGGACUAGAUCGAGGUAAACUGACUUUUCUUGUUCUGUUUUUUUUUUCAUUUCUUUGUUCUAGAUUUUUCUUUCUUUGUUUUACUUCUGGUUUCUUCUUCAGCAUAUUCAAUAACUAGCAUGAGCAAAUGGAGAGGAAAAGGGUAGAAUAUGCUUUUAAAAAAAAAGAAAAGAAAAAAAGAGAUAGCUCUAAUUCAAAAAUAAGGAGGAGAAAAGGGCAAUGAUUGAAGUUGUGGAGAAGAAAUUCUUAAUGCAUAGGAGAUGACAACAAAGUGUUGCAACUGGGAGCAGUUUUAAAGUGCUAUUCGAUUGCUUUUGUAAUCAAAUUGUCUUUUGUACCUAUUUAUACACACACAUAUUUGUAUUUGUAAUUUGAAUUUUACAUUUUCUCAAGACAACUAUGUUUAUUUUAAAAAAAAUCUAAAUGUAACUAAAAUAUUAAAGUUUUUGUACUUAUUACUCCAUUUGAUGAUUUUUUUUAUUUUUUUGCUGACGAAUAUUCCAUGUCAAUUUUUUUCCCUUCAGCUCGUUUAAGGUGUUUUAUUGUCUGAUGUGAUAUUUGGUGCUCGGGAGGAAGGGUGUUUUAAGUCUUUUUUGGUGUCAGGGGCAAUUUUGUCUUUACAUCAGUCAACAAAUAGUCAAUGGAUGGAAAUGCAAACAGCAGGGGAGGUGUCUGAUAAUACACGGAUACUUUCUAUCAAACUUAUAAUACACAAAAUCUCAGGGGAGGUUUUUGAAAAUUACCCAACUGUGCAAAAUUAUGAAAAAAAUGAGCUAAACAUAUAUAGCAUUUCAGAGGAGUGCUUACUUGACAAAUCACUAAUACAAAGCUGCGAAUGGGCAUUCGGAAUGUUUUGAGAGACUCGUAUGGAUAAAAUAUGUAGUUAUUUAAGUAAUGACAGAAGGAGAAUCGUGUGGCUUGUCAAAGCCGUUAGCUCCAUCUCAUUUGCCUCGUCCUCUCGUUUUGUUUCUGUGGGGACAUAUUUGAUAUUUUGGAUUUUGUCUAAAAUUCGUCAUGUUUUUGGAUACUAACAUCUGCGCCUCUAGACCAAUAGCCAUUUGAUUAAGUGGGAGAACCCUUACACUAGUGUAAGAAUUUGAACUUUUAUAAAAUUAUUUAUGAGAUUAUUUAUAAUUUUUUUUAAUUAUCAAAUAAUUGAGUAGAGUCAGUUUAAUCCUUACGAAAUAUUUACUAUUCAUAAAUAUCUUUUUUUUUCUCUAUCUUACAAUUGAAUAUUCUCUCUCUACUCCAACAUUAUGUAACCUAAAUAUUUAAUUUCACUCUUUUUUAAUUUAUUUUUUUGUCUUUUCUUAGUAUAUUAUAAUCUUUAUUUCAUGUUUUCUAUAUAUAAGAAUUUUUUUAUAUCUAUUAAAUUUUGUGUUUAGUGAAAAUUAAUUUCUUGAUAUUUUUAAUUUUUAUAAUUGAUAAAAAUAUAUCAAUGUUCAUUUUUAAAUGAUGGGUUUUGUUCAUUUUAGUUUGUUAUAUUAAUUUUUUGUAGGUAAAAGAAUAUAUUUGAAUGAAUUGAAGGAAAAUUGUGAAAUUGAGAAGAGAAAGAGAAGAAAAAGUUAAUUAAAUAAUUUUUUCAAAAAUUAUUUAAAUAAUAAAAUUCUUAAUUAAAAACAAAGAUGGAGAGAGAAAUUUAGUGGGUUCAAAAUACUUAUUUUAAAUCCAAAAAAGAACCAAUAAAAGAAAUCAAAAGAUGAUUCUUUUCUUUCUGACAUAUUUCUCUGUACUUUUCUCUCUCUACUGAUUCACAAUUUUUCAUACUUCUAACUAUCAUUUUAUUCAAGUAUUUUGUAUUUUUAAUGACAAUUAUUUAAUUUUUAGUUAGUUUUGAUAUUGAUUAGAGAUUUAAAGUGUAUUUUAGAAGACUUCCGGUCUCUUGAAAAAAGGAAAAAUGGAGAAGAAGAAGUGUUCUUGAUUUUUUGUAGGCGUUAAAGUUAAAUGGUUUGAAAUGAUAUUCUUUUUUAAUUUCACUCAUUAAUCUCAUUCAAGAUAAAAUUAUAAAUGCAAAUAAAUGGGGUUUCAUAAGUAUUUUUAAUAGUGUUAAAAGGUCUACUCACUAAAUAAACAUGUUUAACCCAAACCAAUGCGAUUAGUAAGUUAUUGGGUUGGGUUAAUCAGGUUAAAAAUCAAAAUUAAAAAUUAAAUAAAUAAAAAAGGUAUAAAAACUAUCUGUUACUUGAAAAUAAAAAGAAUUUCUAAUUGUUAGUUCUAAUGUCCCAUAUCCAAAACAUGCAUAUUAAAUAAAUAUUAUAAGUUAGAAAUACAAUAUCCAAGAAAGAAUGAAUGAAAUACCAUAUUUUUGUUGAGAAUUAAGAGUGUGAUUUUAAUUUUGAUAUUGGAGUCUAAAGUGCCACGUUUAAAUAUUCUCUUUUAUAAAAUAAUAAAAAGAGGUUAAAAAUUAGGUUAGCAAUUUAGCCAUUUAGGGUUUAGCAAUUAAGGAUGAACAUAUUAUUGUUGUUGUUGUUAUUAUUAUUAUUAUUUAUAUGUUUACUAAUCCAAUCCAAUCCAAUUAUUAACGAAUUUGAAAAAAUUGAUUCAAUCAAGCCAUAAUAAUUCAUUCAACUCGUCUAAAUUGGAUUAGGUUGAAUUUGGUUUGCCACCCUUGUUUUGAGCAACAAACCUCAAUGUGAUUCCAUGAGCUCUUUGAUUGUUUAUAAAAUUGUUUAUGAAAGUGCAAAAUAAAUUAUUGUAUACAUUAAAAUGUGCAAAACAAUGAAUUAUAUGUACGAACGAGUGCAAACACAUUUUUCAAUAAGAAGUUAAAAGAUAUUUAUGCAUGAAAAAGCCUACGUUUGUAGUUAUUCUAAAUUUUAAAAACAAAAUUUACAUUUAGAUCCCUAAAAUUUACGUAUAAGUACAAAAGUUUCAAAUAUUGUCUAUUAUUUUUUUAACAUGCCUAUUCCUUGUGGAUAAUUCUAUCUCAUCACUAAUGUUGUUUCUUGCUUACAAUUUGUAUAGUGUCUCAAAAUAGACAAUAGGGGGAUUUUGAAUUUUUUAAGUCUCAAUAUAGUCUCUAAUCUUGUGAGAAAGAUUUUCUUUCAAUAAUUUGGAGGUAAACAUAACAUAACUUUUUGGACUAAAGCCUAACUCUGCUGGUUAUGGUGGUAUCCUUUUCAAGACCUGCGUCUUUAGAUUCGAGUUUUAUAGUGUGCAUGCGUAUUUAAUUAAUAAUUUUUUAAAACAAUACAUCAAAUAUUAAUAUCCAUGACAUAAUUUAGUUCUUAAUUUUUUUUUUAAAUACAUCAAAAACAUAAUUUUUUUAACAACUUAUAGGCAUGACAAAUUUCAAGAUAUAAAUAUCAGUCAAAAUAAGUGAAAGAAAUAAUGGUGCCAAUUCUAAUUUCUUAACUAAAUUAAUUAGUGCAUGAGCCCCGAAUACGACACGAGAGUUUGAUGGGCUAACAUGGCACAAGAACCUGAAUAAAUAAUUGAUUUAAGAAAUAAUUCAAUGAAAAAUAUAAUUGAUAAGAAUUCAGUAUUGAAAUGAGUUUUUUAUGAAACACUGAAUUAAUGAUUAUUAAGCAAGAACAAUAAAAAAUAAAUAUUAAUCAUUGAUAAGUUUCAACAAAAGCUUAACACAAUCCUCAAUCCUAAUUCAAAUUAUAAAUGUCAUUCAUAUAUUCAUUAUAAUCAACAACAAAGGUUAUAAAUGUUUAGAAAUUCUAGAGGGAAGGAAGCUAUCGCUGGGCAAUCAACAACUAAAUUUGAUGUAAUUGUGGCACGAGAUGGAAUAUGGAAACUACACCAUAAUUUCAAAUGCCGCCAUAGACAUUGACUUAUCUACAAUAACAAUGAUCUAAUUAAAAUAAAAAUAGAGUUUAUGGGCAUUUAUUAAAAUAAAAAUAGGAGUGAAGUAAAAACAUUUAGAUUUUAAUGUAUGUACGGAAAAAUUUAUCUUUAAAAAUACUUUCUUAAUGUGUGUGUGCAUAUUGAAAUACUCAAACCAAUUUUGGUUAUAUAUAAUUCAACAAAAUUUAAAAUAUGAAAAAUAUAAUGUAGUUAUAGUGGAUAAGCAAUAAGUGAGCACAAUAUAAUUAAUCAAAUACUAUGCUAUCAAAAGUUAAUUUUAGAAAUUCCAAAUCCAAUAGCUAACACAAUUCUUUAAAGAAAUAACAAGGGGCAUUGGGCAAGAGUAAUGAAUGCUUAGUGGGUGCAUUUGAUUGAUAGAUAUAUAAAGGGCCGAAACUUGAUAUUAUAUUACUUUUACAAAAUUUAAUCCAAUCACAUAUUUAAUGAAAACAAAAUGAGUUAGGAUUGUUUAUUUAGAACCCACAUUUUAAUAAGGCUUCAUUUGAUGUAGUUUUUCAAACAUUGAUUAUUUGAGUAAUUACAAAGUACAAUACGUACCAAGUUUGGUAACUUAAUUGACAUCUUCUCAUAUAACCUUCGAUCAAGUCGAUUCUGACCUGACGACUAAUUGGUACAUCACCGUUGUUCUCUAUACUCGCAUGCAUCCGAUCACAAAUCUCACUCCAAUUGUCGUCUUUCUUCGGCGUUUUAGCGCAUCCUUCUUGAAUUUCCCGCAUUUCGUUCCCUCCUGUUACAAGUCUCCGGUCAGGUCAGUUCACUUGACGAUUAAUUCGGCAAAUCUCGAAUCUCUUCUCUAUCCCUCUCGUUUUCUCGUGUCUCCUUUCAGUUUAAGUGAUUGAAUCAAUUUUAUCGCAGUCUUAAGAGAAAUUAAGUAAUGCUCUUGGAUUUAAAAUUUUUUUGCUUUCGACUUUAGAUCUCGAAAGUCAAACUCUGCUACGAAUCCAUAGAUUCUCAAUGUUUAUAAUCUUAUUUGUGUUUGACCAGGUAACUGGAUCGUGAAAUUCGUCGUUUUGUAUCAAUUCAAGCUUUCGCGAGCUCAUGGAAUCCCCUGGUGAGUUGUGGUGAAACGUUAUCGUUUCAAUUUUCGCUUAAUUCUUUAUUGCAUAUUUUUUUCUCUCUAAUAUUUCAGUUUAAUUUAGAAAAGAAAGAGGACCCAAAAAGAGAGAGAGAGAGAGAGAGACUCUACCAUACUCAAUUCCUUGCUCAUUCUGAUUUGGCCUGAAUGUUGGCAUUGACUAUUAUUUGUUUUCAUUUCGAUUUAAUUCUCAUUUAGACAGUCUUUUUUAACUAGCAAUAAUCUUUUUAAGGAAAAUGAUAAUAGGGAUUCUGCAAUAAUCUUUUUAAGGAAAAUGAUAAUAGGGAUUCUGCAAUAAUCUUUCUGCAUUGUUCAAGUUAGUAGACAAUGAAUAGGGUGUUUAUGUUUACCUCAUUUUGAACCCUGAGGGCUUCGUUGAGUAGUUGAUCCAACAUAUCCAGCACCGGUUGAUGUGAGAACAGGAUGCCAUUUAGAUAGGCUUAAACUGAUUUUGGAGGUUUGUAUUCAUUCUAUUGUAUGUCUUGCUUACAAAUUUUUUAUUUUUUAUUUUUAAUUUUGUAUAAUAUGCUCUUUGUUGGUAAAUCUCAUUUGACUUAGAAGAGAUAGUUUUAUCCCAACAGUGGGAUAAAUCAUUGAGAUGCAUGGCAGUGUGAAUAUAGUAGACAAAAUCAUUGAGACAGAUGGUGGUGUGAACAUAGUAAACUUUGUCAAACACAGCUAAGAUAAACAAAUUGUUUCAUUAGCCUUUAUCUUAUCUGCUGUGAUGAUUCAAAUUAAUGCUGUUUGGUAGGUUGCAAAAAACGAAAUGAGCUGACUGUUCAUAUUAUUUAGUCAGAUCUAUUGCAAUAAGUUGAAGUUCACUGUCACAUGGGUUGGGAGUAGCGUGGGCUGUGAGUAGUAGAAUGGAUUUAUGGAGUUGAUACAAGUGCCCAUAAUCUAUCAUGUCAUUCUAGGAUUAAAUGGAUUGCACAUUACUGUAAAGAUGGAGGUUAAAUUUAUAUAAUUCGGAUUGAUUGUAAAAUGGGAGGCAGAGAUGAGUUAGAAAAAAAAUGACCUGUGUCCUUUUUGAGCUGUUUCUAAAUCUCCCUGGUGUGCUUCAUGCUUAACACGUGUCUGUCCAAAUAAUUUUGCUUAACCUGUGCUUGUCUACUUCUUGUGCUAUUCUGUGCCUGGUCCUGAGCUGUGUUGGUAGAUUGACAUAAUUUUGCUCUGCUAAAUGUAUAACUUAUUAAUCAGAGUCCUGUUAUUAUGGUUUGACACUACUGACAUGUUGUGUUGGUAUUUAUUUGUACUUCCCUUGGUUGAAUUAUUUGCUGUCUCCAUGCCAUUCGAUAUGGUGCUACUUGGUUUUUGAUCAUCCAUGACGCUAUAUAUAUGUAAAGGAUGAAUUGAUUGUUUUGGCUUGUAUUCUCACAUUUUAUGAUUGAUCGAUGGAAAGGUCUUCAUGUAUUAAAUUCAACCUCACAAGCGUAAGAUUGACAGAUUGUGGGAAAAUUUUCAGGAAAAGAAACUAGACUUCAUGGAAGCAAUGAAGCUUGAAAUUGAACGUCUGCAGCUGCAUCUUUCUGCAGCUGAAAGGGAUAGAGCUUUAUUGUCAAUUGAAACUGAUCCUGCCUCUAUAAAUCCAAAUGUAUUGCUUGAUGAAUCUUACAUGGGAAGACUGUCGAGUAGCAACCACUCUUGCAUUACUUGGCCAAACUUCCCUAGAAGACAAAAUUGUUGGUGCAAUUGGCCUUGAGAAUAGUGAUGAUAGUGUUUUAGACUUCUGGAAUAUUACUAGAAUCGGAGAGAGUUGUUCUGGUGGCGGGUGCAAGGUUUGUGCAGAAACUAAGGUGCCUGCUCUUGCUUCCUCAACUGCAACAUCUGUUGGAGCUUCACAAUCCCCUUUGUUGUGUUCUCAAUGUGAAAGAAAAGUUUGCAAAGUUUGUUGUGCAGGAAGAGGAGCUCUACUGUUUUCAAAUUAUAAAUCAAGGGAUGUGACCAACUACAAUGGCUUCUCAAGUCAGAGUGGAUGAAGCCAUGGAAGCCAAGUUGAUGUAUCUACCAGUCGUUCACUAACACUGGAUGGCGUUAUCUGUAAACACUGCUGCCAUGAGAUUGUGCCUGAUGCAUUGAUGUUGGACCAUGUUAGGGUCUUGAUUAGCUUGCGAAGAAGUUCCUGUGCAGACAACGCAGUCAUACAAUGCUUUGAAUGAGGUUGUUGGAUCCUGCUUAAAGGAUAGUGUUUCUGAAAGGAUUCAGUCUUCCGAUAACGUGCAAGCUGCUGAAGUCCUUCACCAAUUAUGUGGUGGACAGGAAUCACUUGCUGAAUUUCCAUUUGCUAGCUGUUUGCACUAGGUAUGUUCUUGGUUUGUAUUCAGUUCUCAUCAUGUUAUGUUUUCCUUUUAAAUUUCUUUUCUUGAUUAAAAUUUUUAGAAAUAUGUUUUAGUAUUUGUUCUUAUGAUAUAUGCCCAGAACAUUCAUCCCACUUAUCCAUGAGAAUCCUUGUCUGGUUUGAUUUUCAAUUGAGACAUUUUUGGGAACCCUGAGCAGGUUCCAUAUGCUAAUAAUCUUUGAGGUAAGGUGUUGUAGGAUGCCUUGAGAAGCUAAAAACCUAUUACAAGGAAAAGCUCUUGCAUUGUUUUGUGGAAUCUGUGUUGUGAAAAUAGGUAGAGAAAAAGUUUAUGGAAUAAUUCUCUUAUUUCAUAUGUUCAUGAGACUGUACACAGUCUUUAUAUAGGGAUACAAGAGACUAAGAAAGGAAAGAAAAAAUUAAAGCAGAAUAUUACACACUGAUUUCUAGGAAGCAAUAACUCUAUAUUUACACCAAAUAUACACCUAAAUAUAUAAGGAAAACCAAAUCAAUUUGAUUUGGUCAACCUUUCAACACUCCCCCUCAAGCUGGUCUAAAAAUGUCUUUCAUGGCCAGCUUGCAAACCAAUUUCUCAAAAUGUUUCUUAGGUAGUCCCUUGGUGAGUAUAUCAGCAAUCUGCUCAUUUGUAGGAAUGUAGGGCAUGCAGACCAAACCACUGUCCAGUUUUUCUUUUAUGAAAUGUUUGUCCACUUCAACAUGUUUAGUUCGGUUGUGGAGUACUGGAUUAUGUGCUAUUGCAAUGGCAGAUUUGUUGUCACAAUAUACUUUCAUAGGUAGAGAAUUAUUUGCCUUAAGUUCUUCAAGAACUUUUUUGAUCCAAAAAACCUCACAAAUUCCUAGAGCUACUGCUCUAUAUUCUGCCUCUGCACUACUUCUUGCUACCACAGUUUGUUUCUUGCUGCGCUAAGUGACCAAAUUUCCUCCGACAAAGGUGCAGUAACCCGAAGUGGAUCUUCUAUCGGUUACACUACCAGCCCAGUCAGCAUCAGUGUAGACUUCUACUUGUAGGUGCCCGUUUUUUCUAAACAAAAGACCUUUACCCGGAGAUCCUUUUAAGUAUCUAAGGAUUCUAUAUACAGUUUCAAAGUGUUCUGGUCCUGGAGCAUGCAUAAACUGGCUGACUAAGCUCACUGCAAAGGCUAUGUCCGGGCGUGUAUGUGAAAGGUAGAUUAAUCUACCUACAAGGCGUUGGUACCGAUCUAUGUUGGUCACAUCUUCAAUAUUAGCUGGCUGUAAUUUCAUAUUAGGAUCUAUGGGUGUCUCGGCUGCUUUACAUCCGAGUAAACCUGUCUCUUCAAGCAAAUCAAGAACAUACUUGCGUUGAGACACAACAAUCCCAUCUUUUGAUCUAGCAAACUCCAUGCCCAAAAAAUACUUCAGGUUGCCUAAGUCUUUGAUUUCAAAGUCACGUGCAAGCACUUUCUUUAAUCUGCAAAUCUCAACUAAGUCAUCACCAGUCAAAAUUAUAUCAUCUACAUAUACAAUUAACACGACUAAUUUCCCUUCAAUAGAAUGUUUGUAAAACAUUGUAUGAUCUGCCUGACUUUGGGAGUAGCCGUGUCCCUUUAUAACAUUACCAAAGCGUUCAAACCAUGCUCUAGGAGACUGUUUGAGCCCAUACAAAGACUUAUGUAGUUUACACACUUUACUGUUGCCAUGAUUUCCCUCAAAACCUAGUGGUAAAUCCAUAAAGACUUCUUCUUCUAGCUCCCCAUUCAGAAAAGCAUUUUUAACAUCUAACUGGUAUAGAUUCCAAUCAGAAUGUACAGCCAAUGAGAUAAGGACCCGGAUGGAAUUUAUCUUUGCAACGGGGGCAAAAGUUUCUUGAUAAUCAAUUCCGUAGGUUUGAGUGAAUCCUUUUGCUACAAGCCUUGCCUUAUAUCUCUCAACACUCCCAUCAGCAUUACAUUUAAGUGUAAACACCCACUUUCAACCCACAGUUUUCUUUUCUUUUGGUAAAUCCACAAUCUCCCACGUACCAUUCUUCUUUAGAGCAUUCAUUUCCUCUAAAACUGCUAACUUCCAAUCUGGGUGGUCUAGGGCUUCUUUUAUGGUUUUAGGAAUUGGUAUUUGAGAGAUUUUUGUGGUAAAGGCUCUUUGUUUAUUGGACAACUUUUCAUAGGAAACAUAUCUAGCAAUGGGGUGCUUAGUACAGGUUCGGGUUCCUUUCCUAUGUGCUAUGGGUAAGUCAAGAUCAGGAAAAAAAGUGCUGAAAUGUUUAGGAGAAGAAAUGUUACCUGAAUUUUCUGAGGAAUCAGUGCUUGGAGGCAACGAUUGAGGCUGUAUCGAGUUUAUGAGAGGGUCUUUACUGUUGUGAUGAUACUUUCGAGUAUAAACACGCAGCUCUGGUGGUGGAAUUUUAUCUUGUAGUAUUUCUCCCCCUGUCUCUGGUACAUUAACACUUGGUUCCUGUAGUUCAAGGUUUCCUAGGUUUUCAUUAUUAGAAAUAUCAGUUUUUUGAGUUUGAGUUGGAGUGCCCAGAUCAGGUAAAAACUGAUUAGGCAUAGGUGUAGAAGUAUGCCAAAAAUGAUCUUCACUAUUUUCUUUCUCCCCCUGAAGAGAAUUUUGGCCAAAAAAAGGUUGAUUUUCGAGAAAUAUAACAUCCAUACUGACAUGGAAUUUCUUUGUUUGAGGAUUGAAACAUUUGUAACCUUUUUUAUUAGGUGCAUAGCCCAAGAAAACACAUUUUUCAGAUCUAGGAUCCAAUUUAGAUCUAAGAUGGUUAGGAACAUGAACAAAUACAGUGCACCCAAAGACUCUUAACUGAAUAUUGGAGGUAAUCCUACUAGAAGGAUAUAUAAGUGUGAAGUAUUCUAAAGGUGAUUGAUACUUUAAAACACGGGUAGGCAUCCUAUUAAUCAAAUAACAUGCUGUUAAAACAGCAUCACCCCACAAAUAUUUAGGAACAUGCAUAGAGAGCAUGAUAGCCGACUAACUUCAAGUAAAUGGCGGUUUUUUCGUUCCGCAAUUCCAUUUUGUUGUGGAGUAUCACGACAAGUGGAUGUGUGAAUUAUACCCUUUUCCUUACAAAACACCUCUAGAUAAUUAUUAAAAUAUUCAGUACCAUUAUCUGUAUGGAGUAGACUUAUUUUUGUUUGAAAUUGAUUUUCAACCAUGUUAUAAAAAUCUUUGAAUAACCCCUCAACUUCAGAUUUUUCUCUCAUUAAAUAAACCCAACAAAGCCGAGUAUGAUCAUCUAUGAAUGUUACAAACCAUUUUUUUCCAGUUAAAGUGUUGAUUUUUGAGGGUCCCCAAACAUCACUAUGAAUUAAAUAAAAAGGUUUUGAGGCACGAUAAAUAAGUGCUUUAUAUGAAACUCGAUGACUUUUAGAUAAAAAACAACUUUCACACUGAAAAGUAGUACAAUCAACAUUUUUAAAUAAAUUUGGAAACAAAUAUUUCAAAUAAGGAAAGCUAGGGUGUCCUAGUCUAAGGUGCCAAAGCAUUAUUUGAUCCCUAGCAGAGUUUGAACUAAUACUACUGCUCAAACCUUGAGUUUGUUUAUUCCUUGAUAAGUAGUCAUCAAAAUAGUAAAGACCUUCUCGCAAACUAGCACUGCCAAUCAUCGUCCCCAAGUCCCUGUCCUGAAAUUCACAAUGGGAGUCAAAAAAGACAGCACAACAAUUAGAAUCUUUGGUUAAUUUACUGACAGAUAACAGAUUGCAAGAAAGUUUAGGGACAUGUAGCACAUUUUUAAGCUCAAUGGUUCCAGAGAUUUUUAUUGAUCCUUUUCCAGCUAUGGAAGAUAAGCUUCCAUCAGCAACUCUUACCUUUUUGUUACCAGGGCAAGGAUAAUAGGAAUCAAAUAAACUAGAAAUGCUAGUCAUAUGAUCAGAAGCACCCGAAUCAAUAAUCCAUGGUGCAGUAGUUGAGUGGCUAAAUAGAGCAUUAAUAAUACUACCUGUUUGGGCUAGUGAACCACUAGGAGUACUAGGUGGAGGAUUAGAAGUCAGCAGCUUUAUGAGAUGGUCAAUUUGCUCCUUGCUGAGAUUUUUUUCUAGAUUCUCCACUUCAUUGGCAGACGCACGGCUAUGCUUGCUGUUUUUCCAAUCUGCAGGCUUUCCGUGGAGUUUCCAGCAAGCCUCCCGAGUAUGGCGUGGUUUAUUACAGUAAUCACACCAUACUCGAGGUUUUUGUUGCUGUUGAGUGAUGGAGCGGGUAGCAUUAUCUGCUGUAACAAGGGCAGAUUUUUCCACAGAGACAACGGAGUUCUUUUUUCCCAACAUAACACCUCGACGACUUUCUUCUCUCCUUACUUAAGAGAAAACAUCCUCAAGAGUAGGAAGUGGCUUUCUCCCAAUAAUUCUUCCUCUUACCUCAUCAAAUUCAACAUUGAGCCCAGCCAGGAACUUGAAGAUUCGCUCAUUAUUGACAGUUUGUUUGUGGUGUUUAAAAUCUUCCAUGCUCUCCCACUCGUAGUCGUUGAAUAAGUCCAGAUCUUGCCACAAUCUCUUUAGAGUAUUGAAGUAUUUUGUUAUACUAUAAUCUCCUUGACGGAUAUCUCCAAGAGCAAGCUGCAACUCAUAGAUCUGGGACUGAUUUCCAUAGUCAGAGUACAUCUGACUCACAUUAUCCCAGAGUUCUUUUGCAGUAGAGUAGCACAUAUAAUUUGCACCAAUGUCUUCAUCCAUGGAGUUGACUAACCAUGCCAUAAUCAUGGAGUUUUCGGCAUCCCAAACACCAUAAGAGGGAUCAGAUAUUUCAGGAGCCUUAACAUCUCCGGUAAGAUAACCAAUCUUCCCUCUUCCCCUAAUAUACAUUCUAACCGACUGAGACCAUCUUUGAAAAUUUCCUUCAUUCAGCCGGAUAGUUGUAAUCUGGACAGAAUGAGAUUCAGAAUGGGAAAUUUUUGGUUCUAGUCUUUUUGAGGUGACUGUGGUUUCAGAAGAUUGGUCAGACAUGGUAGGGAAGAGAUCAGAAAGAAAGGGAGCCUAGCUCUGAUACCAUGUGAAAAUAGGUAGAGAAAAAGUUUAUGGAAUAAUUCUCUUAUUUCAUAUGUUCAUGAGACUGUACACAGUCUUUAUAUAGGGAUACAAGAGACUAAGAAAGGAAAGAAAAAAUUAAAGCAGAAUAUUACACAUUGAUUUUUAGGAAGCAAUAACUCUAUAUUUACACCAAAUAUACACCUAAAUAUAUAAGGAAAACCAAAUCAAUUUGAUUUGGUCAACCUUUCAACAUGUGUGCUAGCAAGUCAUGUCUCUAAUAAUUUCAUAGUUUGCUUGAUUGGAAUUUUUUAUCUUGAUAUGGAUUGUUUAUUCUAGAUUCCUUGGUGCUGUAGGUUGAAACAGCAAAAGAUUCAGCACCGAUUUUGUCACUGCUUGCUCCAUUAAAUUCUGGAUCAAGGCACUCAUAUUGGAGAGCUCCACCUUGUACUACUUCUGUUGAAUUUGUUAUUGUUCUCUGUUCUGUUUCUGAUGUCAGUGGGGUUAUCUUGCUUGUUAGUCCUUGCGGCUAUUCUGUGGGUGACACUCCGAUGGUAAGUGCCAUAUUUAUUCCCUUAUUUCCUUGUUGUUCAAUAAAUUUGGUGAUAAGCCAAGUGGCCUUAAUAAUGAAGCCCAGUACCAGGGGUGGUGGGUAAUCGAUAUUCAACUUGUGAAUAUUCCUAAGCAAGCACUGAAUCAACAUAGACCUCGGCAAAAGUUCUCCAUGCUAUUAUAACGAAAGUCAUAUUUUGAAAUGAUUAAAAGAGUCCCUGUGUAGUGCUAUUUCCAAAGAAAUUGCAGCUGGAGGUUUAGUUUCAUGUAGGUUAGUUUCCGAUAAUAAACUUUCCAUUUCAUUAAUUGCUGAUGAAAAAACCAAGUAAGAACAGUUUUGUUGCUCGUCAUUUAUGUAUAUUUUGGUAAACUGUAAUUUUAAAUUCUCAACGAUCUUCCCUUUGUAGGUAAGAAGAUGGUCCACUCACUUGAUAUUUAUGAUUGUAGAUCAGGUUUCUAUUGGUUUGCCUUUAUCAUUCGGAACCCAAGUUUGAUAUUAACAGAGAUCACGUCAAUAAUAUCCUAUUUGGGUAGAUGUGGGUGAGGAUUUAAAAUCAAAUUUGAAAUUGAGGGCAAAGAAGAGAAAAGAAACCGCAAUAAUUAAACAAAAUAUUAGGAACUAUUCUGAUGAGUUUUAAUCUCGAGAGGAACAAUUUUCAAAUGCAAAAUUUAACUGCUAGAGAAAUUGUAGCUUUUUGUCAUUAGUUAAGAGGAAAGAGAAUAAGAACUAUCUGGCCCUUUCCUUCAUGAAUGUGUGUUGAGGUUGCUGUAUUAUUUAGUCAGUAUUUGUAAUUUUCUUCCCUGCAGUGCUCUCUGCCUCCUGAAUUUGCUACUGAGUCCAUAUUUUUCUUUGAGCUGUUGCUUCCUAUUGCUGUUACAGGUACAAAUCUGGGCAAGCAAUAAGAUACACCGGGAGGACAGGUCAUCAAUGGGAAAAUGGGAUGUCCAAUCCCUCAUCACAUCUUCUUCAGAUUUGUAUGGUCCAGAAAAGUCUGCUAGUGUUGAAAAAUUACCUAGGCAUGUAAAAUUUACUUUUAAGAAUCCUGUUAGGUGCCGCAUUGUUUGGAUCACAUUACGUCUUCAGAGACCUGGUUCGGCUUCAGUUAAUUUCGGGAAUGACUUCAGUCUUUUGUCUCUUGAUGAAGAUGAAAACCCCUUUGCACAAGUAGACAGACGUGCUUCAUUUGGAGGAGCAGUUGAAAAUGAACCAUGUAUUCAUGCCAAAAGAAUUCUUGUAGUCGGAAGCCCAGUAAAAAGGGAGGGGCUUACCACAUCACAGAGCUCUGAGCAGCUAAGUAUUAGAAACUGGUUGGAUAGAGCUCCACAAAUGAGUAGAUUCAAGGUAUUAGUUGCUUUCACUCUUUGUUCAUUCAUAAUUCCAGCUUUCUGCUUGAUGCCUUGCCUCUGAUAAACCUCUUUUUUCUCUUCAGGUCCCAAUUGAGGCCGAGAGAUUGAUGGACUACGAUCUCGUCUUGGAACAGUAUCUACCUCCAGCGUCACCUUCGCUUGCCGGAUUCCGUCUAGAUGCUUUCAGUGCAAUAAAACCUAGGGUUACCCAUUCACCUUCCUCAGAUUCAGAUAUCUGGGACAAAUCAGUAACAUUUUUAGAAGACAGGUACAUCUCUCAAGCUGUGUUGUAUUUACAAGUAUCCGCACUCCAGGAACCACAUAACAUGGUAACUAUUGCGGAAUAUCGACUGCCGGAGGCUAGAGCCGGAACGCCAAUGUACUUUGAUUUCCCACGACCGAUACAGUCCCGACGAGUUUCAUUCAAGCUUCUUGGAGAUGUUACAGCAUUUGCAGAUGAACCUUCAGAACAAGAUGAUUCAGGAUUGAGAGCUCCACUUGUGGCCACAGGUUUGUCUUUGUCAAACAGAAUCAAGUUAUAUUAUUAUUGUGAUCCUUAUGAGCUCGGAAAAUGGGCAAGCCUUUCUGGAGUUUGAUCGUUAUUUAUAUGUCAGAGAAAGGGUUUUGGGUUUGAUUUUGAUUUUGAUUUGUAAUUUUUGUCAGUUUAUUGAAAUUUUUUGUUGUAUAAAAGCAGAAUGUAAAGGUAUAAAAAUUCAUUGAUGCUGCAAUGUCUGUGCUUUUGAGAAAGAAAGAAUUCUAUGGCUUUUCUAUGCCAUUGGAUUUUCCACUGCCUGUAAACUUGGGCUGUCGAAUGCUCUGUGAACCUUAAGGGCUAUAAAGUAAUUUUCAAGACUGAAGGAUUUAUUAAUCGAGUUCAAAAGAUUGCAAGUUGGUGAGCGUUGGCAUUUAAAAAAUCAAUUGUUAUUCUCUCAAUAAUCUCUGUCUUCUGCCGACACCCCAUGCUCAGAAACCCAUUGUUCCGACGGACGUGUAACACUUCUAGAAAUUGUUUUGAUCUCUCCUCGUGAAGUGUUUUCUUUUUCGAGUGAAGGUGGUUUUCUACUUGCAUACGUCGGGGGUCUUAUGAUAUGUAAUGUGUGAAAUUUCUUUCUCAUUUUACCAUAAAGAAAAAUGUUGUAAUAAUCUAAAGCUCGAGUCUUAAAUUAUCUUAAAUUUAUAUUUAGAGUGGAGCUAUUCGCAAUCCUACAUUAAAAUUACAAAUAAAAAUAAUUGAAAAUUAAACACUUAUAGAUUUUUUUUACAACAAAUUAUUUAAUUCAUAAUCAAUCCUUUAAAAAAAAAAAUCCAUAUGUUACUUGCUAUCUAACUAAAAUAAAUUUUACAAAUUUAGAAUAAUCUAUUGAUUUCUUUUGAUUUCUUAUUAAUUAAAUAUUUUUAUACAUAAAAUUGCUUUGAAAUUAUAAUUUGAAAUAUGUGUUAUUUCAGCCAAUGAUUAACACUAAAAAACUUAUCACCCAUAUAACUUUUUAAUUUGUGUGUAGGGUAAUAAUAAAAUCAAAAAUAAUUAAAAAAAUAGUACAAUAAUGAGUUUUAACAAUAAAACAAAUCAAAUGAAAAUUGAAAAUUUAGAAAAAAUGUAUCUAAAAAAGGGAACGUUUUUUAAAAUAAAAUGAAUAUAACUAAAAAGGGGUUUUAUGAGAAGAGCAGAGGGGUGCCAAUAGUCCAACUUGUAAUUAAGAAUCUCCCAUUAUAUUGUCAACCAAAAAGACACUUGAAUAAGAAGAAGAAUUUAUCAGUUUGAUUUUAUUUAUAGAUCCAACAUUUCUCAUAUCCUAAACGCCUUUCCGUAUCAAAUUAAAACAGUAGUCGCAAAAUCGUAGUAUUAAAAUCGUAGUGCACAUUCAAUUAACCAACUAAUAGUCUUUGGUAUAAGAUUUUAUAUUAGCUAGCCAAGUAGGUUGUCCAUCCCACUCAGACAUGAACGAAAGCUAAAUUCAUCAAAUGGUGUUAUACUAUUAAAUAUUUUUAUAUUUAAAAUUACUUUGAAAUUAUAAUUUCAAAUUAAAAUAGUAGUAGCAAAAUCGUAGUGCACAUUCAAUUAACCAACUAAUAGUCUAAGAAGCAAAGAGAGGAUUACAAGUUCACAACACCAUUACAAAGGAUUCAAAAUUCCCACACGAAAACAUCAAUGUACAGAUUAUAAACAAUCCGAAUUGGACACAAGAAAAAGCCCUUCAAUGGAUUGCUUUCCUUCCCAAUGCUAUAUACUGUGCAAACUCCGCACUGGCCAAGAAAAUGUUUUCAAUUUAGUGUAUUUUCAAAUUGCUUAUUUUCUCAUAAUAUAAAAAAUAAAAAAGAAUCCUUACAUGUUUCAUCAGCAUGAUUAAAAUCAAAGAAGAAAGCGAAGACGUAAUGUCUCUGACAUAAUAAAAUUACAAAAAUUUCAAGGAAAAAAAAAAGGUUAAAACAUGUAAUCUUCAGAAGCAUAUAAUAAAAGAACACUUCCACAAAUUACUACAAUUUCAUGCAGUAGAGAUUGAAGAGUUGAAUUCCACUAAUUUUAAUAAUGAAAACAACAACAGAGGAUUAACUGAUGCUUUGACUUAUUAGCAGGUUGCUUUGACUUAUUAGUUCUGCAGCUAAGUUAAAUAAAAUAAGCUAUUUUCAAAAGCAAAAUGGAAUACAUAGAUAAAAACAUCAUCUUAAACAAAUCACAAUCUAGAAUUAGAGCAUUUUCGACAUACCUAAGGAACACGAAUACGUGAAAACGGGUGAUUUAUUUGUUAAGGAGUGUUGAUUUGGUCGUCUCUGCAAAUUCUUUAGGGACUCGGUUCCAAUUCCUCUUCAUCAAAACUGUAAUAUAAUUCCCCUUCAUCAGAACUCGAAUCGAUGCAAUAUAAUUCCCCUUCAUCAGAACUCGAAUCAAAUUCACUUGCAGCAGUUCCACUCGCGCUUGGCAAAUCAUCCAAUUUCCAAACUUCGGUAACAAAAUUGAGAGUAAAAGUGUUGGCUUUGAUCUCGCUGGGAUUUGCAUAUACUGGACAUACUCCGCAACGUUUUAUCUUCUGACCCUUUUGGACCUUUAUUAUGUUUCGGUGACACUCAUUGAAGAACUUAAAUGUGGCAGUUGAAUGAUGGUCACCAUCAGGAAAGCCAACAUUCAAGCAAGGUUUAAAACCAAGUAUGACAUGAUCUGAAUCAUGGGGGUCUUGAAUUGAGUGCAAAUUGUAACCCAGAUGAACAUGUUUGGUUUCAGAGAGAGUCUUUAUUUCUAAGUCGGAUCGACAGUAAACGUAAAAAUAACGAAAACGAUCAGAAUAAAGUUGCUUAAAAUCAAGAACAGCACAAAAAGCAAACCCGAUUAAGUUUCUGCAAAAAGAGUGCGGUGGCAGUUGAAUACGUAUCGAAGAUCCUGAACUUUGAUUGCUGAACCAGUCAGGAAUUUCGCUCCCAGGUAAAACAAUUUGGGAUCCCCUGAGUUCAGAAAGUUUCUGCGAAACGACAUUUAAAAAAAGAAAAUUGUAAAAUGAAAACCAUGAUUUCAGAUAUAACAAAGAGGGACAGAGUAAACAAGAGAGGGAAUUUGAUACCUCGUUGUAUGCAUUUUCAUAGCCCAGUCUCAGUGAUGCUGCAAUUGCCAUACGUAGUGAAUCUGCCAAAAUCUUGUUGUUUGCUUUUCCAUCAAGUUUCAAGCAGUUAGUAAACUCAAAACAAAUUGGUUGUGGCGUCACAUAUUCCGGAUGCCAUUCACGAAGGUCAGGAGAGGGUUUGGAUAGCUUUUCGAGUACGGAUGCAUCUAGUUCUUGUACACAUGACGGAAUCUCUGGCAAAGAUUGAAGCCGGUUGCAGUUCAUUGCUUUUAGUGACUGUAGACACAAUGGAAGUUCUGGUAAUGACCGAAGCAUGUUACAAUCCUCCAAGUGAAGAGUUUCUAGACCCAAUGGAAGUGCUGGUAAUGACUGAAGCAUGUUACAACGCCUCAAGUAAAGAGAUUUUAGACACAAUGGAAGUUCUGGUAAUGACUGAAGUAUCUUACAAUCCCUCAAUUCAAGAUAUUUUAGACACAAUGGAAGUUCUGGUAAUGACUGAAGCAUAUUACAAUCCUCCAAGUUAAGAUAACUUAGCCACGACAGUUGCUUGAUACUUGCAGGUAAACUCUCAAAGUUAUUUCCACUUAAAUUGCCAAUGUUAUCCGGCAACUUGUCAAGUAUAGAGCAACCACUUACGGACAAAAAUGAAAGCCCCGGUAGAUUUUCAAAUGGCGAUGGCAGCUCUGUAAUUGCCGUCCAGACUAAAUAGAUGCAAUUUAAAUGUUCCAUUUUCUCCAAGAUUUCUGGGAAACGCUCAAGGUUCAAGCAGCCAAAAAGAAAAAGAUCAACCAAAGAUCUCAAUUUACAGAACCUAGUUGAAAUCCUCUUCAGCCGUUUGCAAUGCCCCAAAUCCAACACUUCAAGAUCAGUUAGGCACUCUAUUGAUGAUGGAACUUCUUCUAUUGCAGACUGGCCUAAGGAUAGCUCUGUGAUUUUCCCAGAAAUCCGUGGAAACUCUUUGAGAUUAACACAAUAGGAGAAAUUAAUAGUUACUGGACAAACAAAAUGAAGAUUGCUUGGAAAAGACCUAAGACUUUUGCAGCCCUCAAAAGACAACGCACUGAGAUACUUGAAAUUCUGGAUAGAUGAGGGAACACAAGCCAAGUUUGUAUAAUCCAAAAGAUUUGUUUCAACAUUUGGGGUUUCUAAUGGGCCUGGCAUCUUAAUGAAAUGUCGAGAAUGAUUGAGGUUAAUAGAUUUUAACUUGAAAGCUUCCUGCAAUAACAGAUAUAUAAAGACUAUAUUAAUUAAAAAGCAACAUUGAAUUCAACAAUUAAUUGCACGUAUGUUUAAAGAAAGAAAAAAAUUAAUGUUUUAGUUUUAGUACAAAACUUACCUUUUCUCCUUCCCAAAGUUGCUCAACUUUACUAAAACGCAAAUUCAGUUCAACAAGGUUCAUUGGCUUGAAAUUUGAUGGCAGUGUCCUUAAUGGAUAUGUGUCCCAAUGAAGAUAUCUCAAUUUUUUAGGAAGAUAAUCUAGGCCAUUUGGAAGCUGCACUUUAGAGUAUGAAAGUUGCUCUUCAAUGCUCAUACUUAGAAACCUUUCAAUCUCAGGUACAUAAAAUUUGAGCAAUCUUAGAUUAGACAUUUUUGUGAAGGCUCCUGGGUCUAAAUUGAUGCCUUUUAUUUUGGACAAAUCCAGAAAUAUGCCUUCAAUUGCAUCGGUCCCCUUAUUAAAAAAAAAAAAAACAAAGAAUGAGUAACCCUAAAACAGAAAAGAAACAUUCGUAAACUUUAUUAACUAAGAGCUUCUUAAACAAAAACAAAUUCUGCAAUCUUUGAUUUUAUUUUUUUAAUAUAUUAAAUAUCUAUAUACGAGAAAAGAAAAUUUUGGGGACCAUUGCAAAAUUAAACUAACCGAAAAAAAAUUCAAAAUUUCUCUAAUUUACAAACCUGUUAUCUUAAUAACUAGAAGUUGAGAAGACAAGGCCUAUUUGAUUGGUAUAAGAUUUCGAUUUGUUUUUUAGUCCAUAGAAUCCAAAAUGUUAGUUCAAAAUUAGGGAAAAAAAAUGAAAGUUAUUUUUUUUCCACUAGUUGUAAUUGUUUCCAAGUCAAAUUGAGAUACGACCCUUUUCGAAAGGAUUUAAUCAUCUUAUAGCCUCCUUAAGAUACAUUUAAGCUAAAAGGAGUGAUUGGAGGCAGAACUAGGUGGGCCAAUCAGUCCCUUUUAUUAGUGACUGUUGCUUAAAAAAAAUUAUACUCUAAAACACACUUACUUUUUUGAAAAAAAAUAUAAUUAUAUUGAAGUAGAACCAGGUGGGCCAAUCCUCAUGGCACUCACUUUGUUCUGACACUCUUCACUAAAUUUGAAGAAAAAUAAAAUUAUACUCUUCACACUCUUAUUCAACAUUCCAAAAUUGAUAAAAUCUAGAGUUUUCUUUAAAAAUUUAAAAUUUGAAGACUUGUUCUCUUGACAUCCUCAGUCAUUAAUUUCACCUAAUUAUGGUUUUUAUGAUUUUGGUUGUUUUGUUCAUAAAACAAUUUUACUAAAGGAUGUUCUCGUAAUAAUAAAAAUUAUAAAAAAAACAUGGGUGUGCUGGUAUGGUUGGGAAAAUACGAGUACAGAACUCCAAACAAAUAAAAGAUUUAUAUAAAAAAAAAUGGAGGAUUCUUACCAUAUUAUGCUUUAGUACGCGGCGGAUUUCCUUAGGAUCCCACAACCUACUACGUCUGCCUGGCACUUCCUCAGAUUCUUGGCGAACAGUCUCUUGGCCCAUUUCUUGCAAUAAAUCAUGCAUUUGCAAGCGGUUAUCUGACACAGUUAUGAGUGACUUGUCGACGAGGACAUCCAGUCUGUGAGACCCAGAAUCAUCAAGUAUCCUUAACACAAAAUCUUUAUCCUCUCCCUCAAGGAAACACGCAAUAUCUAGAAACAUACUCUUCACCCUGGGCGUUAAUUCUUUAAAACUAAUCUUUAAUGUAUCAUAAAUACCAUGAAUAUCAGAUUCACAAAUCCGAUUUAAGUCGUGCAAUACAUUUUCCCAAUGGCUUUUCCUCUUGAGAUACAGGGAGGAACCCAACACUUUAAGAACUAAUGGAUUGCCAUCAGCAUACUCUACAACUCUCCACGAGUCACGUUUGAAAUCUUCAGGACGAUGCUUUUCUUUAAAAGCGAAGUUACAAAAGUGCUCGAAAGCCUCAUCAAAUUUCAAUCCAUUGACCCUAUAUAUUUUCUCCACUCCAAAUUUUUCGAGGACUCGUUUAUCCCUGGUGGUUACAACAAUUCUACUUCCUGGACCAUAUUGAUCAAGCCCUCCAAUCAAACCCUCUAAUUGUUCAUCUUUAUUCACAUCAUCGAGUACAAUCAACACCUUCAUGCGUCGGACCCUCCCUUUAGUAAAUUGUGGAAUAUUGGGACCAGCUACUUCAAGUUUUUCACUUAAUAUUGUCGAAAGCAUUUCCUUUUGUAGGUCUUCUAGGCCACCCUCUGUUUCUGAUUUUCUCCUAACAUUUUUUGCAAAGUAUUUACCAUCAAACUCACCAGCGAAUUGAUCGAAAAUAGCUUCAGCAAGGGUAGUUUUGCCUAUACCGCCCAUACCCCAAAUUCCAACAAUUUGGACAGUAUCCGACAAAUCCAUACACAAAAAUGGUUUAAUCUGCUCAAUUCGUGAAUUUAAUCCAACUAGGCCGUUGGAUGAGUCCGUUGAGACUGUUAUUUUUUCCAACUUCUUCAAAACAUCUUCGACAAUUUUGUUUACAAGUUGCGCAUCAAGCCUAAUAUGAAGGUGCAAAGAUGCAAAAACAUUGAGUCAAAUCGGGCCAAGACAGAAACAGAGAAAAGAUGAAUUAGGAAAGAGAGUUACCUGAAUUUCGUGGAUUCAUGGCCGGCUAGAUGGGAUGUUUCUGUCAGUGCAUCCCUCCACUUCUGAACCAUUUCUUGUUUAUCUUUGAACUGUUUUUUGAGCUCAUCAAAACGGUCUCCAAAUGUUCCGUUUUGAUGCCGCACAUCAGAUGGACUUACUCCAUAGAAGAAUGGAAUAAUAAUUUGGCCGUUUGUGUUCUUGCAUUCAAGAAUCUUGACAAGUUCAUUCAGGCACCAUUUUGAAGAAGCGUAGUCCUUCGAGAAAAUGACCACCGAAAUUUUUGAACCUUGGAUUGCGUUCAAAAGGGCGGGUGAAAUCUCAUCUCCUCGCCUAAGCCCUUCAUCAUCAAUAAAUGUUUUGAUUUUCUUUCCUUCAUACAAUUUAUCAUAGAGAUAGCAAGUAAAGCUCUUACGAGUGUCCUCCCCUCUAAAGUUGAGGAAGACUUCAUAAUUGGCACAAGAAGAAGAGGAAGCCAUGAAGGAAAUUUUAGAAAAUUGGUGACAGAAACAGAGAAUUAAUCUUGAGAGUUGAGAGAGGAGAUGUAAGAAUGAACAUGUGCGAAGAUUCUUGCGAGUACAUAGUAAAUAAUUGAAUGGCUGGAGCUUUCUUAGUUUCCUGGAAAUUUCCUGGAGCUUUCGUAUACAUGAUUUGUCAAGUCAUGAAACAUAAUCAUGAUAAUGGGGCAGACCGAAAAGAAAAGCAACAAUUCAAAUAUUUGAUUCAACCAGUAUAAAAAGGAAGGAAAAGCAAAGAAAGGAAAUGUUGAAAGUAGAGUUAGGGAAUUAUAAAAAGCUGAAGGAAAUUGGAAUUUUGUACAAUUUCUCCAGCGAGGAACUUUCACAGUCGUUACCUCAUUGUUACAGUUUAGAUUAAGAUUUGAGGGUGCAAGCAUUUACCUAGAUUUUACCUCCGCACUAAAUUCUUAAGUUUGAAAAAUUAUGAGACCUUUAUAUUGGAAGAUAUUAUAAUCGAAUCAAAACUUAAAAUUUUAAUAUUGUUAAUCUUUAAUCUUUAAAAAAAAUUACCUUGCCGUUACAAUUUGGAUUAAGAUUUGAAUAAGCAUUUACCUAAAUUUUAUCUCCGCCUGUAAAUUCUUAUGUUUUAAAAAUUAUGAGACCUUUAUAUUGGGAGAUAUUAUAAUCGAAUCAAAAUUUUGAAUUUCAAUAUUAUUAUUCUUUUAAAAAAAAUUUGAGAUAACAGAGUGAUUGAUAAUAGAGAACUUGUCUAGGCAAACACAUGCAUACACAAAAAUGUGAUGGAUUCAAAAAGAAAUUAAAGUGAUAAUGUACGUGGAUCCUUAAAACAAAAAGCGAAAUCGCUUGGUGGCCCAGUAAAAUUAAGACUGAAUAUUUUUUACACGAGAAGUGUAGCUCAUAAAUGGCAAAAGCCAUUUCAUUUCACUUUUACGCGUCAUUGACUUUUGUAACAUGGUGCAUGCAUCGUCAAGUGAGGCAAAAGGGUUUCGAUUACAGUGGGAAAACAUGAACAAGAAUGCAUAAUGAAUAAUUCCUUUGAUAAAGCGAAAAUUAAACACAGAAUAAUCCUAAAAUUUAAACUCUAAUAUCUUAUAAUUUAAUGAUUAAAAAUAAUCCUAAGAGUUCCCAAUUGAAACUUUCAGAGAUAAUAGAAAAUAGCUAUGCUUUAAAAGGCCAAAGAUUAGAGAACAAAGAAGAAUUAGGUAUUGAUAUAAAAAUUAUUAAUUUUUUUGAUUUCAAGCAAAAAUAGUUUCAUAUACCAUUUCGAUUUUGGUAGGGGUGAGGUUUUGAACUUCAAUAGUUUCCUCUAAAAUCAAAAGGUAGUAAUUAAGUUAGAAAGAGCAAAGAAGACUUAUCGGUACCUUAUUGAAGGUAAACAUUAUGGAACUUUCAAUGUCAUUACCCCACUGUUUAAUUUUUAUUGAGAUUUGUGCAAGCAUUUACCUAAAUCUUACCUCUGCCUGUAAAUUCAUAAGUUUUGAAAAUUAUGAGACCUUAUAUCGGGAGAUAUUAUAAUCGAACUAAAACUUAAAAUUUCUUUUCUUUUUUUUUUUUUUUAUCAUAAAAGGGCUCUUAAGAGAGCUAAGGCAACACUAAAUGGGAGUGUGCAACCCCAUGAACAUCAUUAAUCAAUAUGUUUAGCGUAUUUGGAGGAAUAGAUUGAAAGCAAUGUAAACCCAAAGGAAAAGAAAAGCUGUACGAAGUAAGGAAAUCUGCUGCUACAUUGGUUUCUUGGUAGAUAUGAUCCACUUUGAUCAGCCAAUCACGCCGAAGGAGUUCUUCGAUGGCCUGAAUGAGAGUAAAAUGCUCAUUGACGGGAGGGUUUGAGUUAGAGAUUAACUUCAUAACACACAUGCUGUCCACUUCCACGUAAAACUUAAAAUUUCAAUAUUAUUAUUCUUUAAAAAAAAAUUGAGAUAUCAGAGUAAUAUCACAUAGAAAAACUUGCCCACGGACGGUAAGCCAAAAGUCUAGUCAACCACAUGCAUAAAGCUAAGUAGAACAAGAGAACAGAGAAACGCGUGGGUCCCUAAAGAAAAGGCAAGCACAUAAAUGAAAAAGCCAUUACAUAUCUAUUAACACGGUGUGGCAGCAUAUGCACAAUCAAGUGAGGCAAAAGGGAUUCGAUUAUCGUGGCAGAACAUGGACGAGGACGCGUGAUGAAUAAUUCCUUCGUUAAAACCAAAAACAAACGCAGAGAAAACAAUUUCUUAUAUGACAAGAAAUCAAAGUAAUGUGAAGGAACAUGAUGAAGAAAUUGCAGACUGAUCAAUUAUCCCCAUGGACUCCUAUAAAUUCAACCAAAAUAACAAUUCGAAUCUUACCAAAUUCUUGAGUUAAAUUUAUUCAAUGCUUUUAUUUUUUUAGAAAAUUUUUUUCCAAUGCUACUUUUCCUUUUUUGGGGAAAUUAGAACCGCGGCAUGUAUAGAAAACAUUGAGGUGUAAAGCAACAUUAAUUUCAUGGGAUAUGCGUUAUACGCAUAAUAUAUUUUCAGUCCAAAUUCAACUAUACAAAGAGGCUUGAGAACUUAAAAUUAAGCACAAACUAAACAGACGAAGUAAAUACAUGAUUAUGCAACAUAACAUUAAUUCUCUCAAUUGAUAACUGUUUUUGCUACAUGAAUCUUGCACAGUUAAUCCUAAUUGAAGACUAAAAAAGAGCAAUUGGAAGAAGGUUUUGGAAUAGAAUGGUAUACAAUCGAUAUGAUCCUUUUCCAGUAGUCAACGCUAAUUAACUGCAGUUUCUAGACUCCUAAUUAUACUAGCCAUAGCAAACUAUUUAGAAAACUGGUGAUCAAAUUAGAUUUUGAAAGGAAAUAAUGUUCAUUUUCCCUUCGCUGCCUUUUCUUUUCUUUUCUUUUUAUAGCAAAGAAUUAUAUCAUGAAAAGAAUCAAUUUAAUCACCUUUUCCAGCAGCCCAAUUUUUCUUUUAUAAAAUUUGACCACGGAGACAAAGAAGAAUUAUUCAUAACUUCAUCACUAAGGAAAUACUUUUCGGUAUGGCUAGGGUGAGAAAAUGCUUUCCACUAACACUUGUACUUUGUAUUCUUGUAAAUUUUCUUUAAAGUCAAUAAAAACCAUAAGUUCUUUGCAAUAACCAUCUCUUUGAUCAAAAAGUGCCGUAUUCCUUUAGAAUUUAAAACCGGCAAAACCGAAUCAGUGUCUUUGAAGAGACAUAAUGGUCGUAAUUCUUUAAAUGAGUUGGCUAUGGAAAUCCUUAUCCAAGAUUCUUUUAUGCCAUAUUCUUUCGUAAACCAAAAUUCAUUUUGAAAUACUCUAUUGAAAAUGUCAAAUAAAACGGCAUUGAAGGAAGUUUUCAAAGGCAUAAUCCGCACUUGUCAAAGGGAUGAUCUGCACUUGUCAGAGACACGAUCCGCGUCGAACGAAUCGACACAUUUCCUUUCGUAUUCGCAUAUGUAAUCUUUGAAAAAAUGUAGCUUCCGCAUCUAUAAAUAACGCUCAGUGUAUAAUGUUUUAUUCAAGAAAAGAAAACAAAUUUCUUCAUACUCCUUGUCCGAACAUACAGAGACAGUCUCUCAUAACUUCAGCCGAAUACUUAUGAUGAUGAUCAUUUGUGAUUUCAUCAGGCAUAGGGUUGAUGGUGAAAAAUUUUGUAUGUGUGAAGAAUUGAGCUGUGGAUAUAGGGGACUUAAGUGUAAUCGAAAGAGAGUUAUUAGGCCAUAGUGCAGAUUGCAUUCAGUUUAUGGGUCGAUAUGCAAAUAAUUUGUUGACGUGGCGAAAUCUGUUAUGGUCGUUACUAUUGUUUCUGGAAAUUUUCUAGAAACCUCAGCAUAAAAGGGGCUUUUGCAUAGCCUCUGGUGUGCGUGUGAUUUCUCUUUCGUUUCCUCAUCAAAUUCUGUAAUUCUUGCUUUGAUAAAAAGCUUGUAAUCAUUUCUGUAAUGUGUGAUCAGUGCGUAAUCAUUUUGAGCAAUAAAAGCUUGUGGGUUUUUCCUUCAAACAGUGUCGUUUUGGUCAGUUUGUUAGUUUGAUCUGUUGGUGGAAUUUUCUUUGGUUAUUUGUUCUCAAAUUUCAACCGUAUAUAAAGUUUGAACUCUAAUGGCUUAUAAUGUAUUGAUUAAGAAUAAUCCUAAGAGUUCCCGAUUGAAAUUUUUAAUGACUAUUUUUAUUGUUUUGGAUAUACAAAUUGCAUUAAGAAAAAAUAUUGUCAAAUUCAGAGGAUAACGGGAAAUAAUUAUGCUUCAAAAGACCAGAGAUUAGAGAAUAAAGAAGCAUUCAUUACUGACAUACAAAAGAGAAACACUCCAAAAUUGCAAGCAAACUAGUUUCAUAUACUAUUUGGAUUUUGGAAGGGGUGAAGUUUUGAGCUUCAGUUGUUCCUCUAAAUAGCAAAGAAGACUUAUUGGUACCUUACUGAAGCUAACAUUGUGGCACGGUUGUUCAUAUGUAAUGGCUGCUCUGUUAUGGUAGCUUCUCUGUUUUUGCUCACAGUUUUGAACAUGAAUUCUUGCUCAAAUAACCCAUAAUUAAUUAACAUUAAAAUGGCUCGUGAAAUCCCAUAAUAGCUAAUUACGCAACUUUCUCCUCCUCCUCAAUUAUGUCUUCCCCUGCUCGUACAAUAAAUUCAAAAUUCAAUGCCCCGAAAAACAACACAAGAAAUCUUUGAGUUAGUUCGUGACCAGUUUAUAUAUAGUAGCAAUUGAAAAAAGAAAAAGAAGAAAAGAGUUAAUUAUUAUUCAGACCUUCACUUAUUAGGAAGUUUGUUCUGCUAUUGGGUGAGGUCAAGCUCUCAGCAUAUACUUCCACAUGAUACUUUCUAACAUUUUCUUGAAAGCCAUCAAUCAUAAAAUCUUCAUACUUUUUUCCAUCCUUUGGAUCAAUGAGUACAAAUUUCUCAUCUAAAACAGACAAAAUAAAAUCACUGUCCUUCAUGGAACAUAAUGGCUGCAAUGCCUGAACUGAAUUGGCUAAUGAAACAUAGUCUUCUUUUCUUUCUCGACAUGGAACAUAGUCUUCUUUUCUUUCUCGACACAUGUCUCUGUACUUUUCUCUCUCUACUGAUCCACACUUUUUCAUACUUCUAACUAUCAUUUUGUUUUUUUUUUUUGAGUUGUGAUUUAUUCAAUUAUUUUGUAUUUUUAAUGACAAUUAUUUAAUAUUUAGUUAGUGUUGAUAUUGAUUAGUGAUUGAAAGUGUAUUUUAGAAGACUUCCGGUCUCUUGAAAAAAGGAAAAAUGGAGAAGAAGAAGAAGUGUUCUUGAUUUUUUUGUAGGCAUUAAAGUUAAACGGUUUGAAAUGAUAUUUUGUUUUAAUUUCACUCAUUAAUCUCAUUCAGGAUAAAAUUAUAAAUGCAAAUAAAUGGGGUUUCAUAAGUAUUUUUAAUAGUGUUAAAAGGUCUACUAACUAAAUAAACAUGUUUUACCCAAACCAAUCCGAUUAAUAAGUUAUUGGGUUGGGUUGAUCAGGUUAAAAAUCAAAAUUAAAAAUUAAAUAAAUAAAUAAGGCAUAAAAACUAUAUGUUACUUGAAAAUAAAAAGAAUUUCUAAUAGUUAGUUCUAAUGUCCCAUAUCCAAAACAUGCAUAUUAAAUAAAUAUUAUAAGUUAGAAAUAAAAUAUCCAAGAAAUAAUGAAUGAAAUACCAUAUUUUUGUUGAGAAUUAAGAGUGUGAUUUUAAUUUUGAUAUUGGAGUCUAAAGCAAUAGAUAGUACAAUGAAAUCAUGAAUGCUACGUUUAAAUAAUCUCUUUUAUAAAAUAAUAAAAAGAGGUUAAAAAUUAGGUUAGCAUUUAGGGUUUAGCAGUUAAGGAUGAACAUAUUAUUAUUGUUGUUGUUGUUGUUAUUAUUAUUAUUAUUAUUAUUAUUAUUAUUUACAUAUUAAUUAAUCCAACCCAACUCAAUUAUUAACGAAUUUGAAAAAAAAUGACCAAAUUAAUCCACAAUAAUUCAUUCAACUCGUCUAAAUUAGAUUAGAUUGAAUUUGAUUUGCUACACCUACAUUGAGCAACAAACCUCAACGCGAUUCUAUGAGCUCUUUGAUUGUUUAUAAAAUUGAUUUAGAGUACAUAAUGGAGUGUAUCGACAAUGAAAGUGCAAAACAAAUUAUUGUAUACAUUAAAAUCUGCAAAACAAUGAAUUAUAUGUACGAACGAGUGCAAACACAUUUUUCAAUAAGAAGUUAAAAGAUAUUUAUGCAUGAAAAAGCAUACGUUUGUAGUUACUCUAAAUUUUUUAAAAAAAAUUUACAUUUAGAUCCCUAAAAUUUACGUAUAAGUACAAAAGUUUCAAAUAUUGUCUAUUAUUUUUUAACAUAUGCCUAUUCCUUGUGGAUAAUUCUGUCUCAUCACUAAUGUUGUUUCUUGCUUACAAAAAACAAAUGUCAUCUCCUUUUACAAUUUUUAUAGCGUCUCAAAAUAGACAAUGGGGGGAUUUUGAAUUUUUUAAGUCUCAAGAUAGUCUCUAAUCUUGUGAGAAAGAUUUUCUUUCAAUAAUUUGGAGGUAAAGAUAACAUAAUUUUUUGGAUAGUGUGCAUGUGUAUUUAAUUAAUAAUUUUUUAAAAAAAUACAUCAAAUAUUAAUAUCCAUGACAUAAUUUAGUUCUUAAUUUUUUUUAAAUACAUCAAAAACAUAAUUUUUUUUAACAACUUAUAGGCAUGACAAAUUUCAAGAUAUAAAUAUCAGUCAAAAUAAGUGAAAGAAAUAAUGGUGCCAAUUCUAAUUUCUUAACUAAAUUAAUUAGUGCAUGAGCCCCGAAUACGACACGAGAGUUUGAUGGGCUAACUUGGCACAAGAACGUGAAUAAAUAAUUGAUUUAAGAAAUAAUUCAACGAAAAAUAUAAUUGAUAAGAAUUCAGUAUUGAAAUGAGUUUUUUUGUGAAACACUGAAUUAAUGAUUAUUAAGCAAGAACAAUAAAAAAAUAAAUAUUAAUCAUUGAUAAGUUUCAACAAAAACUUAACACAAUCCUCAAUCCUCAUUCAAAUGAUAAAUGUCAUUCAUAUAUUCAUUAUAAAUCAACAACAAAGGUUAUAAAUGUUUAGAAAUUCUAGAGGGAAGGAAGCUAUCGCCGGACAAUCAACAACUAAAUUUGAUGUAAUUGUGGCACGAGAUGGAAUAUGGAAACUACACCAUAAUUUCAAAUGCCGCCAUAGACAUUGACUUAUCAUAAUAACAAUGAUCUAAUUAAAAUAAAAACAAAGUUUAUGGGCAUUUAUUAUUUUGCCAUUCCUCAUUUGCAAAUAGGGAUAUAAUUAUAAUUUUACCUAGUCAAAGCAAUCGGUAGUUUUCUUCAUUAUAGGAGUGAAGUAAAAACAUUUAGAUUUCAAUGUAUGUACGGAAAAAUUUGUCUUUAAAAAUACUUUCUUAAUGUGUGUAUGCAUAUUGAAAUACUCAAACCAAUUUUGGUUAUAUAUAAUUAAACAAAUUUUAAAAUAUGAAAAAUAUAAUGUAGUUAUAGUGGAUAAACAAUAAGUGAGCACAAUAUAAUUAAUCAAAUAUUAUGCCAUCAAAAGUUAAUUUUAGAAAUUCCAAAUCCAAUAGCCAACACAAUUCUUUUUUUUUUAAAAAAGUUGACACAAUUAAUAAAAUUAGCGACAUGAAUUUCACGCCAUUGAUAAUCAGCAAUUAGUAUUACUUUCUAAACUUGCUUCAACUGGUCGUUGAUGUCCGGGUCACCAAAAGUAUAAGCGAUAAUAAGGGGCAUUGGGCAAGAGUGAUGAAUGUUUAGUCGGUGCAUUUGAUUGAUAGAUAUAUAAAGGGCCGAAACUUGAGAUUAUAUUACUUUUACAAAUUUUAAUCCAAUCACAUAUUUACUGAAAACAAAAUGAGUUAGGAUACUUUAUUUAGAACCCACAUUUUAAUAAGGCUUCAUUUGAUGUAGUUUUUCAAACAGUGAUUAUUUGAGUAAAGUUUCCUCAAUAGAGUUUUUAUCAAAUAAAUUUUAUUUAUUUGGUUGUCGAUAAGAACUUUUAUUAAAAAUUAUAAAAUUAUUUAAAUAAACAUAUUUUUUAAAAUUACAUUAUAAAAAGAAUUAAAUAAAGUUAUAAAAGUAAAAUAUAUUUUAGAUAUUUUAAUAUUUAAGAAAAAAAUUUUGAAUCUCUACUUUCAGAAGCUCAAAUUUUUAGUUUUUAGUUGUAGAGACAAAAUAUCUUAUUUAAUCUUUAAAAGUUCUGCUAAAAACAAUCAAAUAACUAUAAAAUUUUUAAUAAGAGUAUAUAAAAUUAAAUAAGCAUUUAUUAAUAAUCACUUUAGUGUACUUAUCUAAUGACCAUAAGUGUUUAUUUAAUCUCAUAAGUUCUUAUUUAAUCUCAUGAGCUCUUUUCAAUUUUUUUUGUUGUUUGCUUUUUUUAGUAGAGUUUUUGAAAAUUAAAUAAACUAUUUUGUCUCUAUUAGGAAAAACUCAAAUUUUAGGUUUUUGUGAGUAAAUGUUUAAAUUUUUUUUAAAAUAUUAAAAUAUUAAAGUAAAAGUUGUAGAGACAAAAUAUCUUAUUUAAUGUUUAAAAGUUCUGCUAAAAAUAAUCAAAUAACUACAAAAAUUUUAAUAAGAGCAUAUAAAAUUAAAUAAGCAUUUAUUAAUAGUCACUUUAGUAUACUUAUCUAAUGACCAUAAGUGUUUAUUUAAUCUAAUGAGCUCUUUUUAAUUUUGUUUGUUUGUUUUUUUAGUAGAGUUUUUGAAAAUUAAAUAAACUAUUUUGUCUCUAUUAGGAAAAACUUAAAAUUUAGGUUUUUGUGAGUAAAUGUUUAAAUUUUUUUUAAAAUAUUAAAAUAUCUUUUCUUUAUUUCAUAAUCUUAUUUCAUUCUUCACAACAUAACUUUAAAUAACUCACCUAUUAAAAUAAUUUCACAAUUUAUAAUAAAAAUUUUAAUUGACAAUCAAAUAACAAAUUUUUUUUUAUAAAAACUCUAAUAAUAAAAAUUCUACUUAAAUAAAUUAUAUUUGAAAAGGUAUACCAAACGAACCUAACAUAAAAACAAAAAUUUUUACAUCCACACAAUUAAGCUUAAAACAAUUUCAAAUGAAUUUUAGACUACUCAAAGUACAAUACGUACCAAGUUUGGUAACUUAUUGGGGUCCGCUUGUAAUACAGCGUCUGUAUCUCAUACAGCCAAAUUUAAUAAUUUAUUAAGAAAAAGGGCAACCAUUAGAUAGAAGUAGAUACAUCCAACGGUUAAAAUGUUUGAUUACUCAUUUUGGCGACCGGAUAUGCCAGUUAUUAUUUCAUCAAUUAACUUACCUAAAAAAUCACAGCCGUUGGAUUGAGAUGCCUCUCUUUCCCUCAAAAUAACAGCCUUCGUAUUCUCUCUGCUAUUGUUUUCUCCUACAUCCAGAAUUUUGGAUGAAUGAACUUGGUAUUCAACAAUAUUCACCACCCAUCACAGCAAAGAGCAAAGAUGUAGUCAAAGGAGUGCCAUUUAUUCAGGCUAACUCGAUCUGUCACUCUCGCUUCAAUUCGUCACUCAUUUUCUCGCGCUCAGCUUCAAUCUAUCACUCUCAGCUUCAGUUCGUCACUCACAGCUUCAAUUUUUCACUGUCGUGAAUCAUCUCUCUUGCUGUAUCUCUCUCUUAUGUCUUCCAAUAAUUUCGGUGAGCUCUCUCUCUAAUUUAAUAUAUGAUUAAAAAUCUUAUCAUCUUAUCAUGUCAUUUAAAUAUGCUUGAAGUUUCAAUUUAGUUUAUGAAUAUUACUUGAAAUUUCAGUUUCAAUAAUUUGAUUUUGCAAUUGAGAAAUUAUUACUUGAAAUAUUGAGAUGAUUUCUAGGGAUUGAUAAUUGAAUGAUAAUUGCUAAGGCUUGUCAUUUUUUGUUUUUGAACAGAUAGAGUUACAAUUAAGUCAUACUGCAAUAUUUUAUCUUGAGAUUCUAUUAUUCACAAAAAGAAAAAAAUCAUAAAUUGAAAAAAAAAAAAAAGAGGUUACGAGCAUCAAGCAACUGCAAGUAAUGGGGUUUGUUUUGAUGAGCUGCGAAUUGGGGCCUGUCAUUUUCUUGAAGUAUCUUCAAUAUAAGUGGAAGGAGAUUUCUUCUCUCCAAAAAAUUAUUGUAUAUUUCCUUUUAAAUUCUAGAUUCGCAUGUAGCUGAUUUUUUAUGUUUGAAGGAUUUUAUUAAAGAAUGUGCUGCUGCUAGUGGCAUGAAUUAAUGUAGUCUCGCUAGUAUUCGUGAUUUGGGGUAAGGAUCGAAUUGAACAAUUAUAUUUCUAUUAUUCUUAUAUUCGAAUCCAGUGAUAUUGUGGUGGUUUUAUGAUAAUAUUCAAUUGUUUUGUGCCUCAAAUCAGCCAAUGAGUUGGGUAUGUGCUGGGUAUAUGCCGUAUGGGCUUGUUGUUGAAUUUGCUUGACCUUGGAUGUGAUUCUUGCCGUGUUUAUAAGAAAUAGACACAGGUCUUUGUGUGGUAAUAGAAUUGUCUAAGGUGCCUUACAAUAAAUUUAAGAGUCUUAAGUAACUAUGCUUUGUAACCUUAAACCUUUAUUUGUACGACUUGGUGUUCUUGGUUGUGAAAGAAUGUUAAAUGUUGACCUAUUUUCAUCGGUGAAGAUAAAUGAAGUUAGGGAAGGUUUGUAAUCACUAUAACCCUGACAAUUUUUUUGGUGGGCCGUGAUAAUUUUAUUCAUGGCAUGUACUUUGUUUUUAUCAGAAGGCCCUGUUUGCUUGUAGUCUCAAAUCUAGGGUAAUAUUUUAAAUAAGUUCUGCAAUAUAUGUUUUGCUAUUUUUCUUUUUUGUUUUUAUUUUAAUUAGUUUUAGUAUUACUUGGAGGGGAAUUCUGAUCUGCUGAAGUUUAUCAAGCUGGUGCAGUGGUGCAGCAAGCAGACCUUUAUCUUAAUCUUAUGAUUGUGCUAAGUGGAAUUUUGUGUAAGUUACAACAAUAUAAUUUUUUAAAGAGCUGACAAGACGCUCUCUCUUUUUUUUGGAAUGUUGAGCAAAACUUUUCUUUCUUAUUAGGUGUUUAUAAUAAUUCAUAGCAUGGGUUUUGUCAUAUUGGUUUCAAUGCAUUGAUUUGAUCUUGGUUACAACCCAUCAGCCCUUACUCCUCAUUCCCAGCAGCUUUUAAUGCCUUUUUUUUAAGCAUUGUACUUUGUUUCAUGAUGAAAUUUGUUUAUAUGACGCAAAGUUGAGGACACGGUAAUAGUCAUUAUUUUAAUUUAUGCAACAAAGAUCAUUAUCCAUUAAAUUUUAUGUUGUUGAAAUAUUUAGAUUUUGUAAAUUUUGUUGUAAGAAAUGAGGGCUCUUGAUCCCAUCCCUUUAUUAUAUACAAUUUUUUUUCACUCUGUCAUUCAUUUAUUGUGUGUUAGAGGUAUUAGUCAUGUGCAAAAGUAAAGAUCUUUAUUUUGUUAUUUUUGUCAUCUUGUGCUUCAUUGGUAUAAAUGAGGAAAAAAAAGAAUAAAAUAAAAUAAAAUUAUAGUUUGUGCAUGAAUUCCACCAUAUAUGAAAUGUUUAAUAGAUUAAAAAGUAAGGAGUACACAGUGACUUUGAAUAGCAGGUGGGGGAACUCAUUUUGUUUUAAAAAAAAUUAAUACAUAUUGAUAGAAUAAUUAUCCUUCACUUAAUUAUUUAAAAAUUUUAUUUUGGAAGAAUACAAAUGGACAGUCACCAAUGAAAGCGUAAACGACUACCAGGGGGCUUACAGAAAAAAUUGCUCCUAUUCUAAAAGUAGAUGGUCAGGACAAAGUUCCAACAACUUCAACUUAUGGAUUUGUCUCUUACUUGUAAGGUAAUCUCUUCUUGUAGGGUGUUUAAUUGAAUUAAAAACAGAAUAUUAUUUGCAUUAUAGAGUACAGGCAUAAAUUCAUUAUCUAUGUCAGUUCAUUCAUGAUUUUACUCCAAAUGGAGUAAUAGAUCACCAUUAAUUUAUUGAUACAUCGUCCAUGUUUGUUUUCGUCUUCAAUUUUUAUAUUACAAUAUCUAAUCUAUUUAGUAUUCGUAAAAAAACAUACGAGAAAAAGUUGGAAAAACACUUUAGGGGUGAUUGUGUACACUUUCGUAUGGCACAAAUAGCGUUAGGCUUUGUUUUUUAAGUGGACGACGUGUCCAUUUUUUGUGUUACAUCUUACUCAUUAAUAUAUUUUUGAGUUUCUUAUGGAAAAAAAAUUGAAAAAACACUUUAAGUGAAAAAAAUUUGUAUUUCAAUUUAUAUGUAACAGUGAAUUGGAAAAUAAAUUCUACCAAUAAUUAAAAGAAUACUUUUCUUUUAAUUAUUAAAAAGAUAAGGUAGUUACUCAUUACCCAUAUAAAUGGACAGUUUUAAUUUGUUCCAUAUCUAUACAACAGAAGAGCUUCAGACACGGUUUGCAGCGUUCCACGAUCACUUCCAUUCUAAGCAGCAGCGUCUUCCGUCUUUUUGCACACCAACAGCAGAUUCUAGAUGGCCAGAAGCUCAUCUGCCGCACUCUCGGGAUUUCGCUGCCAUCCUCAUCUUCAUCUCCACUACCUCCUCAGUGAUUAUCCCCUGGUUUUAUGCUCAGAAAUUAUGAUUAUUAUGUAUCUUGUUUUCAGAUUUGUCAAUACUUGUUAUAUUUUGAUUAUGCAUUAUGGACAUUUUUCAUAAGAUAGCUUAAUUUUGUGGUUUGUGUUGACGAUUUCCAUGUAUGGAUGUUUGGAUAGGUAAUUUCGCCUUCCAUGCAUUCUUCAUUCCUGCAUCCUGUGGGAGAAAAUUGGAAAAAGUGGUUUUUGAUGAGAAACGGGGAGAAGGAUGAGAUAUAUAUUUUUGAAGUGUCACAUUAUUUCAAAAACAAACCCCAAAUUUAAUUUCUCUUACCGAUCAUGAGUUAAAAUAUAAAAAUUAACGUUUACUCAUCACACUGUUAUAAGUAUCAAAGCAUUACUUAUAGAAAAAUUAUCGUCACCUAUCCUACAUUUGUGAUUGAAUAGUGGCACAAUUUUAAUUGGGAUAUUUAACAUUACUCUUUGUAAUUGUUUGGUCUUAUUUGAAGUUUGUAAAUUUUUCAUAACUAUGACUUCAACAGCAUAUUUCAGGUUGCAUUUAAUCGUUGCUAUAAUUAGGUACUUUGAAAUAAUUUAUUGGCCACGAUUACAGUCAUUGUUAUUAGUCACCCCUCUUUUUUCUCUUUUGGCCAACCAGCUCUUGGAUAUUUGGGAACCGAUGACAAUAGUUGGGAAAUUAUGUAAUAUUGGUGUGUUUGCGAAAUAAAUCAAGAGAUUUGCCUUGCCGAAGUUAAAAGAGAUAUUGUGGCCUGAAUUUUUUUUUUUUUUCUCUAGGGGCCAUGGCUCUCAAGGACAAGGCAUGAAUCAUGCAUUAUAAUUGCUCGAAAGGGUUAGUAAAAUAGCAAUCUAAAAUACCCAAGUUGGAUCUGCUGUUGAAUCACAAAAAGAACAUAAUUGGGAUAUGAAGUCAUGGUUGCAAGUGUUGGACCCUUAGGUUACGUUUGGCACGUAGGAUUGGAUUGAACUAAUUACUAAAAUUGGAUUGAAUUAUAUUCGAUUGGAUUAAACUGGAUUAUAUUAUAUAGUUCUAUGGUUAGUACAAUAUCGGAUUAAACUAUGUUAAAUUAUAUUUAAAUAAUAUUAAAUAGCAUUUAAGUUGGUAUUUUAAUAUUAAUAUCAAUUAUUCAUGAAAUUUCAUAAUCAUAAUUAAAAUAAAUUUAAAAAACAAUUACCAGGAAAAUUAAAUAUAUUGUAAAUAAGUUACUGGGUAGUCAUAAUACAGUAAACAAAUGAACAUAGAUAAAAAAAUUAAAUUUUAAAUAAUUUUUAUCAAAUUUUAAAAAAAAAUUAUAUAAAAUCAAUUAUUUAAUGGUAUUAUUAAUUUUCAUGAUUAUUUUUAAUAGUAUAUAACAAUGAUUAUUAAAUUUAAUACAAUCAAAUAAUGCAAUAAAUAAUUAAACAUUUAAUUUUAUCAAUAAAUUACUAAAUAUACAAGUGGUGAAAAUUUAAUCUCCAGAGUUAGUACAAGUAAAGGUAUUAAUUUAAUUAGAUCAUAGAUAAUAAAUAAAAAUAAGUUUUAAGUAAAUCAUAUUAAAAAUUAAUUAAUUAAUUAAUACUAGGUGUAAAUAAAAAAAAUGAUAUAAAUAAAAAUCUCAUAAAUGGACAACUUUUUUCUUUAAUCUUAUCCCAACUAAACCCAUGCGUAAAUUAGGAUUAUCAAUUCCAUGAUUUUAGGAUUAAAUUUAAAUUACUACCCCCUUAAUCCAAUCCAACUAAGCUUGCCAAACAUUGGAUAAAUAUUUAAUUCCAAAAUUAGUCUAAUCCCAUACUUAAUCCUAGAAUCCAAACAUGGCAUUAGCACCUUAUAUAACAAAGUGUCACUGAAAUACAGCAAAACGUUAUAAACAAGAACUUAUUUCUGUACAAAAUGUUAUUUACUUUUUGUGAACUUCCAAAUACCUACUAUAUGAUUUGCAAACCCUACAAAAGUCUACCUUGCAUGCUCUUUCUAACGUGAAAUUUGAUUUUUAUUAAAUUUUUGAUGUGUUCACUAAUAAAUAAUUGGAAUCUAAAAAAAUUAGAAAAAAAUAGAAUUAGAAUGAGCUACAAUAAAAAUGAGGAAUAACAAAAAAAAUGAUAUUUGUUGAGAUGAAUGAAACACAAUUGAAAUACUCUAUAUCGCUCUUAAUAUGUUCACUUUGUGAACAUAAAUUAGAAUUAGUUGUUAUAACUUAGUAAUUUAUCCUCAAUCAAUUAUUAUCAUUAUUACUAUUUGUUAUAAUAAUUGUAAUUAUUAUUUUUGAUAAUUUUAAUACUAAGAAAAUUAUUGUUAGGGGUGGAAACACCAUAUAGAGAAGGAACAAUUAAAUUUAUAAAAUUUAGUGGGGAUAAAAUAGUCACUUAAGACAGCAAGCGUCUCCCAUUCUCACCUCCACGAGCAUGAAAACACUAGUAAUCAUUCUUAAAUUUUGAUGGAAUCUGUUGCUUUUAUUCUAAUAACGAACGCAAAACCUAUGGAAUUAGUUGGAAUAACGAAUGCAAAACCUCUGGAAUUACAAUUGAAAUACGUCAACCCAAAAUGGAGAAAGCACAACUAAAAUUAGAGACCUACAAAACCAAAAAUAAACUUAUAGAAAACAAACCCGGUACCUAAUCUCAAUAAUUGGAAUCUCAACCAGUUAAUGGAAAUAUUCAACUCAAAAUUAGGGAAAAAUUAGAUGAAACACGUGAACCAUUGAGAGAGAAAGUAUGACGAAAAUUAGAAACUCAUUUAACGAAAAAUAAUAUUUACUUGGAAUCUAACCCAUGAUACUGGUACCUAAGGAACUUUAUAGGAAUAUGAAACGCAAAACCAGUGGACCAAUAAGUUGAAACAUGUGAACCAAAAAAUGAAAAACUAUAACCAAAUCUUGAGACUAAUCAAACCAAGCAAAAGUAAUAUUGAUAUUUAACCCAUAUAAUUGGAAUUUUACCAAAUUAGUUGGAAUAACGAAUGUAGAACUUGUGGAAUUACAAUUGAAAUACAUCAACAAAAAAUGGAGAAAGCACAACCAAAAUUAGAGACCUACAAAACCAAAAAUAAAUUUAUAGAAAAUAAAUUUGGUACCUAACCACAAUAAUUGGAAUCUCAACCAGUUAAUGAGAAUUCUCAACGCAAAACUAUAGGAAAAAUUAGCUGAAACACAUGAACCAUUAAGAGAGAAAUUAGAACGAAAACUUGGAACUUAUCCAACGAAGAAUGCUCGUGACUUGGAAUCUAACAACAAAUAUUGGUACUUGACUAAUUUAGUAGGAAUAUCAAAUGCAAAACUCAUUGACCAAUAAGUUGAAACAUGUAAACCAAAAGAUGAAAAAGUAUAACCAAAACCUGAGAAUAAUCAAACCAAGAAAAAGUAAUAUUGAUUUUUAACCCAUAUAAUUGGAAUUUUACCAACUUAAUUGGAAUAACGAAUGCAAAACCUGUGGAUUUACAAUUGAUAUACGUCAACCCAAAAUGGAGAAAGCACAACCAAAAUUAGGGACCUACAAAACCAAAAAUAAAGUUAUAGAAAACAAACCUGGUACCUAACCUCAGUAAUUGGAAUCACAACCAGUUAAUAGGAAUAUUCAAUGCAAAAUUGGGGAAAAAAUUAGAUGAAACACGUGAACCAUUAAGAGAGAAAGAACAACGAAAACUAGGAACUUAUCCAACAAAGAAUGAUAGUUACUUGGAAUCUAACAGUAAAUAUUGGUACUCGACGAAUUUAAUAGGAAUAUCAAACGCAAAAAUAGUGGACCAAUAAGUUGAAACAUGUGAACCUAUAGAUGGAAAAGAAUUACCAAAAUUUGUAACUAAUCAAACCAAAAAAAGUAAUAUAGAUAUCUAACCCAUAUAAUUGGAAUCUCGACAAAUUAGUUGAAAUAUUAAACAAAAAACUAGUGGAAUAAUAGUUGAAACACAUGAACCAAAUGUGGAGAAAGUUUAACCAAAUUUUGAAACUUAUCCAAUGAAGAAUGCUAGUUACGUGGAAUCUAACAACAAAUAUUGGUACUCGACGAAUUUAAUAGGAAUAUCAAACGCAAAAAUAGUGGACCAAUAAGUUGAAACAUGUGAACCUAUAGAUGGAAAAAUAUUACCAAAAUUUGGAACUAAUCAAACCAAAAAAAGUAAUAUCGAUAUCUAACCCAUAUAAUUGGAAUCUUGACAAAUUAGUUGAAAUAUUAAACGAAAAACUAGUAGAAUAAUAGUUGAAACACAUGAACCAAAUGUGGAGAAAGUUUAACCGAAUUUUGAAACUUAUCCAACGAAGAAUGCUAGUUAUUUGGAAUCUAACAACAAAUAUUGGUACUCGAUGAAUUUAGUAGGAAUAUCAAACGCAAAAAUAGUGGACCAAUAAGUUGAAACAUGUGAAUCUAUAGAUGGAAAAGCAUUACCAAAAUUUGGAACUAAUCAAACCAAAAAAAGUAAUAUCGAUAUCUAACCCAUAUAAUUGGAAUCUCGACAAAUUAGUUGAAAUAUUAAACUAAAAAUUAGUGGAAUAAUAGUUGAAACACAUGAACCAAAUAUGGAGAAAGUUUAACCAAAUUUUGAAACUUAUCCAACGGAGAAUGCUAGUUACUUGGAAUCUAACAAAAAAUAUUGGUACUCGACGAAUUUAGUAGGAAUAUCAAACGCAAAAAUAGUGGACCAAUAAGUUGAAACAUGUGAACCUAUUGAUGGAAAAGCAUUGCCAAAAUUUGGAACUAAUAAAACCAAAAAAAGUAAUAUCGAUAUCUAACCCAUAUAAUUGGAAUCUUGACAAAUUAGUUGAAAUAUUAAAUGAAAAACUAGUAGAAUAAUAGUUGAAACACAUGAACCAAAUGUGGAGAAAGUUUAACCGAAUUUUGAAACUUAUCUAACGAAAAAUAAAUUUAAUUGGAAUUUAACCCAAAAUAUUAGUGUUUAACGAGUUUAGUGGGAAUAUUAAACAUAAAACUAGUGGAUCGGAAAAUGGAGAUAAGCAAACCAAUUAGUGAGAAAGUUGAAUCAAAAUUAGGUAUAUGUGAAAUUAACUUGGAAUGUCACCUAAUAUAUUGAUAUUUAACCAAAAGAAUCGAGACAUGCUCAUUUUAAUUUUUUUAAACUUUUGUUGCAAUUAAAAAUAAUUUUUUCACUUAAAUAUUGUUUGUGUUAAAUAUUUACAAAAUUUCCUUAAUUUUUCCUGUUUCAUUUUAUUUUUUCUACAUUAAAAAUAAUUUUUUAAAAAUUAUUAAAUGAACAACCGGUAAAAUACCGGUUGUUCAAGUUUCCUUUUUACUGUUGAAGGGGCUGUAUUUUAUACAGCACUGUACUAUAGGAAGACUCAACUUAUUGACAUCUUCUCAUAUAACCUUCGAUCAAGUCGAUUCUGACCUGACGACUAAUUGGUACAUCACCGUUGUUCUCUAUACUCGCAUGCAUCGGAUCACAAAUCUCACUCCAAUUGUCGUCUUUCUUCGCCGUUUUAGCGCAUACUUCUUGAAUUUCCCGCAUUUCGUUCCCUCCUGUUACAAGUCUCCGGUCAGGUCAGUGAUUGAAUUUCCCGCAUCUCUAUCCCUCCCGUUUUCUCGCGUCGUUUCACUUCAAUUUCUCGUGUCUCCUUUCAGUUUAAGUGAUUGAAUCAAUUUUAUCGCAGUCAUAAGAGAAAUUAAGUAAUGCUCUUGGAUUUAAAAUUUUUUUGCUUUCGACUUUAGAUCUCGAAAGUCAAACUCUGCUACGAAUCCAUAGAUUCUCAAUGCUCAUAAUCUUAUUUGUGUUUGACCAGGUAACUGGAUCGUGAAAUUCGUCGUUUUGUAUCAAUUCAAGCUUUCGCGAGCUCAUGGAAUCACCUGGUGAGUUGUGGUGAAACGUUAUCGUUUCAAUUUUCGCUUAAUUCUUUAUUGCAUAUUUUUUUCUCUAAUGUUUCAGUUUAAUUUAGAAAAGAAAGAGGCCCCAAAAAGAGAGAGAGAGAGAGACUCUACCAUACUCAAUUCCUUGCUCAUUCUGAUUUGGCCUGAAUGUUGGCAUUGACUAUUAUUUGUUUUCAUUUCGAUUUAAUUCUCAUUUAGACAGUCUUUACUAACGGUCAAUAAUAGUUUAAGGAAAAUGAUCAUAGGGAUUCUGCAAUAAUCUUUCUGCAUUGUUCAAGUUAGUAGACAAUGAAUAGGAUGUUUAUGUUUACCUCAUUUUGAACCCUGAGGGCUUCGUUGAGUAGUUGAUUCAACAUAUCCAGCAACGGUUGAUGUGAGAACAGAAUGCCACUUAGAUAGGCUUAAACUGAUUUUGGAGGUUUGUAUUGGUUCUAUUGUACGUCUUGCUUACAAAUUUUUAAUUUUUAAUUUUGUAUAAUAUGCUCUUUGUUGGUAAAUCUCAUUUGACUUAGAAGAGAUAGUUUUAUCCCAACAGUGGGAUAAAUCAUUGAGAUGCAUGGCAGUGUGAAUAUAGUAGACAAAAUCAUUGAGACACAUGGUGGUGUGAACAUAGUAAACUUUGUCAAACACAGCUAAGAUAAACAAAUUGUUUCAUUAGCCUUUACCUUAUCUGCUGUGAUGAUUCAAAUUAAUGCUGUUUGGUAGGUUGCAAAAAACGAAAUGAGCUGUCUGUUCGUAUUAUUUAGUCAGAUCUAUUGCAAUAAGUUGAAGUUCAUUGUCACAUGGGUUGGGAGUAGCGUGGGCUGUGAGUAGUAGAAUGGAUUUAUGGAGUUGAUACAAGUGCCCAUAAUCUAUCAUGUCAUUCUAGGAUUAAAUGGAUUGCACAUUACUGUAAAGAUGGAGGUUAAAUUUAUAUAAUUCGGAUUGAUUGUAAAAUGGGAGGCAGAGAUGAGUUAGAAAAAGAAUGACCUGUGUCCUUUUUGAGCUGUUUCUAAAUCUCCCUGGUGUGCUUCAUGCUUAACACGUGUCUUUCCAAAUAAUUUUGCUUAACCUGUGCUUGUCUACUUCUUGUGCUAUUCUGUGCCUGGUCCUGAGCUGUGUUGGUAGAUUGACAUAAUUUUGCUCUGCUAAAUGUAUAACUUAUUAAUCAGAGUCCUGUUAUUAUGGUUUGACACUACUGACAUAUUGUGUUGGUAUUUAUUUGUACUUCCCUUGGUUGAAUUAUUUGCUGUCUCCAUGCAAUUCGAUAUGGUGCUACUUGGUUUUUGAUCAUCCAUGACGCUAUAUAUAUGUAAAGGAUGAAUUGAUUGUUUUGGCUUGUAUUCUCACAUUUUAUGAUUGAUCGAUGGAAAGGUUUUCAUGCAUUAAAUUCAACCUCACAAGCGUAAGAUUGACAGAUUGUGGGCAAAUUUUCAGGAAAAGAAACUAGACUUCAUGGAAGCAAUGAAGCUUGAAAUUGAACGUCUGCAGCUGAAUCUUUCUGCAGCUGAAAGGGAUAGAACUUUAUUGUCAAUUGGAACUGAUCCUGCCUCUAUAAAUCCAAAUGUAUUGCUUGAUGAAUCUUACAUGGGAAGACUGUGUCGAGUAGCAAACACUCUUGCAUUACUUGGCCAAGCUUCCCUAGAAGAGAAAAUUGUUGGUGCAAUUGGCCUUGAGAAUAGUGGUGAUAGUGUUUUAGACUUCUGGAAUAUUACUAGAAUCGGAGAGAGUUGUUCUGGUGGUGGGUGCGAGGUUUGUGCAGAAACUAAGGUGCCUGCUCUUGCUUCCUCAACUGCAACAUCUGUUGGAUCUUCACAAUCCCCUUUGUUGUGUUCUCAAUGUGAAAGAAAAGUUUGCAAAGUUUGUUGUGCAGGAAGAGGAGCUCUACUGUUUUCAAAUUAUAAAUCAAGGGAUGUGACCAACUACAAUGGCUUCUCAAGUCAGAGUGGAUCAAGCCAUGGAAGCCAAGUUGAUGUAGCUACCAGUCGUUCACUAACACUGGAUGGCGUUAUCUGUAAACACUGUUGCCAUGAGAUGGUGCUUGAUGCAUUGAUGUUGGACUAUGUUAGGGUCUUGAUUAGGUUGCGAAGAAGUUCCUGUGCAGACAACGCAGCAUACAAUGCUUUGAAUGAGGUUGUUGGAUCCUGCUUAAAGGAUAGUCUUUCUGAGAGGAUUCAGUCUUCCGAUAAUGCGCAAGCAGCUAAAGUCCUGCACCAAUUAUGUGGUGGACAGGAAGCACUUGCUGAAUUUCCAUUUGCUAGCUUUUUGCACUCGGUAUGUUCUUGGUUUGUAUUCAGUUCUCAUCAUAUUAUGUUUUCCUUUUAAAUUUCAUUUCUUGAUUAAAAUUUUUAGAAAUGUGUUUUAGCAUUUAUUCUUAUGAUAUAUGCCCGGAACAUUCAUCCCACUUAUCCAUGAGAAUCCUUGUCUGGUUUGAUUUUCAAUUGAGACAUUUUUGGGAACCCUGCGCAGGUUCCAUAUGCUAAUAAUCUUUGAGGUAAGGUGUUGUAGGAUGCCUUGAGAAGCUAAAAACCCAUUACAAGGAAAAGGUCUUGCAUUGUUUUGUGCAAUCUGUGUGCGAGCUAGUCAUGUCUCUAAUAAUUUCAUAGUUUGCUUGAUUGGAAUUUUUUAUCUUGAUAUGGAUUGUUUAUUCUAGAUUCCUUGGUGCCACUGUAGGUUGAAACAGCAAAAGAUUCAGCACCGAUUUUGUCACUGCUUGCUCCAUUAAAUUCUGGAUCAAGGCACUCAUAUUGGAGAGCUCCACCUAGUACUACUUCUGUUGAAUUUGUUAUUGUUCUCGGUUCUGUUUCUGAUGUCAGUGGGGUUAUCUUGCUUGUUAGUCCUUGCGGCUAUUCUGUGGCUGACACUCCGAUGGUAAGUGCCAUAUUUAUUCCCUUAUUUCCUUGUUGUUCAAUAAAUUUGGUGAUAAGCCAAGUGGCCUUAAUAAUGAAGCCCAGUACCAGGGUUGGUGGGUAAUAGAUAUUCAACUUGUGAAUAUUCCUAAGCAAACACUGAAUCAACAUAUACCUCGGCUAAAGUUCUCUAUGCUAUUAUAACAAAAGUCAUAUUUUGAAAUGAUUAAAAGAGUCCCUGUGUAGUGCCAUUUCCAAAGAAAUUGCAGCUGGGGGUUUAGUUUCAUGUAGGUUAGUUUCCGAUAAUAAACUUUCUAUUUCAUUAAUUGCUGAUGAAAAAACCAAGUAAGAACAGUUUUGUUGCUCGUCAUUUUUGUAUAUUUUGGUAAACUGUAAUUUUAAAUUCUCAACGAUCUUCCCUUUGUAGGUAAGAAGAUGGUCCACUCACUUGAUAUUUAUGAUUGUAGAUCAGGUUUCUAUUGGUUUGCCUUUAUCAUUUAGAACCCAUGUUUGAUAUUAACAGAGAUCACGUCAAUAAUAUCCUAUUUGGGUAGAUGUGGGUGAGGAUUUAAAAUCAAAUUUGAAAUUGAGGGGAAAGAAGAGAAAAGGAACCACAAUAAUUAAACAAAAUAAUAGGAACUAUUCUGAUGAGUUUUAAUCUCGAGAGGAACAAUUUUCAAAUGCACUGCUAGAGAAAUUGUAGCUUUUUGUCAUUAGUUAAAAGGAAAAAGAAUAAGAACUAUCCGGCCCUUUCCUUCAUGAAUGUGUGUUGAGGUUGCUGUAUUAUUUAGUCAGUAUUUGUAAUUUUCUUCCCUGCAGUGCUCUCUGCCUCCUGAAUUUGCUUCCUAUUGCUGUUACAGGUGCAAAUCUGGGCAAGCAAUAAGAUACACCAGGAGGAAAGGUCAUCAAUGGGAAAAUGGGAUGUCCAAUCCCUCAUCACAUCUUCUUCAGAUUUGUAUGGUCCAGAAAAGUCUGCUAGUGUUGAAAAAUUACCUAGGCAUGUAAAAUUUACUUUUAAGAAUCCUGUUAGGUGCCGCAUUAUUUGGAUCACAUUACGUCUUCAGAGACCUGGUUCGGCUUCAGUUAAUUUCGGGAAGGACCUCAGUCUUUUGUCUCUUGAUGAAGAUGAAAACCCCUUUGCACAAGUAGACAGACGUGCUUCAUUUGGAGGAGCAGUUGAAAAUGAACCAUGUAUUCAUGCCAAAAGAAUUCUUGUAGUCGGAAGCCCAGUAAAAAGGGAGGGGCUUACCACAUCACAGAGCUCUGAGCAGCUAAGUAUUAGAAACUGGUUGGAUAGAGCUCCACAAAU